CAAAGAAUAAGCAUUACUAUACAAUACCUAUGGAAAAAUUCAUGUAGUAGCUAAGGGACUCACCAUGCAUGGUGAUCAUGAUGCAUCAACAUGAUUUAUGAUUAAUUGUAGCACAAAAGUAGCCCAUUCUCCUCUAAUUUCAUCGAAUUCUACUUGAGAAUAUGUUUUUUUUUUAUUACCAAACUGAAAUCAAAUAAGAAAAUAACAUUAAAAUGCAUAACAUUUGGAAGCCUAAAACUAUGUACAAUUCAUUAAAUAAGUAAUACCUUUGAAGCAAUAAUUGUAGGAUAAAAAAUUAUCUCUUUAAUGAAUCUUAUAACAAAGUAGCCACAUUCGAACCCUCCUUCUUGUCUUGGACACUAAUCGAUCAAUUAUAAAAUAACAUUAGUACUCACAUAUAUAAAUGGUGCAAAUGCAUAAGCUAAUGUGUAAAGAAAAAUUUUUGGAUGUCACCUGCACUAGUUGCUAAGAUGGCUUCCUCUUAGAUGUUUUCUUUGCAGAUAUUCGAAGAGCCCUAUGUAAAUAAGUUCAAUGGGUACAUUUUUAAAAUAGGUAAAUGUUAUAUGUUUUAAUAUAUAUAAAUAAUAAAAAAAAUGUGUUUGAGGUGAAUGUAUUUUUUUUAUUUAAAAAUAAUACUAUGAAAAAUAAUAGGAAGAACUUACAUGUUUACGAUAUCCUUUAAGUCCUCACAUGGUUUGUGAUGCAUAGGGUCAAGAUAGUGGACUAUCAUUUUCCUUGGCUCAAGCACUACCUAAAUAUAAACCCUUUAAGUCCUCAUAUCUAUUUCUAUUAACAAAAUAUAAAAACUUUCCAAAACUCAACUACUUAAAUAUAAAAAUAAAAUCAAAUAAAAUAUCUAGCUAAUUGGAUUUUAGAAACUAAAUAAACUAUAAAUAAACUAAAUAAAAUAUCUAUGCCCAUGAAUUAAUUGAAGAGGAUAGAAAGACACAGAGAGAACAUGGCUAUGGUUAUGAUUUUCAUCUUAUCAUUUCCUAUCAAUACCAAACAUGCCCAUUUUAAGGUUGGACACUACUUUUGUUGCUGGACUUGGAAAGGGAACUUCAAAAUUGAAAACAUAAAUAAACCCUUAUGUAAAAAAAAAUAGCAUUAAAAUAUAAUUGAGCAUUAAAAUAUUUACUCUCUUUCAUCACUUUCAUUUGAAUAUUAAUAAUCUCUUAUUGAGAUAGAUACUUACAAUUUAACAAAAUAGAAAUUCCUAAUAAUAAAAAGUAUAAAAUUUAUAUUCCUAUUAACAAAAUAUAAAAACUUUCCAAAACUCAACUACUUAAAUAUAAAAAUAAAAUCAAAUAAAAUAUCUAGCUAAUUGGAUUUUAGAAACUAAAUAAACUAUAAAUAAACUAAAUAUAAAAACUAAAUAAAAUAUCUAUGCCCAUGAAUUAAUUGAAGAUGAUAGAAAGACACAGAGAGAAUAUGGCUAUGGUUAUGAUUUCCAUCUUAUCAUCUCCCGUCAAUACCACACAUGCCCAUUUUAAAGUUGGACACUACUUUUGUUGCUGAACUUGGAAAGGGAACUUCAAAAUUGAAAACAUAAAUAAACCCUUAUGUAAAAAAAAAAAAAAACAUUAAAAUAUAAUUGAGCAUUAAAAUAUUUACUCUCUUUCAUCACUUUCAUUUGAAUAUUAAUAGUCUCUUAUUGAGAUAGAUACUUAUAAUUUAACAAAAUAGAAAUUCCUAAUAAUAAAAAAUAUAAAAAUUUCUAUUUCUAUUAACAAAAUAUAAAAACUUUCCAAAACUCAAAUACUUAAAUAUAAAAACAAAAUCAAAUAAAAUAUCUAACUAAUUGGAUUUUAGAAACUAAAUAAACUAAAUAUAAAAACUAAAUAAAAUAUCUAUGCCCAUGAAUUAAUUGAAGAGGAUAGAAAGACACAGAGAGAACAUGGCUAUGGUUAUGAUUUCCAUCUUAUCAUCUCCCGUCAAUACCACACAUGCCUUCCCGGAUUGGUCCUUUUGAGGUUGGAUACUCUCAACGAAAUUCUAUAUCUCAUUCCCACUUAGAUACAAACAGAAAAAUCAUUCUUUUUUUUUUCCUCUCUCGUUUUUUAGAAAGGAUGAAGAUUAUAUGAUAGUAUAUCUUAAAAAAAUUCUACACCUGUCAUUCUCACACAAAUACAUAUUAAAAAUCAUUCAUUUUUUCCUAUUUUUCACUUUUUUUUUAAGGACAUGAUCAUGUGUUUGGUUUAGAUUAAAAAAAAUCAAUUAAUCUAUAGUUUUUUCUUCCAUGCUAGAAGAUUAAACCUAAAUUUUUCUUCCCUACAACUCAAGAAAACACAAUUCACAAAAACCAUAAUACAAAGAUGUUGAAACAAUUAAUAUAAUGACAUUAAUAAAAGAAAAAAAAAUGAUAGAUCCAAGAGAUUUUGGAUUACCUGGGAGUCCACAAAGUGAAGAAUGUCGGUUUUGAGCGUGUUGACUAUGGAUGGGUGAGAGAAAAGGUUGAAGAAGAUCAUGAUUUUAUAUAUAGGAUUUAUAUAUUGAGAUUUUUUGGAUUGUGGGUGAGAUAUGGAAACAAUGGGAUUUUUAUAUAGUAUCCAUCAUUAUUAAUUCUAAAAGUGGGCUCAUUAAGUUAUAAUACUUAAAAAAAUUUAUUUUAUAUGAUGUCACUUCCCAAAAAAUGAUCCUAUAAAUAAAAAAUUAAUAUCAUCUAACUACCUCAAUUGAAGAUUUUUUAUAUGAUGUGUCACCUUUAUUAAUUAUAAACCCUAUGGUGUCAUUAUCUUAAAAGUGACACCGUAAAUAGUGACACCAUAAACUAUUUUUGUAGUAGUGCAAUUCUAUUUUUUGCCUCUUCCAAUGUAUUUGUUCCUUGAAACAAUCGCAGACCCAUACCAUAUUUCAAUAAAUCAUCAAUAUAAAUCUUAUUAGACAUUAAACCACAAAGUAAGAACAAGAAGGACUUAACUUCAUCACCCUCCAAGUGUUUGUAACUCAACUCCAGAGUUGAGUAUACCAUUGCAUCCAUUCCUUUAAUGUUUGUUGGAAUAGACCUCUUUAGUUGUCGCAAGGCAUAUAGACAAACCCUUGUUUUUUAAUGCAUUUGCCACUAUUACGAUUGCAAUUGGAAAACCCGCACCUUCUUUUGCUACAUCAAUUGCUAUGGAUUGCAAAUCUGGCUCCUCAAUGGAAUCACCGGCCAUCUUCUUAAAUAAAAUCAAUGCUUCUUCCUCUUGUAAAUGUUCAACAGGGAAAUCCUUUUGAGUACCCAUCUCAUUGGACAAUACAUGUUUAUUUCUAGAGGUGAGCACCAUUUUACAUCCCUUAUGAUCAUCUCCAAAAGGAAUUCCCACUUUCUCCAGAUCGAGUUCAGUCCAAAUAUCAUCCAAAAUGAUGAGGAUCUUCUUCACUUUCUUCAACCUCUCACAUAGUCGAGCUGGUCUUCCCAUUUCACUCUCCUCCUCGAAUUUCAAACCAAGCAUGUCUGCAAGUUCACCUUGAAUUUUUUUCAACUCAGGAGUGGAAGAUAUAUAAGCCAUAAGUACCUUAUCAAAUAACUUCUCUUCUUCAGCUUGUUUAGCUACUUGUUUGAUCAGUGUGGUCUUCCCCACACCAGCCAUUCCCCAUACCCUAAUGAUAUUGACAUGAGUAUCCCUCAAGGCCUCCAUAAUUUCAUCCAAAGUAGUCAUUCUUGAUUCUAAAGCUUCAUGACCUUUGAAAUGCGCAGAUCCUAUCCCUGGCAGAGGAGCACGAUAUGAUACCCUCUCAAAUUUUCCAUCUCCUUGGAUUUCAGCAACAACCCUUGCCCUCUUCUUCGCUUCCCUGCUCAGCUGGUAUUGCGACUUCAAAUUUGGACAGGACCCAUUGAAACAACUCUGGUUUGCUUUCUUCUCAACCUCAAAAAAAUUGCCAGCCUCUUCCAUGAACCCACUAACACGCAAAAGCCACUUGUCAACAUCAGCUUCAAUUUCAUCCCCAUUCCUAAUAGCUUCAUCUACAGAUUGCUCCAACCUAGCCCUGGCAUCCCCAAGCUUCUCAACUUGUUGCCUGAGAUCAUCAAUGUUGUUGCGGUAGUUAAACAGAUAGCCAAAUGAACGUCCAAUUGGAGCAACUACGUACUCUGCAACUUCUGCUGCAAUCGUAACAACAAUUUCCUCCAUUUCCUAUUUGGGAUUUCCCACUUUUUCUCCUCCAGGAAACCAGAUGACAAAAAAUACCAGCAGUGCGGAUUCAAUGAAAGGGUUUUUACUUUUAGCAAGCAAAGGGCCUCAAAGGACUAUGGGUCAAGAGAGAACUUAUGCAAUUGGAUUCAAUGUGACAAAAGGAUAAAAGGAAAAGGAAAUGAAAGGUUUUAGAAAGCAAAGAAGGAGAUGGAGGCACUAACCAGCAGAAUAGAAAUGAAAAUGAAAAUUAUGCAAGUUCCAACCAUAUCCAUCAUGGGUUCUCAGUGGGUCAAGUUAUCAUUACAAUUUCUGAGUUUUUUAUUACUGUCUUUAAUGUUAUUAUCUAUUUUCUCACAGUAGUUGAGAUUUUGAUUUCACUCUUCUUGGAAAGCUUACCAUGCUGUGCUUUGGUGGCAUUUUUCAACCACAAGCCACUGUCUUCACAACUCUACUUGGAUUAAGGAAAGUGAAGAAAAAUGAAAAUAAAAGUAGAACCUUCUACCAGGCUGCUGCUAUGAAUUAUAGUCAAGGAAGACAACAAAGGAAAAACAAAAUUGGAAGGAGAAGCAUCUUGGUCAAUUCUGGCUUCUUGUUUGCUCCUACCACAUCAAAUAAGACAACACUCAACUAAUUAAAAUUAAUUUGCCUACUAAAAUUUUCCUGUUGUAAAACAAGGACAAAUAUAAUGCAAAUCAAAGUAGUAGAGAUAAAAUAUAUCUUACUUUGAUAUAUAAUAUGGAAGAAGGAAUCAAAGAAGAGAAUUGAGAAAGUUAAAGAAAGAGAGAGAGAGAGAGAAUGAAAGGAAGAACUUUCUUCUUUUUCUCAGGAUGCUUUUACAUGGGGGGGUAAGAAGCCUUUUAUAGGCUUCAUAAUAUGAACUCCCAUUACUCAUCUUAAAGAUGAGUAAAUGGAGUUCAUAAUGGCCAUCAAUGUGGUCAUUCAUUACUUUUCAUUUACAACACUCCCCCUUGGAUGACCACCAUAUUAAAAGAAUAUGCCUCAUUAAAACCUUACUAGUAAAAAACCCUAUAGGAAAAACCUAGCGAAGGAAAAAGAGUACAAUAUUCUUUUCUUGGUAUAUUAGGACUGCCUCGUUAAAAACCUUGUCAGUAAAACCCAGUAGGACAAAACCUGGACGAAGGAAAAAAGAGUACAGUACACUAACACCCUUUUACAAACAUACUCCCCCUCAUAUCGAUAUCCUUGAGUUGACGCAUUCCAAUCCUGUGUACUAACUUCUUGAAUGUUGAGGUUGGCAAUGAUUUUGUGAAUAAAUCUGCUAGAUUAUCACUUGAGCGUAUUUGUUGCACAUCAAUUUCACCACUCUUCUGGAGUUCAUGUGUAUAAAAGAAUUUUGGUGAAAUGUGUUUAGUUCUAUCUCCUUUAAUAUAACCCCCUGUUAUUUGUGCAAUGCAUGCAGCAUUAUCUUCAAAUAAUGUUAUCGGGCCACCUUUGAUAGAGGAGAGUCCACAUGAUUCCCGAAUAUGCUGGAUCAUAGAUCUUAGCCAUAUACAUUCACGACUUGCUUCAUGAAUUGCCAGUAUUUCUGAAUGAUUUGAUGAUGUGGCUACCAUUGUUUGUUUGACAGAUCUCCAUGAAAUAGCAGUACCAUUGCAAUUAAACACAUACCCUGUUUGUGACCUGCCUUUAUGUGGAUCUGAAAGUUAUCCUGCAUCUGCAUAUCCAAGCAAUUGUUGCUUUGAUUCCCUUGAGUAAAAUAAACCCAUAUCAGUAGUUCCGCGAAGAUAACGCAAUAUAUGUUUAAUACCAUUCCAAUGUCUUCGAGUUGGAGCGGAACUGUAUCUUGCUAAUAAAUUGACAGAAAAAGCAAUGUCUGGACGUGUACAAUUAGCAAGAUACAUAAGUGCACCAAUAGCACUAAGAUAUGGUACUUCAGGACCAAGUAACUCUUCAUCCUUUUCGCAAGGACGAAAUGGGUCCUUUUUCACAUCAAGUGAUUGGACAACCAUUGGAGAACUUAAAGGAUGCGCUUUAUCCAUAUAAAAACGCUUCAAAACUUUCUUAAUGUAUGUUGAUUGAUGUACUAAAACUCCAUUUGGAAAAUGCUCGAUCUGCAGGCCGAGACAAAAUUUUGUUUUUCCAAGAUCUUUCAUCUCAAAUUCCUUUUUCAAGUAAUUUGUUGUUCUUGUGAGCUCUUCAGGAGUUCCAACAAGAUUUAAGUCAUCAACAUACACUGCAAUAAUUGCAAAUCCGGUUUCUGAUUUCUUAAUGAAGAUGCAUGGGCAUAUAGGGUUAUUCACAUACCCUUCUUUUAGCAAGUAUUCGCUAAGGCGAUUGUACCACAUGCGUCCAGAUUGCUUUAAUCCAUACAAGGAUCGUUGUAACUUAAUUGAGUACAUACUACGAGGCUUUGUAUUAUUUGCUUCAAGCAAUUUAAAUCCUUCAGGGAUUUUCAUGUAUAUAUCAUUAUCCAUGGAUCCGUAUAAAUAUGUUGUAAUAACAUCCAUGAGACGCAUAUCCAGUCCUUCUGAGACUGCCAAACUAAUUAAGAAACGAAAUGUGAUUGCGUCCAUGACGGGAGAAUAUGUUUCCUCGUAGUCAAUACCAGGUCUCUACGAGAAACCUUGUGCUACUAAUCGCGCUUUAUAUCUUAUGAUCUCAUUAUUCUCAUUGCGCUUUCGUACAAAUACUCAUUUGUACCCAACAGGCUUUACAUCUUCAAGUGUUUGGACUACAGGUCCAAAAACUUCUCGUUUUGUUAAUGAGUUUAAUUUUGCCUGUAUAGCUUCUUUCCAUUUUGGCCAAUCAUUUCUAUGUCGACAUUCUUCCACAUUUCGUGGUUCGGGAUCUUCAUCAUUUCUUAUGAUAUCAGAGGCCACUUGGAAAGCAAAAAUAUUGUUAAUAGCAAUAUUAUUUCGAUCCCAUUUUUCUCCCGUUUGUACAUAACUUACUGAGAUCUCACAAUUUUCAGGUACAUGUGCCUCUUCAGGGGCUUCUUGUUCAAUAUGUGCCUCUUCAGGGGUUUUCUGCAUUAUUUGUGCCUCUUCUAGGGCUAUAGAUUUAUCAAUUUUAAAUUGAUCAGUCAUUUUGAUGGUCUCUUCUAGAGUGCCAAGUUUUUCUUGGGUUCUCCUCUUCCUGGGAGUUACAUCCUUUGAGCCGACAGGUCUACCACGCUUCAGGCGUAUCUUAGAUUCAUUUGUUAACUGUCCUACAGGGACAUCAAUUCGUGCUAGAGUAUUUGCAGCCGGGAUAUGUGACUUUGUCACUUUCUUUGUAUCAAUGAAUGCAUCUGGUAAUUGAUUUGCAAUAUUUUGCAAAUGAAUGAUCCUUUGAACUUCUAGUUCACAUUGAUUUGUACGAGGAUCAAGAUGGGUCAUAGUAGAUGUCUUCCAACUAAUUUCUCGUCGUUCUUUAGGAAUCGACUUUUCUCUCCCUAAUGAUGGGAAAACACUCUCAUUAAAAUGACAAUCCGCAAAGCGGGCUGUAAAAACAUCGCCUGUCAAAGGUUCAAGAUAUCUUAUGAUAGAUGGAGAAUCAAAACCUACAUAAACCCCAAGUCUUCGUUGGGGACCCAUUUUAGUGCUUUGUGUAGGUGCAAUUGGUACAUAUACUGCACAACCAAAGAUUCAUAAGUGAGAGAUAAUUGGUUGUUUUCCAAGCACAAGUUGUGAAGGGGAGUAUUCAUGGUAAGUUGUAGGUCGAAUACGGACUAAAGCUGCAGCAUGCAUAAUAGCAUGACCCCAGGCGGAAGUAGGUAAUUUGGUUUUCAUUAGUAAUGGUCAAGCUAUUAAUUGGAGACGUUUGAUGAAGGAUUCUGCUAAACCAUUCUGGGUAUGAGUAUGAGCAACAGGAUGCUCAAUAUUUAUCCCUACUGACAUGCAAUAGUCAAUGAAUGUUUGAGAAGUAAAUUCGCCAGCAUUAUCAAGACGUAUUGUCUUAAUUGGAUAAUCUGGAAAUUGUGCUUGUAAUCUGAUUAUUUGUGCAAGGAGUCUAGCAAAGGCUACGUUACGUGUAGAAAUGAGACAAACAUGUGACCACCUAGUAGAAGCAUCUAUUAAGAUCAUAAAAUAACGGAAUGGUCCACAUGGUGGAUGGAUAGGCCCACAUAUGUCCCCAUGUAUUCUUUCUAAAAAGAUUGGUGACUCAGAUAUGACUUUAGUAAAAGAUGGUCUGAUUAUCAAUUUACCUUGUGAGCAGGCAGCACAUGAGUAUUCAUUGGGCGAAAGAAUCUUUUGGUUCUUUAGUGGAUGCUCAUUUGAGUGUUCGAUUAUUCGACGCAUCAUUGAAGACCCUGGGUGACCUAGCCUGUCAUGCCAAAGGAUAAAAACUUUUGGGUCGUUGAACUUCUGGUUCACGACAACAUAUGAUUCAAUAGGCUUUAUAGUUGUAUGAUACAACCCAGAGGAGAAAGCCGGGAGUUUUUCCAUUAUAAGCUUCUGGCCAGAUAUAAUGGAAGUAAUGUAAAGAUAUUCUACAUUGUCUUCAUUCAUAGUUUCAAUAUGAUAUCCAUUUCUACGGAUAUCUUUAAAACUGAGCAAAUUUCUUUUGGAUUUGCUAGAAUAUAACGCGUUAUUUAUAUGGAAUCUAGUUCCAUUUGGCAAUGUUAUGUUUGCUCUUCCAGAGCCUUCAACUAAGUUUGUAGUACCAGAUAUGGUACUUACAUUAGCUUUUAUUAAUGUCAAUUCGAGGAAAUAUCUUUUAUCUCGAAGAAUUGUGUGCGUGGUCGCACAGUCUGCGAGACAUACAUCAUCCUCAUUCAUCUUGAGACCAAAUAACACAUGGAUUUCAGAUAUAACAAAAAAAAACAAGGCAUAAUGUAAAUAACAAAGUAAAUCAGAUGUAAAUAUAAGACAUAGUAAUAUAUUAUUUUAUAUAUUGAGUAACAUCAAUCAAUGUUAAUUUUUUCAUCAUUUAUCAAAUGGUCUGUUUUUUCAUUGGGACCUCCGAAGAAAUCAAUGUCAUAGUAGGUUAGGUCCAAUCCAUCACCAUCGGUAAAGUUCAUCUCUUUCUCUUUUCCUUUAGCUUUUAUUGAUGCUUGGUAAAGGUCGACCAAAUGUUUGGGCAUACGACAGGUAUGCGACCAAUGCCCCUUCAUACCACAUCUAUAACAAUUAUUCUCAUGGUUCUUAGGAGGUUUAUCUUGUAAACGCUUCCCAUUUUCUUGUAUUGUCUCAGUAUUGUUCCACUUCUGGUGGUGCAAUGAGGCUUUCAUUUUCUGAGAAUUAUUACUAUAAGAACCAUGGUAUCGGGGAUUUCUUCCAUGACCACGACCACGUCCUCGUCCUCGUCCACGUCCAUGAGUUUGGGACGAUAUUGCAUUCACUUCAGGGAAUGGUUCAGAUCCAGUUGGAUGAGACAGGUGAUUUCUCAUCAAAAGCUCAUUAUUUUGUUAAGCAACAAGAAGACAUGAUAUUAAUUCAGAAUAUUUUGUAAAUCUACGCUCUCGAUAUUGCUGCUGCAAGAGCACAUUCGAGGCAUGAAACGUAGUAAAAGUUUUCUCUAACAUGUCUUCCUCUGUGAUUUUUUCUCCACACAGCUUUAAUUGAGAGCUGAUUUUGAAAAGUGCAGAGUUGUAUUCACUAACAGUUUUAAAAUCUUGCAACCUUAGGUGCAUCCAAUCAUAUCGAGCUUUUGGGAGAAUCACAGUUUUCUGGUGGUCAUAUCUUUCCUUCAAAUUACUCCAUAGAGUAAAAGGGUCCUUUACCGUAAGAUACACAUUUUUUAAAUCUUCAUGGAGGUGAUGGCGAAGGAAAAUCAAUGCUUUUGCGCGAUCCUACAGGGAUGCUUGAUUUCCUUGUUUGAUCGUAGCUCCAAGGUUCAUUGCAUCAAGAUGUAAUUCAGCAUCAAUGAUCCAAGAUAGAUAGUUCUUUCCCGAAAUGUCAAGUGCCACAAAUUCGAGUUUUGUGAUAUUCGACAUUGUCAAAUAACUUCAUAUAUAUGACAAAACAAUAUUAUUAAAAUCAGUUAUAAUAACUUGAUAGCAUUAGUAUAACUUUGAUUAUAAACAAAAUCAAAUAAUUUGUUUAUAACUUUUAACAAUAUGUAACAAAACAAAUCAACAAUAAUAUAAAUAUGUAAAAUUUUAUUCUAUAUAAAUAACUUCAAGUUUAAGAUACGAGAAUUACCUUCAGAGCAAUUCGUGCUGAUAACGUGUUGUAAAACAAGGACAAAUAUAAUGCAAAUCAAAGUAGUAGAGAUAAAAUAUAUCUUACUUUGAUAUAUAAUAUGGAAGAAGGAAUCAAAGAAGAGAAUUGAGAAAGUGAAAGAAAGAGAUAGAGAGAGAAUGAGAGGAAGAACUUUCUUCUUUUUCUCAGGAUGCUUUUACAUGGGGGGUAAGAAGCCUUUUAUAGGCUUCAUAAUAUGAACUCCCAUUACUCAUCUUAAAGAUGAGUAAAUGGAGUUCAUAAUGGCCAUCAAUGUGGUCAUUCAUUACUUUUCAUUUACAACAUUUCCAACUUUAUUAGCAAUGAAGCCAUCUCAUUUGACCAAAAUAAAAAUAAAAAUUGGAAUCUCUUAUCCUUUGUGUAUAAACCAUUUGUGAGCCCAUCAUUAUGUAUUUUUCAAUUUUUAUUAAUUUAUUCAGAUUUUGUAUCGUCUUUUUAUUAUUUAUUUUUUCCAAACGAAAUGAGCUAAUAAUUUAUCUAUGAACUCGAUACAUGUAUGGUAUUAAAAACUUUUUUUUUCUUAUUUGAUGUAAAAUAUCAUACUAAUUGGAAGUCGAUUAUUUUAUAAUAUUUAUGAUAUAUAUUAUACGAUAUAAUAAUAUUUAUUUCAUUUAUUCUUUUUUUAUUAAUUUUAAAGAAAAAGUAAAAUUAAAACUAUUAAAGGGUAUGAUAAGUCAAUUUAUUGAUUUAAUAUGAUUUAAUGACUUAAUUUAAAUCAUUAAUUAAAUAUUUUAAAUAUGUUUGAUAAAGUAAUUUAAUAUAUUACAACUUAAAAUUAUAAUUGAAUGAGUAAUUCAACUUAACCAAUUAAUAUAAUUUAAUAACUUAAAAAUAGUUUAAUUCAAAGACAAUUUUAAGUAAUUAAAUAAUAAAUAUUAAAUUUUAACCAAAUAAAAUUUUGUUUCAUUUACUAUUUAAAUUUAAGUAUAAAUAUAUAGAAAAAGUUUGAAAAAAAUAUUAUGGAUAGAUAUGGAAUAAUAUAAUCUGAUCAACCUAACGAAUUCAAAUCUAAUUCAACCAACUUAAACUCGGAAUAAUCUUAGAAACAAAAGAAGUUGAAUUGAUUUUGAGAUAAGUACUCAGGGUUAGAGUUAGGUGGUGUUUGUUUUUUUACUUAAUUCUAAAUAGAACCUUAAUGUUUAAUAGCGUUAAAUAUUAGGUUAUUUGUUUUUGUAGUAUUUUAUUUCUAUUAAGUAUUAAAAAGUAAAAACAAAUCAAUAUGUUAUUUUUUCUAUUUAAAAAAAACUACAUAUUUUGGUUUUUUCUAUUUAGUAAAAAGUUUAUAAUAAGUCAUAAAAAAGUAGAAAAACAAACAACCUAAAUUCUAAAACUAAAUUACUUUUAGUAAAAAGCCAAAAAACAAACACCAUCUUAGACUCCGAAUCGGGUUGAAUUUAAGUUAAUUAUUUUUUAAUUGAACCACCAACCUAAUCCAACCCUGUCCUGAUUUCAGCCCUAAUUGUAAUUGGUUCCUAUUUUAAUCUUAAUUAGUAAUUCAAACCAAGUAAUGAAUACUGAGACAUAGGAUGUGUUCCAAUCCAGAAACAUGCCCUAACGGUGUAACAAUGAGGACCUCUCUCAACAGGUUGAGAUGCUGAGGGAUGCCAGAGCUAGGCAGCAGCAGCAGCAGCAGCCUGUGGAUGGGGCUCUUAGGAAUGGACAUAGAAUCAGACUGAUGGUUGCAAGUGGUUGACACAUGCAGGCUGAUGGGUUCAUACGAGGUGGGGUGCUUGCAAUUUCCUAGAAGACGAGAAAGAAGCACAGAAGAGUCGUUUCAAUGGGUUGUGUCCUAGUUUGAAGUCCCGGCAGCUAUGAGCCUAUGAGCUAAACAGGGAAGCAAGGAAGAAGGCAGGGGUUGCUGUUCAAAUCCAUGGAGAUGGCCAUUCUGAGAGUGUAUCGUUUUGUCUUCCGAGGAAAAGUUAUUUCCUUGUCUACCGAUCACUUGUAUACAGUAAGGAAAAAAAUGGCAUUUUCUACUUGUUCUUAUCAAGUUCCUUGGAAAUUCAUUUUCCAAGUUCUCUUGCUGACAUGUUUGAUACGUGGGGAUGGAGACCCUAAACGGACACAUCUAUUUUCCUUUUUUUGUCAUUUUUCUUUAUAUUUGGAUGACUGGAGUGAUUAUAAGAAUGUAAAGAAAAAUAAUUUCCAUUAGGAGAGAUUUUAAUUUAUUUGAUGCAAUUUAUUUUUAAAAAUAUUUUUGUAUUUGAUUUUAUAAAAAACUUUACAAAUUUAAUUUAUAUAAUAUAAACUAAAUUUCAUUGAAAUCUUAUUAAAAAUAAUUUUUCAAUUACAAAUAAAUUAAAAAAUCAAUAGUUUUUAAUAAAAUAUGAAUAGUAAUACUAUAAUAAAAUAAUACAUUAUAUUUUUUUUAUAAAUAUUCUAAAAAUAUGAAUAUUAACAUUUAUCAAUUUUGUUAAAAAUGAAUAAUAAUAAAUUAAAAAUAAUUAUUAUUAAUACUAUUUUAUUUGAAAUGAAUUUUAAAAUAAAUAAGCUUUUUAAGAUAUAAAUGAUUCAAGUUGUUUAUUACAUGUACAAAUCUAGUAAUUAAUUAAGAAUAAAGUGUUUGAACAUUUUUAUUUAGUCUAUAAUUAAUUAAUUAAUUUUUUUGAAUUCUAAAUAACUCAAAGCAUUAAUUAUUCCUCAUUCAAUUUAAAAUUUAUUUACCUAACUAGAAAACUCAAAAAACAUAAUUGUAUGUAAAAAAGAACAAUAAAGUCACAAUUCAUAUAUAUAUAUAAGUUUUUAUCUAUUAUUUUUUUAGCAAGUACAUAUAUUUUUGGGAGAAUUAUGUUUUGAGGGUAGAUGGGCCCCCAAAUUAACAAAAGGUUCAUAUAACUCUUCAAAUUGAGUUAAAGGAUAUGAAAUGGUAACGGACAAAUAUACCUUUUAAGAACACAUAUAAAAUAUUUUAUAAAAUUAAGUUAAAUAAUUUUUUUUCAAUAAUUUUUUUUUCAAAAAUAAUAAAUUAAAUAAAAGUAGUUUUCAAAAAUAUUAAAUUAAAUAAUUUUUUUUUCAAAAAUAUUAAAUUAAAUAAUUUUUUUUUCAAAAAUAUUAAAUUAAAUAAAUUUAUUUUUAAAAAAAUAUUAAAUUAAAUAUUUUUUUAAAUAUUAAAUUAAAUAAAUUUAUUUUUAAAAAAUAUUAAAUUAAAUAAAUUUAUUUUUAAAAAAUAUUAAAUUAAAUAAAUUUAUUUUUAAAAAAUAUUAAAUUAAAUAAAUUUAUUUUAAAAAAUAUUAAAUUAAAUAAAUUUAUUUUUAAAAAAUAUUAAAUUAAAUAAAUUUAUGUUUUAAAAAUAUUAAAUUAAAUAAAUUUAUUUUUAAAAAAUAUUAAAUUAAAUAAAAGUAUUUUAAAAAAUAUUAAAUUACAUAAAAGUAUUUUUUAAAAAUAUUAAAUUAAAUCAAAAAUAUUAAAUUAAAUAAAAGUAUUUUUCAAAAAUAUUAUUUUUUUUUCUCAAAAUCAACAAAGGGCAUUUUGGGAAAUACUGAAGGAUGAUAUCCUUCAACUCAAUUUUCAUACUUUCAUUGGGUCUUGGGCUCAAUUUGAAGAGUUACAUGGACCUUUUGUUAAUUUGGGGGUCCAUCUACCCCCAAAACAUAAUUCUCCCUAUAUUUUUUAAGUUUUAAAUUAUUUUUAAAAAUUAUUAAACUCAUUAAUAAAUUCAAUAUAAAGUAUCGCUUAAUUUGAAAUUCAUUUAUCUAGAGAGAGAAAGUAAAAAAAAUUGAUUCUCUAUAGAAGAAAAAUAAUAGAGUUAUUUUAUACUAAUUUUUAUUUAUAAAUUUCUAAUAUAUUGUUAUAUCACUAUUUGAUUUUUAAAUUAUUUUUCAAAAUUACUAGAUUUAUUAGUAAAUCCUAUUAGAAUAAAUAUGGAUCCACAUCAUAUUAACCAUUGUUCGGGAUUUAGCUAUAUAUAUAUAUAUGAUUUCUAUUCGAUCUAGAGUAUGGGCCACCUCAUGUGUAGAGCCCAGAGCCAUAACGGGUCUUAGAUGAUGGGCCUAAGACUCAUGAGACCCAAUAGUCCAAAGGGUAUGGUCCCUAAGGCAUAGAGGGUAUAAAUAUAAGGCUAAGUGUCUAUUCUUGAUAUCACAUUUUUUGAAUAAGAACAUAACUCGUUAUCUCCUGUUUCCCAUUGCCAGAGAGAGUACAGAGAAAAGUGGCGUCCUCUACAGCCUUAGAAGAUCCGUACAUUUUCAUCAAAAGCAAAAAUGGACUCAGGUUCGUUCGUUUCCAUAAUGAUGUCUGGCAUAAGUUUUCAUAUGAUUUAGACAUGCGAUCCCGGUAUGUUAUUGGAUGCAAAACGGAGUCCUCAUAAAUUGGUAUCAGAGCAGACAUGUUUAAUCAUUGUGAAAUUGCCAUCUUUAAUUCUUAAUACAUGUUUCUUUGUAAAAUACGAUGCAACCCAAUUCAUCAAAGCCUUUGAUAUCUCCAAACGCUGGAUCCCUACGAUGCUGCCUAGAGGAGGGUUGGGAACACCGCUGUAGCGCUGUUUCAAGCGAGUGACGCCGUUAUGGCGUCAUUCCCAGUCAGGCGACGCCAUCCAGCGUCGUUUUGACGUUGCGACAAGUGAUCUAGAUAGUUGGCGUCCUCCAUUCAGGGCGCCAUUACAGGCGUUCAAAAGACUUCAUUCAAGCGUUCAAAAGACUUCAUUCAGGCGUUUAGAAAAACGUCAUUCAGGCGUUCAGAAAAUCCAUUAUAGGCCUUCAAAAGGGGCGCCGUUCAAGCGUCGUUAUAGGCGUCGUUCCAGAUGGCAUUGCAAGCACUGUUCAAGCGUCGUUAAGGUGCCAUUUUAAGGCACUCCAUCGACGUCGUUCAGGCGUCGUUUUCAGGCGCUCUAAAAACGUUGUUAUAGGUGUUAUUACAGACACCGUUCAGGCACCAUUUAGACGCCGGUGAGAAGUGCAAUCUCCAUGCGUUGUUGCAUCAUUUCCAAACCUCGGAGUUGAAGAUGCCAUUUGGCGUCAUUUCAAUCGAAGACCCCAUUUUGGCGUCGUCCCCCAUCGGCGACGUCGUUUGGCGGUGUUGUCUCAUUGCCCACGUGCUGCCGGCGUCGCUUGAGGAUUGGUUAGGCGCCAUUUUGGCGUUGUAGAUGAUUCGGCUGCAGGGGACCUUGGGUCUUUUGGGUUGUAGUAUAUAUAUGAAUUAAAAAAAAAGGGCCAACGCCCAAUAGUACAUGACCAUUCCUUUUAAAAAUAUUGGGCCAAAAAAUAUCCCUAAACUGUACCACGGGGGGCACCCCCCCCCCCCCCGCUACCAAUAACAUUUGGAAUUUAGAUAAAGACUAACCAUUCCAUUUCUAAAUGAACAAUAAUAUCCACAUUUGUCCAGACAUGAAACAGAAAUUAAAUUACGUCUAAAUGACGGAACUACAAAAGUCUCUUCUAAAUCCAAAGUACAUCUAGAGUCUAAUUAUAACCUAAAAAGGCCAAUAGCCUUCACUGCAACCUNNUGUCAUUUCCACAUAGAUGUAUCUUUNNNNNNNNNNNNNNNNNNNNNNNNNNNNNNNNNNNNNNNNNNNNNNNNNNNNNNNNNNNNNNNNNNNNNNNNNNNNNNNNNNNNNNNNNNNNNNNNNNNNUUUAAAAAUUUUUUUUUUGGUUUUUUUAAAACCCCCUUUUCGGCCCCUUUUUAGCCCCGGGGAAAAGGCCAUUUCCCCGGGGUUUUUUCCUUUUUUCCAAACCUUGGGUUUAAAAAUCCCUUUUGGGUUUUUUUAAUAGAAAACCCCCUUUUUGGUUUUUUCCCCCUUUGGGGGUUUUUUUUGGGGGUUUUUUUUUUUUCCCCCCGGCCCCCCGGUUUUCUUUGGAGUUUUUUUUGGCCCCUUUUUGGUUUUUUAAAUUUUUCGGCCCCGGGGGCCCCUGGUUUUUUUGGGUUUUUUUUUUUUUUAAAAUUAAAAAAAAAGGCCCCACCCCCAAAUAACACGGCCCUUUUUUUUUAAAAAUUUUGGCCCAAAAAAUUUCCCUAAAUUUUCCCCGGGGGGCCCCCCCCCCCCCCCCCCCCCCCCACCCAACCUAUCGUUCACCCACAAAAGGUACAAGCCUGAAUGACAAAUGUCGUUGCUCCGCUCCAUUCCACUUCGCUUCGUUUCGGCAUUUGCCCAUUUUUCUCCCAUCAAUUAGUAUCAAGGCUUGUAUAUAUAUAUAUAUAUAUACAUGGUUUUAUGCAUCAAUUGAUAUACAUAUAUACAUGGGUUUAUGCAUAAAUAAAUAAUUUUAAUUGAAAUAUUUCUUGCUAUAUUUAUGUUUAAUAUUUUAAAAUAAAUGAAUUAUGUAUAUUUUUUGCCAAAGUAACUUAUAUUAUAUAAUUUAUUUAUUUUAUAAUAUGUAAAUAUGUUAUUAUUAUUUAAAAUAAUCAGCCCAAAGGAAGAUUAUUUUAAUAUAGUAAUAAAUAAAGUAGUCAUAAAUAUGUGAUAAAUAAAGUUUAUCUUGCAUGUUAUAUGUCAGUCCAAAGACAGGCAUAUUGUUUCGGUUUUAUUGUCAAUAUUUAUGAAUUAAUUUCGAAAAGGAUACUAAUUACAAGUUGACAUUUUUGUCCAAAGACUGAAUAUUAAUGCUAGGUAUCUUGUAAUAGGCCCACAUGCAUAUACAUAUAUAUGUUAAAUUUUUAUUUAUUCAUGUAUGUAUGAUGUUUAUGUGACUGAUUGUGAGCUUUAUUAUUAUGAAUUCAACAUCUUCUAUAUCUGCAAAUGUUAAUAACAUUCCUGUACUUAAUGGCACAAACUUCAAGAAAUGGAAGGAGCACGUUAUAAUUGUGCUCGGGUGCAUGGAUUUGGACUAUGCAUUAAGAGAGGAUCGCCCUCUAGACCUUACUAGUGCCAGCACUGUUGAGCAAAGGGCUGUUAUGGAAAAAUGGGAGUGAUCCAACCGCAUGAGUCUAAUGAUAAUGAAGAACUCAAUUCCAGAAGCUAUAAGGGGUGCAAUACCUAAGGAAACCCGAGCCAAGACAUUCUUGGACCAAAUUGCAAACUGAUUCACUGCAAACGAAAAGGUUGAGACAAACACUAUUAUUAGUAAGCUUGUCUCCAUGCGAUACAAAGGGAAAGAGAAUAUAAGGGAGUACAUAAUGGAAAUGUCCAAUCUUGUGACUAGACUAAAGGCACUAAAUUUAGAGUUGUCAGAAGUCAUACUCGUGCACUUGGUCUUGAUCUCUCUGCCUACACAAUUUAGUCCAUUCAAGAUCAGUUACAACACACAAAAGGAAAAAUGGAUUCUAAAUGAGCUUAUUGCUUAGUGUGUACAAGAAAAAAAGAUAUUGAAACAAGAAAAAUUGGAAAGUGCUCACUUGGCUUCCACAUCUCAGGGAUUUGGUACCAACAAGAAAAGAAAGAGGGAUAAUAAAGGAAAACAAACUACAAUUUCUGGGACAUCAAAGCAAAAGGUGCAGAAGAAACAAGAUAAGAAGAUCACUUGUUUCUUUUGCAAGAAGGUCGGUCACAUGAAGAAGACAUGUACCAAAUAUGCUACUUGGCGUGAAAAGAAAGGUACACUUCUCAACUUUGUUUGUUCAUAAAUUAAUUUAGCUAUAGUGCCUACUAACACUUGGUGGAUAGAUACGGGUGCAACUACUCACAUAAGUGUCACAAUGCAGGGUUGCCUAAGGAGUCGAAUGCCAACUAAUGGUGAAAGAUACAUCUAUGUGGGAAAUGACAACAAGGUUGCAGUGAAGGCUAUUGGCCUUUUUAGGUUAUAAUUAGACUCUAGAUGUACUUUGGAUUUAGAAGAGACUUUUGUAGUUCCGUCAUUUAGACGUAAUUUAAUUUCUGUUUCAUGUCUGGACAAAUGUGGAUAUUAUUGUUCAUUUAGAAAUGGAAUGGUUAGUCUUUAUCUAAAUUCAAAUGUUAUUGGUACAGGUAGUCUAACAAACAAAUUAUACAAAUUGAAUUUAAAGGCCUCUAAUUGAAAUGUAACCUUUCAUUCAAGUAAUUAUGGCAUUAAGCGAAAAUUAAUAAAUGAGAAUUCAUCAAUGUUAUGGCACAAACAUUUGGGUCAUAUUUCAAAUCAACGAAUUCAAAGGCUUGUGUCAGAAGGAAUUCUUGAUCCACUUGAUUUCUCAGACUUUCAAGUCUGUAUAGAGUGCAUUAAGGGUAAACAAACAAAUAUAAGGAAAAAUGAUGUCAAUAGGUGCAGUGACAUCUUGGAAUUGAUACAUACGAACAUUUGUGGUCCAUUUCCUACUCCUUCUUGGAAUGGACAACAAUAUUUUAUCACUUUCAUUGACAAUUACUCAUGCUAUGGCUAUUUUUAUUUGAUUCAUGAGAAGUCUCAGUCAUUGGAUGUGUUCAAGAAUUUUAAAGCUGAAGUUGAGAACCAACUAAGCAAGAAAAUAAAGAACGUCAGAUCUGACCGUGGAAGUGAAUAUUAUGGUAGAUAUGACGGAUCCGGUGAACAACGUCCAAGGCCAUUCGCCAAUUAUUUGAUGGAGUGUGGUAUCGUUCCUCAAUACACCAUGUCAGGGACUCCAAGCCAAAAUGGUGUAGUAGAGAGGCGAAACCGUACUCUUAAAGAUAUGGUGAGAAGUAUGAUCAGUCAUUCCACCUUACCAGAAUCACUUUGGGGUGAAGUUGUCAAAAUUGCAGUUUACAUUUUGAAUAGAGUCCCAAGCAAGGUAGUAGCCAAAACCCCAUAUGAGUUAUGGACUAGUAAGAAACCUAGUAUUUGGCACUUGCAUGUCUGGGGUUGUCUAGCUGAAGCUACGCCUUACAAGCUAAAUGAAAAGAAAUUGGACUCUAGAACAGUGAGUUGCUACUUUGUAGGGUAUCCUGAAAGGUUGAGAGGUUUCAAGUUUUAUGACCCCUCAAUUAGAUCCUUCUUUGAAACGGGCAAUGCUAAAUUUAUUGAGGAUGUUGAGUUAAGUGGGAGAGAACCAUUAAGAAAUAUGGUAUUUGAAGAGGAAUCUAUUAGUAUUCCUAUUAUUACAACUGGACAUGGUCAUAUUAUAUUUGAUGACACUAUUCAGAAUGUAUAGUCAAUAACAGAAAUUGAAGACACACCUAACAUUCCUUCUACUCAAGUUAUGGAACUAGUUCAAGUUCAUGAAGAGGUAACUCAACAACCUCAAGUACAAGUGCCACUAAGGAGAUCCACUAAAUGAGGAGUACAAUUUCAGAUGAUUAUAUUGUAUAUCUCCAAGAACAUGAGUUUGACAUGGGUUUGGAAGACAAUCCAAUUUCAAUUAGUCAAGUCAAACAAAGUUCUAACUCUGAAAAGAGGAUAGAAGCCAUGAAGGAUGAGAUGAAAUCAAUGAUAGACAAUGGUGUUUGGGACCUAGUAGAGUUGCCUAAAGGUGUAAAAUCAAUUGGUUGUAAAUGGAUUUUUAAUACCAAGUGGGAUUUAAAAGGUAAAAUUGUUAGGUAUAAGGCACUCCUAUUCGCAAAAGGUUUCACUCAAAAGGAAGGCCUUGAUUAUAAGGAGACCUUUUCACCGGUUUCAUCAAAUGACUCUUUUAGAAUCAUCAUGACAUUUGUAGCUCAUUAUGAUUUAGAGCUACAUCAAAAGGACGUUAAAAAUGCGUUUCUUAAUGGUAACAUUGAUGAGACAAUAUACAUGGUGCAACCAGAGAACUUUGAGUCUAAUGAUUCAAAGCAACUUGUAUGCAGAUUAAAAGGGUCCAUAUAUGGUUUAAAGCAAGCAUCCCAACAAUGGUACCAAAAGUUUGAUCAGGUGAUUACUUCAUUUGGUUCUAAGGAGAACACCGUUGAUCAAUGCAUAUACCUCAAGUUCAGUGGGAGCAAAUUCAUUAUCUUGGUGCUAUAUGUUGAUGAUAUUUUACUUGCAAAUAGUGAUGUGGAACUCUUGCAUGAAACCAAGCGAUUUCUAUCCAGUAAAUUUGACAUGAAGGAUCUUGGUAAUGCAUCUUUUGUGCUGGGUAUACAGAUCUAUAAGGAUAGUUCAAAAGGUAUACUUGGGAUAUCACAAAAGGCCUACAUCGAUAAGGUGUUGAGUAGAUUUGGCAUGAGCAAUUGUGCACCAGGAGACACGCUUGUGGCAAAAGGUGAUAAAUUUAGUUUGCACCAAUGUCCGAAAAAUGAACUUGAGAAGAAGGAUAUGGAAUGGUUUCCCUAUGCCUCGGUAGUAGGAAGUCUCAUGUAUGCACAAGUUUGUACGGGUCCGGAUAUUGCGUACAUUGUUGGAAUGUUAGGAAGAUAUUUGAGUAACCCAGGUAUGGAUCAUUGGAAAAAGGUAAAAUGAGUUAUGCGGUAUUUACAAAGAACUAAAGAUUAUAUGCUGACAUAUCGUAGAUCCAGUCAUUUAGAGAUCGUGGGAUAUUCGGACUCCGAUUUCACAAGAUGUUUUGACAACAGGAGAUCCACUCUAGGCUACAUCUUCAUGUUGACUGGAGGAGUAGUUUCAUGGAAAAGUUUUAAACAAACACUUAUUGCUUCUUCCACCAUGGAGGCAGAAUUCAUAGCCUGCUACGAGGCAUCAAACCAUGGGAUAUGGUUGCGGAAUUUUAUCACUCAGUUGCGGAUUGUUGAUGGGAUUGAGAAACCAUUGAGAAUCAACUAUGAUAAUAAGGUCGCAGAAUUAUAUUCUAAGAACAACCGAAGUUCGUCAAAGUCCAAACACAUUGACAUCAAGUUAUUGGUUGUAAAAGAAAGAGUUCAGAGUCUUCAAGUAUCAAUUGAACACAUAAGCACAAACUCCAUGACUGUGGAUCCGCUCACUUAGGGUUUGCCACCCAAAGUAUUGUAGACCCUCAAUUUUGUUCCUUUAGCACAUGUCUUUAAACUCACUUUCGGUACUCCACAAUAGUUCCUUGGUGGCCUAUUACUACUCGUACAACUUACCUUUUUUGAGUCACCUCGGAGAUUUUGGUUGAGAGAUUAUCUAACCCUUUAUUGUGACCCUUGGCAGCCCUAAUUUAGACUUAAGCUCUUCAUUCCUUUUUAGGAUAGUUCUUAGGCAUGUUUAGGUCACUUAGACAAUAUCCCGAUCACUUUAAGACACCUAGUUCAUUAGGCACCCACUUAGGCCCAUUUAAGCCCACUUAGUCCACUUCGUUUGCCUUAGCGCACUAGGACACACCCUAGGUCACCUUUAGAUGUUUUUGCAUGGUUUGCAUGGUUGCAUGGCUCGUGUUUUUGGGUGGUUACAUAGCUUGUAUGGCUUGCAUGUGGUUGAUUUUUUUUUAUUUUUUGUCUUUAAUUAUUUUUAUUUUAUUUUAUUUUUUAUUUUUUAUUUUUUUGUUUAUUUAUUUUAUUUUUUAGAUGUGUGAUUUAAAUUUCUUUUGAUUUUCAAUUUCAUGAUAUUUAUUGAUUUUAAUCUUUAUUCUAUUUUGUCUUUAUUUUAUUCCUAUUUGUAUUUGUAUCUUUAUUUAUUUAUUUAUUUAUUUAUUUAUUGGGCAUGAGGAAACGGGCUGCCAUUUAUUUGGAAGGAAAAUCAACAGAAUUUUGAAAAGAGGAGAUUGUGUUUUUAGAAGGAUAGCACGUAUAUUAUUUCCAUGAGGGAAUCGGUUACAAAAGGGAAGAAAAUAUGAAAGGAAAGUGGAUUUUCCUCCAGCAAAUAUGGGGGGUUCUUUGAGGGAGGCGGAUAUAUACUAGAGAGAGAAAAACAGGGGCAUGAGAGGAAAAAAGGGGAAAGCUUGAAGGGAGUUUUUCCAUGCAAGAGAGAAAGAGGUGGUCCGGGGGGGCUGCCGUUAGAGAGAUUUUUAGAGAGAAUGUGAGAAAAACGGAGAGGAGUUUUGACAAAGAGGUUGAUGGAGGAUUUUUGUGGCUAUUUAGUUUGAGAGAAAACUAAGAGGCAAAGAGCUGAGCGUUUGGUGAGAGAAGAGGUUCGGCUGUUUCAGGAGUUUCGUUGAUUUUAGAGGGGAACUUGGGGUGUUUGCAGGGGAACAAAACCUCACUGGAGAAGGACAUUCUCAGGUAUGAAGGCAGCAGGUUUAUUGUUUUAUUUUAGUUUCUCAUUAUUCCCCUAUAUUUCCUGUUGAUAUCUGCAUGUUGUUUGGUUUGCUUGGGGUGGAUGAUGAAGGCCACUUGUUGCUUGUUGAUAUAUAAUCUUGAACUCGUGUUUGCCCUUGUUGAUCUUAAUGUACCUUGACUCGGUUAUGAAAUACCCAAAAAUCCUUCCAAUAUUUGCAUUUGGUGCCAUAUUUCUCACCUAAGGAGGUUCACUGAUGAUUCAUGAUGUGAAGCCCCUUUUAAGGACAUUUUUACUUGUUUCUUCUAUGCUCUGUUUUCAUUGCAUUUUUCAUUAUCGAGGCCACUUCUAUUCCUGGAUCUUGUUCAUUAUAUGGACUGAGAGGGGGGCAGAGAAGAAAGUUUUGGAGAGCUUAGGGAGACAUUCUUGAGGAGCAAGCUGGAUAUUUAGAAGUUGGAGAGCAGACUGAUUUUCUGAGGUAGCUGGGUGAAGUGCAGACUGACAAGCAUAUUAGUUCAUGUCAAAGAUGAUCAUCAUGGCUGCGUUUCAUGAACCUCCAUGUAAAUAUCAAAGUUUUGGGUGUUUGAAUAUGUAUUCCCGUUACAGCAAGCUGAAGUGUGAAUUGCAGUGAGCCUAUAGACCCUAUUGCUAGCAGAAUGACACACUAAAUGAGUGCUCCAUUACGCUUGAUGCUUCAAAGUUUGGUUGAUUGAGGAAUUGAGAAAGAAAUAAAACAAACAAAGCUGCCCUCGAACAACCCGCCGGUGGCGAAACGCCUCUGUCAUCACCGGAACGCCAAGCAACCACAGCCAUGGACUCAUGAUCAGUGAGGGUCCCAGCUUCGUGGCUCUCUCACCAUCAAGCUUUGCAAUUGUUCUCGAUGGUUCUUCCCCUCUAUGUACCGCGACAUCAAUAGAUGCUGAGGGAACUGUCGAGCUUCACGUUCAGGUUGAUUGACUACAUGCUGAAGAUGUGUUGGCGUUUCCAUAUUCGGAUAUAAUGUGAAGAGUUAGAGGUUGAAGAAGUCGGUGUGUUUAUGGCAUCUCAAACUGUUGUGGAGCAGUUCUUGACUCUGCAUGUAAGCUUGAAUAAUGCUCACCUCGUUGCUGAUUCGCUAUCGCCUCAAACCUUACCUGCAUAUUUACACAUCUAAUGGGGGCGUCUCUCCACAUUAAAGCUUUACAAAGUUAUGAGAGACCCUUAUGGCUAUAGCUGCAAAUUGACUAUCCCAGGAUAUCGGCAUGAUUUUGUCUCACUUCUUCAACCACUGGAACUGUGACAAUUCCAACAUUAUCGGCCCUUGUUGGUCCUUUUGGCACUGAAAUACUAAUGCAACCUGCACCAUUGUCACAACCAGGUCCCAUGCUUACAGGUAUGGGAGUUGUGUCUGGACCCAUCCCAGAGGACUUCUUCCAGAAUACAAUUCCAUCUCUUUAGGUUUCAGCUGUACUGUAUUUUCCUGGGAGUUAUCUUGCACAAUAUCAAGGGAUUGAAGGCAACAAGGUUACACCUAACCAGGUUAAUGCACCUGUAGCUGAUGUUGGCCUUCCUGAUGGUGAUGCCUCACCACAAGCCACUCAACAACCUGUUAUUCCUCUGGAAUCCAUUGGACUGCCAGAUGGUGGUGUCCCACCACAAGCCAUGGGUCAGGCUGCUGACCUGCCACAAUCCAUGAGUCAGGCUACUGUCCCACCACAAUCUGCAAGUCUGCUAGGCUGUGAGAAACGUACCUGUUGUCGCCAUCUAUAGUUCAAGUGAGGGAACUAAUCCUUUUGGUGACACCGGUGAGCUUGUUUCACCUGUGCAAGAUGCUCUUUUCAGGGUGCACGAUGGGAUUGCUGCCGGUGAGUUGCCUGCUGAUGAGGAACCUGAAGAGGCCCAGCAAGUUAAUGUUCGGAUGUUUAUGCCUCCCGAUCGAAUUGGUUGUGUUAUUGGGAAAGUUGGGCAAGUGAUCCAGAACAUACAUAGUGAAACGCAUGCUCAGAUUCACAUGCUAAAAGAUGAACAUCUGCCACCUUGAGCCUUUAGUUCUGAUGAGUUUCUGCAGACAAUUGGGAAUGGCGCAAGAAAGGCUCUGAGGUUGCAAUUGCCCCAUGCUGGUUUAGAAUGCAGUCAUUGGUGACCUUUCUCGUCUGGUGGCUCACCCAAAAUAUGAUCAUAAAAGUUGACAUGAACCACGACAGCACUAUCAACCAAUCGCUAUGCUGAAUCAAAUCCUUAUGAAGUUGAAAGUGUUACAUGGAUGCUAAUGAAUCUCAGUUGCUUUAGUCAAAUACUUCUGCCUGCAUUUUGAGACCUUCCAGCUUGGAAUGGUUUUAGUCUACAUGACAGCCUUGAGGUUCAGGGGUGAUAACAGCGAGGUACGAUAUUAUAGUCUGUCUUGAAGUUGUGGAGUUUCACAGAAGACGACCUCAGUGAGAAGUUUGCAGCAUGCCACUCCUUGGCUGCCUCAAUUUCAUUGGCUAUCUCAUAGCCAAUCCCAUCAUUCCACCCUGGUCCCAUGCAUGCACGUAUCCUAUUGCAUAGCCACUUUUAGGCCACAUGUCUUUCUGCCUUUGUUUCAUCUUUGUUUUUUUAAAAUAAUCUUUCAAAUUCCAGUUUUCAAAUAGUUUUCCAAUUUCUAGAUUUUCAAAUAAUUUUAACUUUUCAAAUCUUCAUCCUUAGUUUUUUUUAGGCUUCAAAAUACCAAUUUUAAUAAAAUUUGCUUCCACUUUCUAUUCGGCAAGCAAUUUUCAAAUAUUUCAUGAUUUUUUAAAAUGUUUUAAAAAUAAGCAAGAAUUAAACUUCAUAAUUCCAAAUCAUGGAAUUUAUGGAAUCAAUUCAUGCAAAAUUAAUUAGGGCUUUGGUGGGGGCCCGACAUUCAUGAUACCUUCUUCAAUAUUGUUUGCUUGAUAUGUUGAUUUUUGAUUCUCCUUGAUGAUAUAUAUGAAUUUGUUUCGUAUUUAUUGUUGAGAUGCUCUUGAUUUCCCAUAGAGGAGUACUAGCUUGCUAUCCAGGUACGCUCUCUUCUCAUCCAUUUUUUAGAACUCUAUAGACUUGUAUGUCAUUGAUGACUAUAUCCAUAUUUGACGUGAUUCUUGGAUGUCUUGAUAUAUGCUUGAUUUGCUUGAACAAAACAAAUGUUGUGUGCUACAAUUCUACACUAACUUUUAUGUUUUAUGAUAGCGCUUGAGAAGCCAUUCAGGUACGCACUUCGACUCUCUCUUAUGGUUGGUUUUCUUGUUAGACAUGCAAUAUUUGAAAUCACCUAACCUACUUAGGUAUCCAUAAUUAACUGAUUAAUGGCCACACUUCCCUUAACUUUGUCACUAGAGACCUCUUUAGGGCUUAGAGGGGUGCUACCUCUUAGAGGUACCUUCCCAAUAAGUAACCUGAUCCCCGAACCUAGACUCAGGUUUCUCAAAGACAUGCUUUUUCCAAAACUAUGGAGUCACUUUUUAGGGUUUUUCUUUCUUGUUUUAUUUUCCCUUUAAAAUAAAAAUAAAAUAGGUGGCGACUCCAACUUUUUUUUAAAAUUAAUUUUUCACAAAUAAGAAGCGAGUCUCGCCGAUCGAGUGGGGGCGCACGUGAAAAAUGCGGGUCCACAAGUAUAUCAUGAGCAUGUCACACAUAUGGGUGCUAUACACAUUGAUGAUGUGCUAGUAUAGUAGGAAUUUGUAUUUAGAUUUUGUGUUUGUUUUCUUAAUGUGAUAUUAUGUUUGUGUUAUCUGUACAGACUUUGAUUUUAAAAGACUAUUGUAUUUGAAUACUCUGAAUUGAAAUGAUGACUUUCAAAAACAGUUUAGCAUCAAGUGUUGAAAGUAGAAUUUGACUAUUUUUAGUCAUAAAGUAGGACCAAUUGGAAAUAGACAUAUUAAAGAUCACAUUCUAUGUAAUUUUCAUGCUACACAUCCAUACUUGAUCCAUGUUGCUAAUUUUGUGAUCAUUGAUGGGUCUAGUUAUAAUUAUGAUUAACGAAGGCCGCUUUGAUCCUAUGUUAGCAUAAUUAGUAGACCAUAUUGUUUAAGGAUAUUUGAAUAGGAUAGCAAAGAUGAACUCAAUGAAGUAUUAUCAUGAACAUUGUUGGCUAAUAUAUGUGGUCCAAGUGGGAGAUUGUUAGAAUAAACGUGGACCCACAUCAUAUUAACCAUUGUUCAGGAUUUAGCUAUCCAUAUAUAUAUAUAUAUAAUUUCUAUUUAAUAUAGAGUAUGGGCCACCUCAUGUGUAGAGCCCAGAGCCAUAACGGGUCUUAGAUGAUGGGCUUAAGACUUGUGAGGCCCAAUAGUCCAAAAGAUAUGGUCCUUAAGGCAUAGAGGGUAUAAAUAUAAGGCUAAGUGUCUGUUCUCUGUUCUUGAUAUCACAUUUUUUGAAUAAGAACAGAACCUGUUCUCUCCCGCUUCCCAUCGUUAGAGAGAGUACAAAGAAAGGUGGUGCCCUCUACAACCUUAGAAGAUCUGUACCUUUUCAUCAAAAGCAAAAAUGGACUCAGGUUCGUUUGUUUCCAUAAUGAUGUCUGGCAUAAGUUUUCAUAUGAUUUAAACAUACGAUCCCAAUAUGUUAUUGGGUGCAAAAUAGAGUCCCCAUAAAAUCCAACGUUUGUUUUACUUAAUUUAGAAUAUAUUUAGUUAAUAAAAAAAUUUACAAAAUUAUAAUUAUAUAUAAAGAAAAAAUUAGUAAAAUCAUUCAAAAUGAAUUUGGGUUUGUGAAUUUUUAGUGUUUAUUUAAUUAAUUUUGAGUUUUCUGACUUUCUAAUACUAAUUCAAUUAGUUUUUGAGUAACUAAUUGUUUUUAAAAAUGAAUAUUUUUUGCAUUAAGAGUUGAUUAAUUUGGAGCUUAUUUGUUUCAUAAAUUUUUUUAGAGAAAUUAAAAGAAAAUUCAUAAAAAUGGAUAUAAUUUAAAGGAAGAUACGUAUUUUAAGAUUUUUUUUUGAUAUGGGGUGAUAGAGAGGAUGAAAAAAAAAAAAAAAAAACAAAGACAUCAUGUUUUACUCUUUCUAAUUUUGUUGUUUUUAUUUAUUUUUCUUAUUACUUUGUAUAUUUCUUUUAAAUUAAUAAAAAUAACUUUUACUUGUUUUCUAAUUUUUUUUCUAUUUCAUUUUAUUUUUAAAAAUUAUUACUAAAAGAUAAUAACCAAACCGUGUUAUAAAUUUUAAAAAUAAUUUGUUGUUUUUAAAAAUAGAACGUUGUUUUUAAAUUACAUCCUCAAAUAAGAUUUUAUCAUUUAGCGAAAAAGAAAAGAAAAAAAAACUCUGAAAAGAUGUUUUUAUAAAAUGAAAAAAAAAAAAUAAAAUAUGUGUAAUUUGAGAAUUUUUUUAGAAAUGAAAAUAAAAAAUAUUUUAAAUCAUAUGUAUGUAUAUUAUUGUCAAUUUAUUUUUGUAUUCUCAUUUCCAUUAUUGUUAACAUUAAAAUUGAAACAAAUAGUCAUUCUAAUAUUAUAUUCUUCAAUGCAUUUAAAUACAAAAAAUUAAAAUCAUCAAAUUUAUUUCUAUUUAAAGAGAUAUAUGAAUGAAAACAAAAUGGAAAUAUCCAUUUCCAUUCUUCAUUCCCAUAUACCAAAUAUGAUCUUAAUGUGCAUAAAUCGGUUCCCCAUUAGAGCUUGAAAAGGAAUUCACAAAAAAAAAUUAUCAUUUUCACUCUCAUAUUAAAAAUAAUUGUUAAAUAUUUGAUUAUUUAAAAAUAAAUAUUCUAAUUAAAUAAUUUUACAUUUGAAUAUGUAUCCUUGAUAAAAAUAUCUAAAUGUACAAUAAAUAUUUUCAAUUUUUAAAAUAAUUUCAUAAUUAAAAUUAAUAAAUUUUCUUUAAUACAAGCUCCUCAUAUUCACUUUUCAAGGGAUUUUGUUUCUCGUCAAGUUUAGAACGGAUUUGAUAAUAAUUUUAAGAAGUAUUUCAUAUUUAAAAAACAAAAUUUUGAAGUGAUUCCUAAAAUCACAAUCAACUCUUACAAAACACAUCUUAUUGGUAUCAAGAUGAUACUUUUAUUUUAAUGGUGAUUCAGACUGCUAUAACAACAAUCCGAAAGGGCCUAAAGAGCAAAAGAAGAACGAAAAAGCCGAGGAAUGAAAAAUCAAUGUUUAUUUGAUAAAAUAAAGCCCUUGGGGUGGGAAUGGUUGCGGAGUCCAUCUGUACUGUGUUGAACCAAAUCAAGUCUCGUAAGCCCAUUAUCAGUCUGAACUCCGGCUUCCUCUGUGUUUCCUUUGUCUCAUUUGACGACAAGCCACCAACAAAGUCAUGUAUUAAAGUACCGGAUUAGCUUAGAAAAUUGGUUUUCAUCGUUGGCCCCUCUUUCCUUCUCUUUUUCUUUACUAACCCAAGUGAGAUUGUGAUUUGCAUUUUCGUUUUGUUGGUAAGUCUCUCUGUAUUCUAUCAUCAUCUGCUUCCUGCAAUAUUUCAUUUUCUUGUUUUCAUUUCUCACCUUCAAUCCAUUGGCUACCACUCUUUUCUUUGUCUGUAGCUGUUGCUGCUACUGCUACUGUUGUUGUUGUUUUCUUUUGUUUUUUUAGUCUCUACUUUUGGUUUGCAUUUAUUAUCCCCACCAAAAAAAAAACCCAAAUUGGAAAUGGCAGAAAUAGCUAUUGCGAUUGCAACAAAAGUUGUUGAAUAUCUGGUUGCUCCAAUUGGACGUCCUUUUGGGUAUCUAUUCAACUACCGUAGCAACAUUGAUAAUCUUGUCCACCAAGUUGAGAAGCUGGGGGAUGUCAGGGCUGGGCUACAGCGUUCCGUGGAUGAAGCUAUCAAGAACGGGGAUGAAAUUGAAGCUGAUGUUGACAAGUGGCUUAUGCCUGCAAAUGGGUUCAUGGAAGAGGCUAGGAAGUUUCUUGAAGAUGGGAAGAAGGCAAACAAGAGUUGUUUCAUGGGGUUAUGUCCUAAUUUGAAGUUGCAUUAUAAGCUAAGCAGGGCAGCAAAGAAGAAGGCAAGGGCGGUUGUUGAAAUUCAAGGAGCUAGGAAAUUUGAGAGGCUGUCAUAUCGUGCUCCUCUGCCAAGGAUAGGCUCUACAACUCUCAGAGGGUACGAAGCUUUAGAAUUAAGAAUGUCAACUUUGAACCAAAUUAUGGAGGCCUUAAGGGAUGGUGAUGACAACAUGAUAGGGGUUUGGGGGAUGGGUGGUGUUGGGACGACAACACUGGUGGAACAAGUAGCUAAGCAUGCCAAGGAACAGAAGCUAUUUGAUGAAGUGGUUAUGGCAUCUGUAUUCCAAAAUCCAGAUUUGAGGAAAAUUCAAGGACAACUGGCAGACAUGAUAGGUUUGAAAUUUGAAGAGAGUGAAUGGGGAAAAGCAGCUCGAUUAAAUGAGGAUAUCAAAAAAGAGAAGAAGAUCCUAAUAAUUUUGGGAAUUCCUUUUGGAGAUAAACAUGUAUUGUCCAAUGAGAUGGGUACCCAGAAGGAUAUACCUGUUUUACAUUUACCGAAAAAAGAAGCAUUAGUUUUAUUUAAGAAGAUAGUGGGUGAUUCCAUUGACAAACAGGAUUUGCAAGCUAUAGUAAUCAAUGUGGCAAAGGACUGUGCAGGUUUGCCAAUUGCACUUGAAACAAUUGCAAAGGCUCUAAAAAAUAAGAAUGUGUCUAUAUGGAAGAAUGCUUUACAACAGUUAAAAAGGUCUAUGCCAACAAACAUAAGAGGAAUGGAUGCGAUGGUGUACUCAAGUCUGGAGUUGAGCUACAAGCAUUUACAUGGUGAUGAAACUAAGUCAUUGUUCUUGCUUUGUGGUUUAAUGGAUAAUGAUAUUUUUAUAGAUGACUUGUUGAAAUAUGUUAUGGCUCUACGAUUGUUUCAAGGAACUGAUACAUUGAAAGAAACAAGAAAUAGAGUUGAGGCAUUGGUUGACAACCUCAAAGCCUCAAAUGUGUUACUAGAAACCGGUGACAAUGCGUUUACGAGAAUGCAUGAUGUUGUUUGUGAUGUUGCCUUAGCAAUUGCAUCCAAGGAUCAUGUGUUUUCAUUGAGAGAAGGUGUUGGAUUGGAAGAAUGGCCAAAGCUGGAUGAACUCCAAAGUUGCAGCAAGAUCUCUUUGGCCUACAAUGAUAUCCGCAAACUUCCUGAAGGAUUGGUAUGUCCAGAACUUGAACCUUUUGUGUUAUAUCACAUCAGUGAUCCCAUUCUGAAAAUCCCAAAUACAAUUUUUGAAGGGAUGAAAAGCUCAAAGUUUUAGAUCUCACUAAUAUGCAUUUUACAUCACUCUCUUCAUCAAUUCGCUGCCUUGCAAAUCUUCGAACACUGAGUUUAGAUUAGUGCAUAUUAGGAGAUAUAGCUAUAAUUUCAGAGCUGAAGAAAUUAGAAUCUCUUAGCCUUAUAGGUUUUAUAUUGAACAGUUGCCCAAAGAAAUAGAGCAACUAAUCCAUCUAAGGUUGUUGGAUUUGAGUAAUUGUUCCAAACUUCAAGUAAUUCCAUCAAAUAUCAUAUCAAGCUUGUCUUAGUUAGAGUAUUUGAGAAUGGAAAAUAGCUUUACAGGAUGGGAGGUUGAAGGAUCCAAUGAUAAAAAAACUAAUGCUAGCCUUGCUGAGCUUAAAUAUUUGUCUCACUUGGGCACUUUAGAUAUGGAAGUACCAGAUGCCAAGUUACUGCCAAAAGGCAUACUCUUUGAGAACUUGAUAAGAUUUAAAAUACUUAUCGGUGAUGUCUGAAGUUGGUGUGAAAAUUGUGAAACCUCAUAAUCACUGAAGCUUAAUAAGCUCAACACAAGCCUCCAUUCGAUGGAUGGUAGUAGUAAAUUGUUGAAAAGAGCAAAAGAUCUAUACUUGCGUGAACUUAGUGGUGGUAAUCAUGUUCUUUCCGAAGUAGAUAAGGAAGGUUUUCCAGCAUUAAAGCAUUUUCAUGUUGAAAAGAGUCCAAAGAUUCAAUAUAUCAUGCAUUUAGUGGAACAAGUUCCAGGAAAUCCUGUAUUCCCUACCUUGGAGUCAUUGUAUCUCAUGAAGCUAAUUAACUUGCAAGAAGUGUGCCAUGGACAACUUCCACCAAGGUCCUUUGGACUUAAGAAUUGUAAAAGUUGAUGAUUGUGAUGGAAUUAAAUGUCUCUUUUCAAUAUUUUUGGCUCGAAGCCUUCCACAACUCCAAGAAAUAGAAAUAAAAAGAUGCAGGGUUAUGGAUGAGAUGGUUGAACAAUAUGGCAAAGAAUUAAAAGAUGGGAAUGAUGUAGCCGAUACAAUUUUGUUCCCUCAAUUACCAUCCUUGACAUUACAACAUCUACCAAGGCUGCUAAACUUCUGUUCAGAAGUGAAGGCACUGCCUUCCAUUUAUGUAAGCAUCAAAGAAUUGAGGUCAACUCAAGUAAAGUCUGAAGGAAUUUGUUUGGAGGGUGAACUUGGUACUCACAUACUGCUUUCCAGCAAACAGGUAUUUUAUGCUUAAUAGUCCUUUGUAUGGCAUCUUAUUUUCCCUUGUCAAUUUAGGUAAUGUUAUUCUUCAAUCAGAAAUUCUCAUGAUGUGCUAGUCAAGCAAUUAGGUCAACAAGCCCCCUUUCCACUUCAAGUCCUAAGUGCUAUAAUCUAUAACCCUUAUUCUUACAACCCUUUACCAGCAAAGAUAUUCACCUUUGAUACGAAUGAUUGUCUAUUGUACUAAAUUUCAAUCUUUUAAUGAAAGACAAGGAAAAUAAUGCUUGCCUAAUAGGUAUUUUAUAAAAUACAGAAGAUAAUACUAUUAUUUCAGUCUUUGAAGCUUUUCAUCAAAGAGUUGUACCUUCAUGAAACAAACUUCAAUAAUAUUUGUAUGUUUCUCCUUUAUAUGAUCAUUCAUUGUUAGUAUCUUAUGCUUCAUGCAUUAUACAUGAGGGGCAGUAGGACAAUAUGGUGCAUAUGUUAUGGAUACAUACCUCUAGUUUGCUUAGUCUUUAGCUCAAAUAGCAAUUUUCUUACCAUAACAAAUGGCAUUCGAAAUGAUUAUAGAGAAAGAUGCAAAAAAUAAUCUCAACUUAUUUUUUAUUUCCAUUGUCCACUUAUAAAGUACUUAUAAAAAGUUGCUUAGUUCUAGCUCAAUUCAAUCUUUUUUCAUGGAUGUUUAAUGAGAAAACUGUUGCAAUCCUCACAGAGCCUGUGAGGUUUUUGUUGGUGAUUUAUCCACAUACCACUAGUUAUGGAGAGGCUUGGUGUAAAAUUCUCUUGCCAAUUUAUUCUGGUUUAUCAACAACCCAUUCAGGGCUUACUAUAACAUGAAGGCAAUGUAUGUUGGACAUCCUGACCCAACUCCAACUUAACAUAUAACUAUAUUAGACCUAACAUAUAAUAAUGCUAUUCUUUCAUACUAUUAUCCAUGGAAAUUAAUUAUAUUUUAUAAAAUUUAGCCGUCAAUAUUUUUUUUAAUUAAAAAAUGCAAAUGCCUAAAAUUAUGAGAAAUCAUACCUUAUAUUCAACAUUUUAGCAAUUAUAUAAAUGCAUGACAAGACACUAAUUCCAUUGAGAUCUCAAUUAUCAUUAAUACAUGUUAAAUUAUGAUUAUUGACUAAACAUAUUUAUUGCAGUUCUGUUUCUUGUCCUUGCAAGUUUGAUAUAUGCAAUUACUGCAAUAUAUGGCAUGGUCAAAUUUCCAUGUUGUAGAGAUAUGGCAUGGUCAAAUUCCAUCUGAGUCCUUCGGCAACCUUCACUCACUACAUGUCAAGAAUUGUGCAUCACUAUUAAAAGUCUUGCCAUCCUAUUUGCUACGCAGCUUACAAAAUUUGGAAGUGGUAAUUUUAAAAAAAACUGUGAUCUACUAGAAGAAGUAUUUGAUCUUGAAGGUCUAGAUGUUAAUAAUGAACAUGUUCGGCUGCUCUCUAAGUUGAAAAAAUUAAGCUUAAUUGGUCUUCCUAAGUUGAGGCAUAUAUGCAACAAGGACCCUAGAGACAAUUUGUGCUUCCAAAACCUGAAAUGGCCAAAUGUGGACAACUGUGGCAACUUGAGAAACCUUUUCCCUCCUUCUAUGGCCUCAGAUCCUGUGCCACUUGGAGGUGUAGAAGUGAUGGCUAUAGGCAAUAUCGUAUUUCCUCAAUUAACCCACCUUUCACUGGAAUCUUUGCCCAACCUAACAAGUGUCUAUCCAGGAUGUCAUUCUCUACAACAGCUUGACCAUGUAAACCUAGAAAGGUCAGUUUGGCUCUUAAAAUCCUUUACUUUACCAUCUCGUAAUAUUUCUUUUUAACACUUUGUUUAGGGUAAAAUGGUUUGAAAUUUGCACAUGGAACAUUUUAGAUACUAUACAAUUUUCUAAUUUUAAGUCUUAAAAUGAUCACUCCUCAUCCCCUCCAAAUUCCAUCAUUUUUAGAGUGAAUUUCAUUAGAACUUCUAUUGGUUUCAGGCAACAUAAUUUAUUUAUUUAUUUAUUUUAAUAAAAUCUUCUCCAAAAUUUCCUCAUUCCUAGUGAAUAGUCAUUGUGGCACAUAUCUAUUCCAGUUUUGGGGAAUCUUUGGUGGGCAUUGAUUUGGAGAAAUAUUCAAGUUGUUGCCUAAUACUGAAUAACGGUGAGAUAGGGCUUCAGUUUUCAGGUUUUAAAGAGGGAAUGGUGGAAUUAGGCUUGUAGAUGAUUGACUAUUGUUUAAGGUGCUUUGUGACCUGCUGAUAUUAAAAGAAGCUUCCUGGGAUUGCUUGACAGAAACGGAAUUAUGCCAUUUUUUAGUUUGAGGUUGCAGUGACCAGGUGGAUGUUGUGGAUGCUCUUUAGAUAACUUCUUCUAGUACAACUGCAACUUGGACUGGGUUCCCACUUUUGUUUUUACUAGAUCAUGCUAUGCCCAACUGUAAAGAAUCCAAUUACAAAUAGCAAUAGCUAAUGUGGAAUUUGGUAGGUAAUUCCAAAUUAUUCUACAUCUCUAUAGUCUGUCCAAGCAAUGAAGAUGGUAUUUGGGGUGUUCAAAACACCACUCAGUUGUUAUUGAUAUGCCCUACUAUUCUAUGCAUAAAGGGCUGAGUGAGAGGUACUUAAUCAUUUUGUAGAAUCCAAUUGCUAAUUUAAAGAGAAAAUUCUCUGUAUAAGUUACUUCACAGCUUCUGCAAUAUAUAUAAGAAAAGAGAAAAACUAUAUAGGGAAGAAUAUAAACAAAUCCCCAAAAUCUAUUCCUAACUUGUAGAAAUAAUAAUAAUAAUAAUCAAAUCCUUAAAAUUAAGAAGCUAAAUAUGAUAAUUAGAAAUCUGCUUCUUGCUUAUAGAAAUUAAAAUAGUCAAUCCCUAAAAUAAAAGGUAAACUAAGAUCAAAUAUGAAAGCUAAAAUAGAAAUCGAAACGAUGGAAAUCUUUGAAUAUACAAUUAACACCUGUCAACACUUCCCCUUAAGUAGGAGUGUAGAUGUCUCAAAUGCCCAAUUUGUCAAGUAUUUAUCUAAAAGUCUCGUUUGACACCUUUGUUAAAAUAUCUACAAGCUCAUUCUCUGUCUUUAGAAAAUGAGUGCUAAUCCUCUAGUCAACUUUUCCUUGAUAAAGUAUUUAUCUACUUUAAUAUGUUUUGUAAGAUUAUGUUCAACUAGAUAGUGGGUAAUGCUAAUACAAGCUUUGUUAUCACGGUAAAGCUCCAUUGGAUCCCUAGAACCAAGCCCCAACUCCUUUACUAAGGCCUUCAACCAUAACAUCUAACAUAUAUCAUGAGCCAUAUUUCUAAAUUUGGCUUUAGUGCUUGAUCUAGCCAUAACAGAUUGUUUCUUGCUAUGCCAUGUGAUUGAUUCCCUCCCACAAACAUUUAAUACCUUGAAGUUGAUCUUCUAUCUAUUACAUAAUCUACCCAAUUAGCAUUGAUAUAUCCUUCUACUUUUAAAUGGCCAUGUUUAGAAAAAAUAAAAGCUUGUCCUAAGAGCAGAUUUUAAAUACUUGAGAAUCCUUUGUAGAACCAAAAUUUUUGCUUUGCAAGGAGCAUGCAUGAAUUGAUUUACCAUACUCACCACAAAGGUUAUGUCAAGGUGAGUAUGAGCCACGUAUAUUAGCUUCCCAACUAAUCUCCGAUAUCUCUUUUUGUCUACUGGCGUAUCAUUUGGACCUUCACCUAAUCUGUGGUUUUGUUUAACAAGAGUAUCAAUAGGCUCACAAGCCCACAUUCUGGUUUCAUCAAAUCCAUAAUAUAUCUCUUUCAAGAAACAAGAAUCCCUUACUUUAACCUUGCAACUUCAAUACAAAGAAAAUAUCGUAGAGUACCAAGAUCUUUGAUCUCAAAUUCUACUGCCAAAUAUGUCUUUAGUUUACUCAGCUUCUCACUAUCAUUACUUGUCACCAAAAUAUCAUCCACAUACAUGGUCAAGGUGGUAAUUUCCCUUUGAGUGAAUGUUUGAGUGAAAAAGUAUGAUUAGACAAAUUUUGAUGGUAUCCAUACUUCUUCAUAGCCUAAGUAAAUCCACUAAACCAAGCUCUAGGUGAUUACCUGGGUCCAUACUUCUUUAAUCUACAUAUCUUACCCCCUUUUAUUACAUUAGCAAAGCUAGGAGAAAGUCCAUGCAUACUUCUUCUUAUAGAUCUCAAUAAAGAAAUGCAUUUUUUACAUCAAAUUGUUGAAGUGGCAUGUCUAGGUUUAUAACCAAGGAUAAGAGGACCUGGAUGGUAUUUUUUUUGCCACUGAUGCAAAAGUUUCAUGAUAAUUUACCCUGUACUUUUGUAUGUAACCUUUUGUCACCAAUCUUGCUUCAAACCUCUUCAUAAAACUAUUUGCCUUGUAUACCUACUUACAACCAAUUGUGUUCUUUCCUUUUUGCUAGCUUAACUAGUUUCUAUGUAUCAAUUUUUUUGUAAUGCUUUCAUUUCUUCAAUCAUGACAACUUUUCACUUAGGGUUUUCAAGAGCUUCCUAUAACUUAUUAGGAAUAGACAUAGAGGAAAAUUGUUUUGCAAAUAUUUUACAUGAAAGAGAUAAACAAUGUGAAAGCAUAUGAUGAGAGAUGGGAUAAUUUAUAGUACAACUUGCAAAACCAUAACAAGAGGGUGGUUUUUUUUUAUUUUUAGAAGGAUAACAAGUUUGGUUCUUAAGAGUUAAUUAAGUUGACUCUUCAAUAAAAGUACCAAUAGAGAAUAGCAUUCAAGAGGAGUUACCUUAGGAUUACCUAUUGUAGGAGCAUCUUAUUAGUAUGUGGCUUUAUUCUCUAGAUCUAUGAUUUAUGCGGUAUCCAUAUUGUUUUUGAAUGCCUGUUUAUUCACUGUGAUAGAUUUAGAAGGCUUAGGAUAGAUUUGUAUGCACCCUACGUGAUACAGGGCAUGGAAAUAGAGUUAUCUGGGGUUCCCAACAACAUUUACAUCAAAGGUAUACUUUUUAAGCCUUAGAUCUAUUGUAUGGUUAAUUAAUCAAUUAGCAACCUUUUUGGGCUAAAUUAAGUGACCCAAACCCAUGAUGGGCUUAAGUGACUUAAGCCCAAUAGGAAGCCUAUAAAUACCUCUUUAGGGGUUACGGUUUCCAUAUCUUGCCAUGUUCUCCCUACAAUCUAGAGAGAGGACCCUAGCUUCUACCCUUGAGAUCUCCAUCAUCUCAAUGCCUAGACAUAAGAAAAAGUCAUCGGACGGAAGAUCAUGGUGUUUACGAGAUCCAUGACAACUUUAGAGUUAUCUACAUUAAUUGAAAUCGAUUUCAUUGGGUUGAUCAAAAGGUGGCUAAGUUGCUCGAGUCUUCUAUCUUGUUAAAUAUAUCAAUCUAUAUGACUUAAGAAAUCCUCUUGAAGUCAGUGCAGAAGUUUCAGAUGAUGAUAAACUAGUAAAAGAUAGUGGUAACACAUCCCAAGACUUCUCUUCCCCUUUAAGAGAAGCAUGUAAAUCUCCCCUUAAAUAGUCAACCUAAUGUUCAACAAAAGUAACAUCCUUAGAAACAAGCAUAUUUUCUAAAGGUAGGUGGUAACAUUUAUUUCCCCUUUUUGUAGUAGAGCACCCCAAAAAAAAUUCACUUGAAUGUCCAAGGAUCAAGCUUACUCCUAUUUUGUUUGUGGAUAUGAACGUAACAAACACGAUAAAAAACUCUGGAGGGAUAUGAAGGCAAGUUGGAAUAGGAUGUGUUUUGAUCAAUAACUGAAGAGGGGUUCGAAACUGAAGGACUUUGAAGGCAUUCUGUUAAUGAGAUAUGUUGCAGUAAGAAUUGCAUUACCUUAGAAGGAUUUAGGAACAUUCAUAGCAAAGAGUAAGGAUCCAACAACCUCUAUGAGAUGAUGAUUCUUACACUUGACUAUACCAUUUUGUUAGGAUGUAUUAACACAUGAAGUUUGAUGAAUAAUCACAUGAGACUAAAAAUAAACACUUUGACCCUUAUUGAGGUCCUCUCCUCCAUUAUCAAAUUGUAGAACUUGUGUUUUAUUGUUAAAUUGGGUAAAAACUAUUUGAUUAAGGACUUAAAGGUGGAAAAAAAUAUCACAUUUUUCUUUCAAACUAGAGAUCCAUGAAAUUCGAGUGCAAUCAUCAAUAAAAAAGAAGCAAACCACUUAAAACUUGAAUGAUUAGUAAUAGGGGAUGACUCUCACGCAUCAUUAUGAAUAAUUGAGAAAGACAACGAAAUUUUAUUAAUGCUUGAAGUUAAGCAAGUUCGAUGAUGUUUGAUUAACAUACAACUAUCACAAUGAAAAUUAUAAACAUGAACUUUGGAAAAUAAGGAUGGGAAGAACUUGUGCAAAUAGCUAAAUAAGAUAUGUCUACAUCUUCUAUAUGAUAACCAAAUCUAUUCUUCUGAUGUUGGCCUACCCAUUACUUGAUUCGCUUGUAUAUGUAAAUCUUGCCAAUUUAUGUUUUUGUAGUACAAACCACCCCUCUCUCUACCUAGACAAUUUUCGCUCUUAUAAGAUGAUCUUGGAAGGCACAAUAAAUUUUAAAGAAAGUUAUUAAAUACUUUAAAGCCUUAAUUAUCUAGCUAAUGGGCAAUAACUUGCUGGAUAAACAUGGAAUAUGUAAGAUAGUAGAGAGUGAAAUUUACCCCUAACAUAGUAGAAGAUCUAUUUGUUGUUUUAACGAUUUUCAUACUAGAAAGAAGAAGUGCAAAAAAUGGAAGGGAUAUUAUGGGAUCUUAUUCAUUUCUACUCCUCCUUUUGGCUUCUUGUAUUAUUACUUUAAGAGGAAUUCCACUUAAUGUUAUUCUACUUAUUUGGCUUUCAGUUUGUAAUUCAAAAGAGGUAGAUAACAUUUGAGAGAGUUUGAUUUUGGUUUUUGAGAUAUUUUGUACAUGAUUUUAUUAGUACUUCUCCUUGUACAGUGGAGGGGUAUAGUCUUAUUUUGAUAAGGUUUUGUACUUUACGGGAAGGACCUCUCAUCCUUCUCUUUAACUUUACUAUUAUCAAUAUAUAUUUUGUUUUUUUAUCCAAAAAAAAAACUAAGAUGAAUGUUCUAGGAAGAAAAAAAAAAGACUAGAUUCAUGCAUGUGUCUUAUGAUUUGUAGUACCUAAAUAUAUAAUCCAAAAAUAAAUCAUGACUAGAUGUGCUUAAGGCAAAUCCAAAUUUUCCUGUAUUGGCUAAGUUACAAAAAGCAUCUUUCAAGGAUAACCUCUAAGCAUUAUCAUUUCUUUGAUCUUCUUUUAUGGUUGGGUCAUGAAAUAUGAUUGUGUAUUAGAUGAUGUAUGAUGUGCUCUAGAAUUUGAGUUAAAACACUUCCUAUGAAACCUUUUUUAAUAUCCUUUUAUCUUGAAAUAUGUCUCUCGAGCAUGCCUUAUCUUAUCACAAUGUGUACAAAUUAAAAACUUCUUGUUUCCAACUUUCCUAGAGUUAGAGACAACUAGUGCAGUUGGAGCUUGAACAGUACUAAAUGUUGAACUCACUUGUGAGACACUUACAAGCAUAGUAGCCUGAUGAAGCUUCUCACACCAAACAUAGGCAGAUGCUCCAUUAAGAUUAGGAAGAGGAUAUUGCCUUAAAAUUUGUGCUAUGAUUUGUUCAAAACUUGAGUCGAGACCAACUAGGAAAUAAUUGAUCCUCUAAGGCACCACUGCCUCACAAGAAGUCUCUUUGAAUUGGUUUGUGCUGAUAUAAGGUAGGGAGGCUUAGGUAUUCUCAGUCUUGUGGCCCUAAACAAAGCCUCGUUUGGGAGGUGGAGCUGGAGAUUUAUUGUAGAGAGGGUUUCUUUGUGGAAACAAGUCAUCAUAGACAAGUUUGGGGUAGAGGAAGGAGGUUGGUGUUUGAAGGGAAUGAGAGGAUGGUCAAAUUUUGGAAGGAUUUGUGGUGUGAGGACCAAACGUUAAAAGAAGUUUUCCCUAAUUUAUUUUGGUUGGCGGUCAACAAGGAUGAGUGGGUGUUUGAUGUUUGGGAGGAGGAUAGUUCAAGACACUUUAAUGAUUGGGAAAUGGAACAGGUGGAGGGCUUGUUCUGAAAAACUGCAUCCUUUGGUUUUGAAUAGAGAUGUGGAGGAUGUCUUAAGCUAGAAGAAUAGCAAGAAUGACUUUUUUUUUGUUAGAUCGCUCUACUGCUCCUUUACAUGAGCCUUUAGUAACCCUUUUCCUUGGAGUAUUAUUUGGAGGUCAUGGGCUUUGUUGAGGGUAAGCUUUUUUUCUGAAUAGAUGCUACUUGUGUAAAGAGGAAGAGGAAACCAAUGACCACCUGAUCCUAUUUUGUAAGAAGGCUACAAUGCUAUGGAGCUUGCUUUUUUCUCUAUUUGAUGUACAAUGGAUCCUUCACUCCUCAAUUAAAAGGAAUUUGAUUGGUUGGCAUGGAGCUUUUGUGAGUAAGAGAAGGGAAAAGGCUUGGAGGGCAAGCCCCCUUUGAUUGAUGUGGACCUUAUGUAAGGAAAGAAAUGAAAGAGUGUUCAAUGACAUUGAAUGGUCCAACGAAGCUUUAAAACAGUUUUUUUUAUACACUUUUGUAAAUUGGGGUAGAGUGUCUUUGUCCAUGAUUGUUUUUAUAGAGUGGCUUUUUGUCUAGUUAAGAGAAGGGUUUUUCAUCUUUCUUUUUGCCUAGCUUCUUGGAUGUUGUUUGUAUAUUUCGUGUGUACUUUUUUCGCCGCUUCUAGGUGUUGCUAUUACAACUCUUAUUUACCUAUCAAAAAAAAAAUUGAUCAUCUCAUUCUUGAUUUUCUUCUUUAGGUUUGUUGUAUCUACAACACACUCCAUAUCACAUUGGCUAGAGAAAAUCAAGGUCUUUAUUAGCAUAAAGAGUAGAAACAUCUCUGGUCAAUGUCUUCCAUUGUUGUCUAGUCUCAUGUGUCUUAUGAAUAGGUUUGUAAAUCUGGGAAGCAUCACUACCAUUGAAAUAAGUUUAAGCCAUAGCAUCCUAAGUAUCAUCAGUUGUAGGAAGUCAAAGAAAAGGUGCACUAAUAUCUAAAGUUAUUGAAUUAGGAAGCCAUGACAUCAACACUGCAUUCUCCUCGACCAAGUAUAGAUGAAUGAAUCAGAAAAAAUUGCCUGGUUCUUCUCUUUAUUCAAGUAUCCCAACUUCCCCUUUCCUACAACUUCACAAACUAGGACCAUGUAGAGUAAUUCAUACCAUCAAGUUUGUUAAAAGUCAUCUGUAUGUACAUAUUAUAAUGUUGAACUAUUACAAUAGAAGGAAUAAGUGGUGGUGCUCCAAAACCAAAAACUUUUGUCACCAAUUCAAACAUGAUUCUUUGUGUGAGGGUAGUUGCAAACUCAAACAGCAAGGAUAGGCGGCAAGAGGAAUAGGUGAGCAGUAAAAGCAUCAAACUAAUAGAGGUGUCUUUGGUACUAUGAUGAUUUAAAGAGAAAUUUUGUUGUACAUUUACUUCAUAGUUUGUGUUAUAUAUAUAAGAAAAGAGAAAAACUAUAUACAAGGUCAAAUCUAAAACAAAUCCUUACGGGAAAUUUGGAGAAAAGUCAUUCUUGGAAAAUUUGGGGAGGUGGAGAGGGGUUGGACCACUAGAGAGGUGAGGGAUUCUUACAGGUUAAGUCUUUGGAAAUACAUUAAAAAAAGCUGGGAUAAGUUCACUCUUAGAGCCAACAUCCGCAUUGGUAAUGGUAGACGCAUAAGAUUUUGGUGGGACAGUUAGGUUAGGAAGAUUAAGUUGAAGGAUGUUUAUCCAACUUUUUUCAAGCUUUCUUCCCACAAGAAUGCAACAAUGGCAGAUUUAUGGGAAAGGGGAGGGGGUGGAGGUGAUGUUGGGAGGUUUCUUUUAGAAGAUCCUUCCAAGAUUGAGAGCAAGAGGAGGUGUCUUAGUUUUUGGAACACAUCUUUUCUUCAAAAGUGCAAGAAGGGGAGGACACUUUAAUUUGGAAAAAUGAUGGGAAGGGAAUGUAUACUGUCAAGUCUUAUUAUAUUUCUCUAAGGGCUGAGAACAAUCUUUUAUUUCCAACUAAAGAGGUUUAGGGAUCAGAUGUUCCUCUCAAAACUCCUUUUUUUGCUUGGGAAGCAGUUUGGGGGAAGAUAUUAACUGUAGAUAUGUUGAUGAAGAGGGGAUGCCCCUUGGUUAAUAGAUGUAUUCUUUGUAAAGAUAGUGAAGAGUCAACUGAUCAUAUUUUGAUUCAUUGUGAUAGGACAAGACAACUUUGGACUAUGCUGUUAACAACUUUUGGUUUGGUUUGGGUGUUCUCGCUUCAAUGAGAAAUCUUCUCCUAGAAUGGAAAUUCAAGGGACUUGGGAAGAAGAAAAGAGCAGUUUGGCGGUUGGCUCCGAUUUACUUAUUUUAGUGUACUUGGGGAGAGUGCAACCAAAUGAUCUUCGAAGAUGAAGAAUUGUCGGACCAAAAGUUAAGGGUUCUCUUUUUCAGAUCCCUUGUGGAGUAGUCCAAACUGCUGGAUUUGGAGAUCUCCUCUCAUCUGAAUUUUCUGGAGUCUCUUUAUAGUGCCUAGUCUUGCUCUUUUCUAAGUUUCUUCUUUCUUUUUUAGUGCUUGGGUUGUUUUUUUGUGUAUACUGCCUAUAUACGUUGGGUGUGCCCCAUUUUUUUGGUGCUUCUUAAUACAAGCUUUUGUCUAUCAAAAAAAAAAAAAACAAAUCCCUACAGUCUAUUCGUAACUUGCAGCAAUAAUAAUAAUGAAAUCCUUAAAAUCAAGAAGCUAAAUAUGACAACUACAAAUCUAUUCUUUGAUAAAAGCUCAAUAUUCUUUGACAACUACAAAACUAAGGUAUUUAAAUUUAAUAUUGAGCUGUAAUUACAUUACUUCUUCUGAUUUCCUACUAAAUCCCUAAUUUUGGUACUAAUAUAUUUCUGUAGCGUGUCUCGUAAUUUUUGGCAGCAUUAUAACUAAAACUUGUUGGCAGCCCUGCACUUUAUAAUGUAUCUAAUUGUCCCUGCCACAUAUUCCAACUAGUUCUCCUACACUUUCUAGCUGUUAUCAAUGCUCAAAAUAACCAUUACAGUAGCUGCUAGCUUUCUCUACAACUGUCGGCUAUAUUUCUUGCUGCUCAUACUUCUUUUUUGCUCUAUUUAAGGGAGGUGAAGGCUGACCAUUACAUAUGGAGAAAUAGAUAGGGAGAAAUGUAGAAUAUAAUCAUCCUCUUCAAGAGGAAGUAGAUUGAUGUAGUUUUAAACCCUCAUUUCCAUUUAUAAAAUCUUCAAUUUCAGUUUCAGCAUUGAUUUUCAGUUGUAAUUUAUUUUGUGUUGCCACCUGAGUGGCUAAAUUUCCAAGCCAAGGUGAGGGAAAGCUUGGGUUACUCCAUUCUUAUUGUUUCCAACAUAUAUCCUUGAGGAACCUGUAGGAGACACUCCCUAAUUUGGCCUGUUCAUCUCGUCCUAGGCAUUAGCUCACUUAGGAAAGGUUUUAUACUGCACAUUUCUUGUUGCCUCUGUAACCCUUAGGUUGCUUGGAAUGCCUCAAAUUAAAGGAGUUGAUGUUGGAGUAAGAAUUGGUACAUUUGAACCUUAUCGUAGUGUAAAUCAGUUUGGAAUGGUGAAGGGAAGUAGAAUUUGUUUGUGUAUCUUUGGGUUGGAAUUAGAUGAAGGAAUGCAUUGAGUGUUAUGGUGCCACACUUGUGGUGAUGAACUAUGCAUCGCAAUGAUAUUCCAAAGAUAGCUUGUAUGGGGGAUACUUUAUGCUAACCCAAAACUUCAUUUGUUUUCUUAAUUAAAUGCCUUGUUUUUUUUAGUCUUACCAUUUCAAAGACAAAUAACAAAAAUACAAAAACUGUCUUUCAUUCUCUUCUUGCACUUGUUUCAAUCAUUUUUUUGGGUUUGACACCCAAAUACUCAUCAAGUACUAUAAAUUCAAAGUUCUUGCUCUGAGGGACUCGACACUGAGGAGAAUACAAAACCAAGCUAUAAGCACUCCUUGCUUAUAGAAAUUAAAAUAAUCAAUCCUAAAAUAAAGGGUCAACUAGGAUAUGAAAGUUAAUAUAGAAUAAGACUGGAAAUCUCUAAAUAUAUGGUUAGUACUUGUCAACACCAAUCACUCGACAUGUGGAAUUCAAAUGGAAAGGUAGCACUGCUAGCAGCUUCAUAAACCAUAAAGCAUUAACGUGUUUUUGUCCUUUCACCGUUCUAGCUAUUCACAAGCAUGGUUAUUUGUCUCAUAUCAACCUUGUGCUUUUUAUAUCGUCUUUAUGUCAUUCAUUUGGAAUAUAUAGGUAUCAUUAAUGGAAUGGUUAAAUGAAUUCUACAGAUAGCAUUUCCUAGCUUGGAAUUAUUAAAUAUCUCAGGCCUGGAUAAUGUGGAAAAGAUAUGGCACAACCAACUUCUUGAAGAUUCUUUUUCCCAACUAAAAGAGAUUAGGGUAGCAUCCUAUGGAAAACUGCUAUAUUUUUCCAUCCAGUAUGCUGAACAGGUUACAGAGUCUACAGUUUCUAAGAGCGGUGGACUGUAGUUCAUUAAAAGUGGUGAACUGUAGUUCAUUAAAAGUGGUUUAUGACAUGGAGUGGAUAAAUGUUAAAGAAGCUGUAACAGCCACUCUGUUGAGUAAACUAGUUUUAUAUUUUCUACCAAGCCUUAAGCAUAUAUGGAAUAAGGAUCCCUAUGGAAUUCUCACAUUUCAAAACAUAAAGUUAUUAGAGGUUGGUCAUUGUCAGAGUCUAAAAUACCUUUUUCCAGCCUCUUUAGUUAGAGACCUUGUGCAACUUCAGGACCUGCGGGUAUCAUCUUGCGGAGUAGAGGAACUUGUUGUGAAGGAAGAUGGAGUGGAAACAGCUCCUAGGUUUGUAUUCCCUAUAAUGACCUCUCUGAGACUGAUGAAUCUGCAACAAUUCAAGAGUUUCUAUCCUGGGACACAUACUAUAAUGGCCUUUGUUGAAAAAGCUGGAGGUGUGUGAAUGUGAUAGAGUGAAGACAUUUGCUUACAAAAUUCCAACAUUCCAAGAAGUACAUCUGGAGGGCAAUGUCGAUAUCACAAUUCAACAACCACUUGCCUUAUUUGAGACGGUAUGAAUUCCAACAUUUCUGGGUUUAAUUAACCUCAAGUUGCAUACUUGCCAUGUUUCAUUAAAUUUUCCAUUUGGUUCAUGUCAUGUGGACAAUUAGUAUACACAACAUCAGUUACAUCAAUAUGAUUGUUUCAUUUCUUUGAGAAAAUUCAUAUCAAAUCUUUGAAUUGUCAAAUGAGUGCUCUGAAUGUUCUGAAGGAAAUGGACUGCAAAAUUGUAAGGUUAGACUUAGUCAUCUGAUCAGAUUUUUCUUAUUUUUUUCUUUUUUUAUUUUUACAUUUUGGGUACUAAGUAAGACCCCCUAAAAUAGUAAGCUUGAACCCUUUACUAUAGAAAUGGCGUAGCUUUAACUGUAAAUCUUGAGUAUUCUAGGGCUUGAGGCAACCCGUUUUUUAUUUUGAAGUCCAAUCAUUGCACACACCUUCAUGUGGCCCUGUUUGUUAACUGUUCUAAAAAACAGAAACACCCCUUUUAGAUGGAAAACAAGUUUGGUAGGAAGAAGAUUGGAAAACAGUUUUUUGGAAACUCCCCCCAAAACAUGGUGUUUUCAUAGAACACCUUUCAGUUGUUUUUUUUUCUUAUUUUUGGUAUUGUUCUAAGAACAAAAGAACAACAUGAAGAAAAGAACACACCAGAACCUCUUGUUCUUCAGCCUAGUUCUUGUGAAGGUCCUUACAGAUCUCAAUUAUAGAAAACAAUACAUCAUCAAAUGGUUUUUGAGUUGAGCAUCGGGAGUUGGGUCUCCAUCAAAAUGCAUCAUCACAUCUGUUUGGUUUCCUAGAAAAUGCAGGAAAAAUGAUAUAUUUUUACUUCUGAAAACAUUUUUUUUUUUUUUGUGUUCUCUCUAUUUUUUCAAAGCACUUUCACUCCAAAAAAGAUUGAAUUUGAAUCUCUUCACCUCCAAACCCAUACUCUCCUUUUCUAAUCAUUUUUUGUUCUCAUCCUUCAACUCCCAUUUUCUCGAAAUCCCAUUCUUUGAAGUAUUUUCAGUUUAAUCUUUUGUCUUUGUUUCUAUUUUCUUUUUGUAAAAAAAUCAUGUAAAAAUUUCAAAUGUUGUCCAUCACUGUAGACCCUCAAUUUUGUCCCUUUAGCACAUAUUUUUAAGUUCACUUCUAGUGCUCCACAGUAGUUCCUUGGUGGCCCAUUGCUACUCAUACUACUUACCUUCUUUUAUGAGCCACCUUGGAGACUCUGGUUGAGGGAUUAUUUGACCCCUUAUUGUGACCCUUGGCUGCCCUUCAAGUUUAGAUUAGGCUUGACUUUGGUGCACUUUUGGUUAGACUUAGUUAGGCCCGUAUAGGUAUCCUUGGCCCAUUAGGCACCACCUUAGGCCCUCUUAGGCACUCUUGGCCUAUUAGACAUUUUUUAGCGUUUCUUGCAUGAUUCACAUAGUCGCAUGACUUGCAUGGCCCGCAUAGGAUUGACCAUUUUAUUUUAUUUUAUUAUUUUGUUUUACUUUAUUUAUUUAUUUUAUUUUACUUUAUUUUUUUAUAUGUUGCAAGAUUGCUAACUCUUUUUUAUUUUUUUUUAUUUUCAUUUUUAUUGUUUGACAAGGGAAUUGGGGGCAGCUGACCAACUCUCACUAAGGCACGUGCACUCAAAGAAGGUAAGAAAAAUAUUUUUGGAGGGAAAAAGGAAUUAAUGUGGCUACAUACCCAUGGAAAGAGGAGAUCCUACAUAGAAAGGGAGAAGCAUUCUGAUUUCCGAAAAGGAAGGGAAAUAGAAGAAAGGAAAGUGGAUUUCCUUCAGCAGAUUGAGUUUUUGGGAGGCUGAUACAAAUACAUAAAAAAGAAGGAUUCUAAGGGGAUGAGGGGAAUGGAAGAGAGAGGAGGAUCUUGAGGAGGAAUGAGUGACAAGAGGAUGGGAAAAGAAAGAGGAACCAGGAUUCUUUGAGGGUCUGGGUGGAAAAGCACACAAGAGCAGGAAAGGGGUGAUUGCAGUCAAGGUUCUUCCAGGUACGUUUCUAGUUAUUCUCGGAAUUCUUACCCAUGUUCGAUUUCUCCAUGUGUUCGUUUCUGAAUAUUUAAUAUACUGUUGUUUGGUGUGAACGUUAAGGGCCACAAAUUGCUCUAUUGAGAUUGGUCGUUCUUUUAUUUGUCCUAUUUUGAUUUUGAUUCUGAUUCUUUUAUGUGUCAUUGAUGUCUUCUAAAAUUCAUGACUCCAUACUUGAAUUUGAUCAUGCUCUGUUUUCUUUUAAAUCCCAUUCUACAUCGUCCCCUCUGUCCUUAGCCCACGGAUUAAUAUUUGAAGUGGAGCUAUUUAUGUUUACUGCUCAACAUCUUCCGCUAUUCCCUUAUCCGAGUUUUACUUCAUUUUUUUUAUUUCUCCUCUAUCCCUUUCCUGCAUGCUAUCCAAAUCCUUGUCAUUGCAUUUGGAUGUACAUUGAGGAAUAACGGAAGUGUCAAUAUGAGGGAUGAAGUGUGCAACAAUCUCACUCAAAUAUCAGAUAGUUGAUUCCAAGGCAUGGUAGUGAACUGCAGAAAUCUAGAACACGCAUCAUUGAAAUUCGGAUCCAUCACACACCACCGACCUUGGAAAAAUGGGAGAAAUUCUGGAAGUUUGAUUUUCGUUUCUGUUAGAAAAGGGGAGUUCAUGCUUCAACUGAUGACUCUCAUGGAAGCAACUUGAUUGCCAUUCUCUGCUGAUCUUAUCAUCAUAUGGAGAGGGAUCACCGACCUUGAGGAGAGAUUUUGGUUUCUCUGCAACUGAAAAAGAAGAAAAGAAAAAACUGAAGAAAUUCUGGAUUCAUCUUAUUAGAGGAUUAACACCACGCAUGGUUCCUGUGGUCAUCUCUGAGAGUCAAUAUGUUCAAUAUUUGGCAAGCAAGGUUCUUGUGGUUAUUUCUGAGUUUGUUGUCGUUUCUGAAAGCAAUUGGGAGGGAUUUGUGCAUUUUUUGUGUGUUUGCUUUGAAGUAACAAUUGGCAACUUUCUUCCAUCAUCUUUAACACUCCAAAUUGCUGGGAAUGAAAUUUCUACUGAGAAGUCAAGUUUUGUUGUUUUUGUAAAACCCAGACUGAAAAAAAUGCAAAUUGGUCUGCAGUGCCUUGUAUUAUUCGAGUUUUGCGUAAUAUAUUGAAAUAUUUGAAGCGAGAAUAUGAUGAUCAACUUGGGAAAAUAUACUUGGAUUCUAUCAGUUCUUGUUUGUUAAAUGUGCCUUGGGAUUCAUUGAAUGAUGUUUGUGUUGGUCAGAAUGGUGACACUUAGAGAUGCUCGGACGCUUUUAGUCUAAGGAAUGUUCAGCUACCAGAGUCAAGGGUUGUAUUUCUAGGAAAUCUUGUUCAGUUCUUCUGUUCAUUGGUUGAGCAAAGUGGUUCUCUGGGAGUCCCAGGUGGUUCCUAGGUAAGUAUCCUGUUCUUUGUAACAUCAACAACCUUGUUCCUAAGUUUUUAUCUUGGUGCCUUGGCAAGCAAGGGAAUUGUAACAGCUUGUGCAUCUCUCAGUACUUUAAACACAAGUUGUUGAUGCUAAUGAUUAGGUUCAGUUUUCAUAUCCGUCUGCUAUGUUCAAUUCUUGCUUCUUGGCUGCAAGUUCUCUAUGAAUACUUUCAAGAUCUUUUGCUCCAACCAAUAUGUCAAGUCAAGCCUGAUGAGAAUGGUUGUCUUGAAGACUCUCCAUUUUUAUUUAGUAUUCUUGAUGGAGAAGUAUAUAGCAUGUCUUUAUUCCAUUUACAGAGACAGGCUGUUUUCCUUUUCCUAAGGUGUUCCUUCAGUUUGAUCAGCCUGAGAGAAGAAAUCAGAGAGCAAUGUGCAUAUGCAACUACAAAUUCAUGCAUGACAUUUGACCUGAAUUCAAAUUUGGAAUGUUGUAGUCAAAAGAAAGGUCUAUCAGAGCUUUAUGAGCGGCUUCAAGGACAUAUUCUUAAGUGUUUAGUUGUGGACCACGAAAUGUAUUGGGAAAAAUGCAUAGACUUUGCCUUGUCAUUCCUUCAACUAUUUAUGCGUGAAGAAGAUAUCCUGUUUGAGGUGCUCUUGCUAACGUCUAGCUUACCUUCUUGUGCUGAGCAACAGGUUUGCCAAGAAAGGAGGGCUUUUCAGGAGAUGAAGGAAGAUGUACUCUUACAUGUGUCACACCUUUUAACCCUUUACAUCUGUUCCAUCUUUUCCUUGCAAAGUUACACUAUGAUCAUCAAGUUCUUCUUGAUUACCUUAUUUCAAAAGAUACAGGAAUUAGUUGUGCGGAAUAUAUUUUGCAGCGUUUGCGUAAAAUAUGUGAAUCGUGAGACUUAUUCAUGGAAUUUUCAGUGACUGGGAAAUUCAUGAGUCAAACAUUUCGCAAGAAAAGAAAAGUCUUUCAGUACGGCUUAGAUUCUCAGGUAGAACUGUCAUCUUCACCAAUUAUAGAUGCUGGCAUUCCUAUGUCACUUGAGAAGGAAUGUAUGGGAAAACACAACUAUGGCCACAAGGAACGUGGAUCUAGAGGACAACCAUUUAAGGAAGCAAAGGAAUAUUUAUUUUCCUUGAAAAAUUCUAUGGAAAAUCUUUAUAAAAAAAUGAGAAAACCUCAACGCUGGUCUGAUCUUCCAUGGUUGCAUACAGAUUCUUGGAUCAAAUGUUCCAGAAAUUUGCUUCAAGAAGAUAUUACUGAUCAAUCUGAAACACAGUCAGAUGAUCUUUGUUUUCUGCAGUUCGCCUCAGGGUCCACUGAUGAUGCUAAAGGAGUGGUGAUAACUCAUGUGGGGAAUUGAAGCCGUGAUUUCUAGUUACCUCCAAAGGUUGACCGAGCAUGAAGAGAAAGCUCUGGAAGUCCUAAGGCCAAACAGAGGACUCAUCUAAUCAUACUGUCAUGAAUAUGGGAUACAAUUCUCAAACAAUAGCUUAUGAGGAUCAUGUUCUUGCUGGAGUAAUUGGUAUUGGAGGAAGUGGAUGCAUCUACAUUUUCUGAACACCCAAGUAAACGAGUUAAGGUUGAACCUGGCCUUCAAUCCUUUUGUGUCAUGUCUCUUGGUGGUGCCUUAUCUAUUCCUAAAAUAGAAACCCCGGGACCCACUUGUCAGCCUGAUGAAGAAUUCAAGUCAAAUGCUGCAAUGGAAGAGACGAUAAUAAAUUCUCUCAUAAGGGUAGCCUUGGUCAUAGAGCCCAAGGACAAGGAAGCAAGUCUUAUGUAUAAACAAGCUUUGGAUCUACUAUCUCAAGCUUUAAAGGUGUGGCCAAAUGCCAAUGUUAAAUUCAAUUAUCUUGAGAAGCUGCUGAGUAGCAUUCAACCAUCUCAGUUGAAGGACCCAUCAACAGCUCUAGUACAAGGCUUGUAUGUCAUGAAUAAGGUUUUGGAGAAAAAGCCUCAUUUAUUCAUCUGAAAUAACAUCAAUCAAAUUUCUCGAAUUCUUUAACCCUGUUUCAAGUACAAAAUGUUGGAUGCCGGAAAGUUAUUAUGCUCCCUGUUGAAGAUGGUGUUUGUUGCUUUUCCUCUAGAAGCAGCCAAUAUACCUUGAGAUGUAAAGAUGUUGUAUCAGGAUUUGAUACAUAAGUAGAUUGCUUCUGUUACAGCUCCUCAGACAUCGGAUGAAGACAACUCUGCUAACUCAAUUAGCUUUGUGCUGUUUGUCAUUAAAACAUUGACUGAAGUGCAAAAGAACCUUAUUGAUCCCUACAUCUUGGUUCGCAUCCUUCAACGCCUGGCACGAGAUACGGAACGUCAGCUAGUUCUCAUAUGAGACAAGGUCAACGAACAGAUCCAGAUUCUGCAGUCACUUCUUCUCAUCAAGGUGCUGAUAUCGGAGCAGUUAUCUCUAAUCAAAGGUCUGUCAUGAAACUAAUUAGUGAAAGGGUCAGACCUUCAGACAUAGGACUUGAAUUGCAUAAGGACAGUCUGGGAAUAACCCCUUCGAAACACUGUUUGCAGAAGAAUUUAGUCUUAUUCUUGAAGGUAUCAGGACAAACUUGGACAUGAAAUGGAAGCAGGGAUCUUCGCCAAGGUUCGCGCUGUGAGAAUAAUUCCAUCUCCAAGACUCGGAACCCCAUCAAGACCUCUUGUCAAAUGUUCUCCUCCUGUUUGAUUUCGCUUACCGUUAUAGUCAUCUGCAGUAUCGAAUUUCAUUCGAAUUUUUAAGACAAGUCUCCGCAUUCAGCCCAUGGAGAUGACAACCAGAAUUCCAAAGCAGCAGCGAUCAGACCAGUACCCAGAUUCCAAUUGUUGGAUAUGAUGAUCAGCCAUAUGGGGCCCCACCACUACCAAUCUCCUCUUACUUUUUGCCACUUCACUUCCUCCAUGCCAUAAUAAAGAAAUGCAUUUUGACAAUGAAUGGCCAGAAUUAGUGAAUUGUAAAGAACCAGGAGACGUUAAUCCAGGUUGUCCAACUCUGCAACUUACGAGGAUAUUAUUAAGUGUGAAAAUGAAGUGAAGAGCCUAGUCUAAGCUCCCCAAUGUACCCAAAACAGAACUAGCUCCAGAAGUCACUACAGAACUUGUUGAGACAUAAAGCAAUCUACCAAGGCAGAAGGCAAUAUUGGCUGGUGGAUUUGACCCAUUGCCCUUGAAUGGCAUGUAUGAUCAAGGAGAUUACGAGAUGGGUUCACUCGGAGGGUAUUUGACAGGCGGCAUACAUAGCUGGGACUCCAUGUACACGAUGUUAGUAGAUAUGGUAGAGAUCGAAAGCUCCAAUUUUCAGGGAUUGGAUAUGGCCAAUGACGAGAACCGAGAUAAUCAGAUUGUUCGAUAAUGCAGUGGAGCAUUAAGAGGCGUCCGAUGCUGUUAUUGAUAAAUGUUCAGCUUUACAGAACAUUGGCCAAGUUGAUCUAUAGUGCAAAAGAGUUAUUCGAAGACACAUUCUCUCCAACUAUUGAAAUGGAAAGUUCAAAGAAAUCUCAAGCAUUAUUUCAUCCACUACCCGUCCACGUGUGCCACCUCAUAACUUCCAGCUAACGCCCAAAACCCUUCAGUCGAAAAUUCAAAAGUUCAAUCCUAUCAAUGCCAUAUGCCAUGUUGGGGACUGGAAUGACUACACAGGAUACUUCGUCUUCUGUCUUGCUUUUCUUUGAUAAGCAAAUAUUUAUUUUUAAUGUGGGAAAGAGAUUGCAGCAUUUUUACAUGGAGCAUAAGAUUAAGUUGUCGAAGAUUGAUCACAUAUUUUUAUCUUGUGUCUGUUCAGAAACCGCUGACAAACUUCCAGGCCUUCUUUUUUACUUUGGCUAGCAUGGGAGAUGAAGGAAUGUCUAUCAAUAUUUGGGUCAGUUCUACCAGCAUCCAUUCUACAAAAGUUGUUAAGUGGAUCAAUUCCCUCCAUUUCCUCAACAAUGUCCAAUAGAUGUGAACCUUAAAAGGGCAAAUAUGAUGAAUCCGGUUCAUCUAUUAUCCACAGGAAAUACUCAUAAGUUCUACAAGUGCUUCAAUAAUGAUCUGAAAUGCGAAAAAGGUUGUUGAGAUUUAUGAGCAGAGGAGAAUCCUCAUUUCCUGUCCCAUGCAUUACCUCAAAUGUGCUGAAUAAAAUAUCAGGUAGGCCAAGGCAGGAAGAUGCACAGAGUAAGAUGGUUGAGGCAGAAUUUAGAAACAUGGUUAGCAGAGGUCUCAGUUGAUAAAAGGAAGGAAGCUUUAUUUAGGGCCAUCAAUCUUGCUUUGAUGAGAGGUGUUACAGCAGCAUUUGAUUUUGGAAGAUAUCUUUCUGGUACAACACAGAAUAGGUGUCUUGGGAAGACUAUUCCGGUUUGGUGAAUCUAGAAAGAGUCGAAAUGCUUGUCAGGAGAAUUUCAAAGAGAAGUAACAGCAGCACCACCAGCAUCAGUAAUACAGUUUCAGUCACACUUCUAGGUCCCACUCUUGCAUGGCCACCUUGGUGUACCAUCUCCUCCUUCAUUCGUUUCUUUGAUUGGGAACUUUCAGUUUUAAAUCGAAUUUUCACAUCCAUUUUCAACUGAAUAAUUCCGGCUUUAAAGAUCCAUCACUAAACCUUCUUUUUAGAUAAUAAAAUCCUUAUUUUCAAUGAACUUUUGCUGCCAAAUUUCCUUUCACCGUGCACCUUCCUAAUUUUCUCUAUUUUUCAACAUUUUUUUAUUAUUUUCUUGAUUGUCAGUAAGCAUGAACAAACUUCAUAAUUCCAAACAAUGGAAUUUAUAGAAUCAACUCAUGCAAAAUCAAUUAGGAUCUUGGUGGGGGAUCCAACAUUCCGGACAUCAUCUCUAAUAUUGAUUUAAAUGGGAUUUUGUUUGAUUGAUUGUGCUUUCUCUUUGUGGAGAUUAUUUGGAAUUUGUUAUUGGGCUAACCUUGUUUUCCAUAAAGGCAUUUAGCUUGCUACUCAAGUACGCUCUCUCUCUCACUCACUUUCAAAAAUUCUAUGGACAUGUAUGCUAUUGAAGAUCAUAUCCAUGUUCAAUAUAAUCCUUUCGUGCUUUAAUAUAUAUGCUUCAUUGUGCGAUUAUUUUUUAUAAAGCGCAUACUGGGUGAUAUACUAUUUAAACUAACUAUUGAUGUUUUAUGAUAGCGUUUAAGAAGUGGUUCAGGUACGCACCCUAACUCCCCUUUAUUGUGACUUGAUCUUGUCUGGCAUGUUAUUUUUUGUAAUCACCUUAGUCUACCUAGGUAUCCUCAAUUAAUCAAUUAAUUGUCACAUCUCCCCCAACUUAGUUAAUAGAGACCUUUGUAGGGCUUAGAGGGGUGCUACCUCCUAGAGGUACCUUCCCAAUAAAUAACUUGAUCUCCGAACUUAGACUCAGGUUUUUUAAAUACACGCUUUUUCCAAAAAUUAUGAAGUCAUUUUUUUAAGGUUUUAUUUCUUGUUUUAUUUUCUCUUUAAAAUAAAAUAAAAUAAGUGGCGACUCCGACUUUUCCAAAAAUUAAUUUUUCACUAAUAAAAGCAAGUCUCGCCGAUCGAGUGGGGACACACGUGAAAAAUGCAGGUCCACAAUCACUUUUACAGCUUACAACCUUAGAACUCUUUACCACUUCUGUCAAAAUGCAUUAUAGUUUUUGUUUCUCAAGACAUGCUUUCAUUUCUGUGAUAUCUUGAUUUGUUAUUGUUUGCUUUGCUUGAGUUUUAGUGUUUGCUUGCUAAGAAAAGAAAUGGGAGGAAAGGAAGUGUUGAGUUUUAUGAUGUGGGUUUUGUUAAUAUCCAAGAAAAGUGAGACUAUCAUCAGCUUAAGCGUGGAUGUAGUCCUUUACUACCUUUUUCUCACCGACAACCAGAGGUGGUGGUAUUAAAUCUCUGGGUGGAGGCUUUGAUAUGAUUUGAAUUGGUGUUGAUUGAAAAUAGAAAGCAAAUCAAGAAAUGUUUGAAUCAUAUCUGAACCAUAGUUGCUGCUGAGUCUUGCUAUUUUUCUUGAAGCUAAUAGAAAUCCAGGCUAUUGUAUGUGGGCCAUUGUUUUCUUAUGCUUAUUUAUUAAUUGCAAUGAAUUAUAUAUAGAUAUUUUUCAGGUAAAAUUUUUGUCAAAUAGUAUAAAUGAAGCAAAAUGCGGCUGAAAUUUUGGUCAAUUUAUCAUUUGCAUGCGUGAAUAAGAAUAUUGAAAUUGAAUGUAAAUAGACAUAUCUACGCUAUAAUGAUUUGUUUUGAAAAAAGAUGAAAUUAUUUAAAAAUGGAUGCAUGUAAUUUUUAUGUUUUAAUUAAGUAUACAUUUAUGUCUAAAAAAUUUUGUUUUAUGAAUCUAUACAUUAUUUAUUUUGAUCAUGUUAAUCAUGGGAAGAAAACACUCAAUUUUAAAAACUAACUUCCAAGCGAGUUUUUUCUUUUAUUUGGUUUAUAAAACUGUUUUUACUAAGUCAAUCUUUUAGACAUUGCUACCCGUCAUGCCCAUCGUCACUUUUAUAUAUAAACAACAUCACAUAUUGUAUUUGUUUUGCCAUGCCUUUUGUUUGAAUUAGAGAAAUAAAAAUGCACUUCUUUAUACAUACAAACACCUUAUUUAUAUGAUAGUUGUAAUUUGACAGACUAAAUUAUUUUGUUUGAGGGAUUUAUCAGGUUGCAUAACCUAAUUUGGAGGAAUUGACAUUGGAUAGGAAGAGUGCCAUAGAAAUACAGCAAGAGCAAUUUCCAAUGGAGUCCAUUUGCAAACUUAGAGUUCUGAAUGUACUUAGAUAUGGAGAUAAUUUGGUUGCAAUUCCAUCCUUUAUGCUUCAUACGUUACAUAAUCUGGAAAAGCUCAAUGUGAGAAGAUGUGGUUCAGUCAAAGAGGUUGUACAGCUUGAAGAACUUGUUGAUGAGGAAAGUCAUGCCAUGGCACUUGCUAAGUUAAGAGAAGUACAACUGCACGACCUACCUGAGCUGACGCAUUUGUGGAAGGAAAACUUCAAACGAGGCCCUCGUUUUCAAAAUCUUGAAACUCUUGAAGUAUGGAACUGUGACCGUUUGAUAAGUUUGGUACCAAGCUCAGUGACAUUCCAGAACCUAGCAACUUUAGAUGUAUGGUCUUGUGGCAGUCUGGUUAAUUUGCAACCACCAUCAACAGCUAAAAGUUUGGUGCAACUCAAAAACCUCAAAGUAGGUGGAUCAAAUAUGAUGAAAGAAGUAGUUUCUGGAGGAGGAGGCGAAGCAACAGAUGAGAUUGCUUUUUGCAAAUUAGAACACAUUGCCCUUGUUUGUUUAGCAAACCUCACAAGCUUCUGUUCAGGAGGCUAUACUUUCAACAUUCCCAUCCUUGGACCAUGUAGUAGUGGAAGAAUGCCCGAAGAUGAAAGUUUUCUCUCAAGGCUUCUCAACCACACCAAGGCUAGAGAGAGUAGCUAUGGCAGAUAAUGAAUGGCAUUGGGAAGGUGACCUCAAUACCACCAUUCAAAAGUUGUUUAUACAGCUCCAUGGUAUGUACCAAUUCACCAAAUUUGCUUUCCAUGAACGUUUAUAAUGAUCCUUUCCCUCAUGUGUUUGCUAGUUAGGCACCAGGGCACUUUAUCCAUUGCUAUGCUUUUCAUAGCAGAAAUAUUUUUAGUAGCUUAAAAUGAUUGUCAUUGUAAUAUGAAUGAAUGCACUACUACAAAAAUUAUAUCCUUGAUGACUAAGGCUCCAAUCUUGAUCUUUAGAAAAGGGGAUGAAUUGUACAGAGGACCCAAUCUUGGCCCUCUUUAAUAAGCAUAACCUUUGGUUUGGUCUAAUAUUGAUGCUCUUAAUAAGUGCCUAAGUAUAAAAGGCCCAUAUCUGCUCUCAAACAUCAUAGCUUGAUACUUUUUAUUUUCAUGGCCCCUUUUUUUUAAACCCUCUCAACAUCUCUCCUGCCAUCAUCCUCAGCUGCUCCAGCCACAUCCUUCACCACUAAAUCCCAUUUCUUUUGGUCCACAGAUGUUAACCAAUUCAAACUUCAGUUCUAUGACCAUGUCUGGUUUCAUCAAAUCAUAAACCAGCUCCUCCUUUCAAGGCCAUCUUCAGUGGAGAUUUCUUGUUUUCAGUAAUUCUGAUUGCUCCUUCCCUGCAACAACUCUCUUCCUUCAAAACCGAGAGAUAUGGAGUUUGGGCUAGUGUUUUCUAUUCUCUUUUGGAAAUGGGUAGGUUUAGAGUUUUGAUUUUUGAGAUAGGCCAUACAGAACUUGGAUGCAAUGUGAUAGUCUGGGUUAAGGUUUUGGUUUCUUAGUAUGCAUGUGGCUAUGUACAUGUGGUUGUUUCUCCCAGAGGUUGUUUGGUAGUGAUCCUGAAAAAGAUUAGAAGAUGGUAGAGUCUCACUUCCUCAUGUUCAACAUGUGUUUUGUGUAGGCCAUUAGCAGUAUCAAAGAGAAUUUGGGAGGGUUUUUUGGUGUGUGAUGUGAGUUAUGAGUGAAAGCAAACUCGAAACACAAGUUGAAACAUAUAAGCAGUGUGAUUUAUUAAGUUUGUCUUGAGAAGUUAAUCCCAUUAUUUUUCAGUUUUCUCUUCGAAAAAUUACUCUAAAAUCCAAAUAUGGUUAGAAGUUUUUCUCUCCUUUAAUGGUCAAUAUAGGAUGUAAUAUUAUUUUAUUAAUAUAGAAAAAACUUGCAUCAGAUUUUCAGAUUUAAGAAUGGAACAAGCAACAUGGUGAUAUGGCAAUUAGACUUACAGCUAAAGAGGCAUCUAAAGUAAUUGAAAAGACCCAAUCACACUGUUAAUUGUAGAGAAAUGGAACUCUACAUAAUUAUAAAACAUAAUAAUUAAGAUCAAUCUCACAUUUGGCUAGAAAAAAUGGAGGGUUGUCAAGAAAAAAAAAAAAAAAAAAAGCAAAAUAAAAGGAACCUUACAAGACUCUUCUAAAUAUGCAGGGUACUAUGUAUUCCAUUCCCAUUAAUAGAUCAAGAAAAAGCCUGAUGGCAUUUCAUCCUUUUAUUUCAUCUUAUCUUUUAAUUUAUUUUUUAUUAGCCCUGCUUCCUUGCUCGAGUUAUGGAGCUUAUAAGAAUAAAGGUGGGAUAUAUGAGUGGAGGGGGACUGGAUUCAUAUUGGACCUUGUUGUAUUACAUAUUGCUUUAUCCUUGGCCAUUACAACCCAUCCAUCUAUAGAUGAGUCACUUCAAGCAGAAUUUGGAAAAUUCCUGUGAAUUGGUUAACCUUUUUGGUGAACAGAAUGUUUUGGUACUCUGCAAAUGGUUGAGUUCCAUAUGCUAAUUUCUAAACACGCAUUUCUAGGUCUCAUUUGGUUGAUGGAUGCAAAAUAUCAACUUUGAAGUUCUAUAUAAUUUUGAUCUUAUGUUACAUAUUUUUAUUAUGCAACAUGGGGAUGGAUUUUGUUCUAGGAUGUAAAGGAAAAGUAAAUUCAUUGUGCAGGUUGAGGGAGAAGUUUCUUGGCUGGAAUAGUUGAAAACAAGGAAAAUGAAAGGGCUUGUUCUGAAGAAAAGUUCACAACUAGAAGAGAUUUGUAGGAAGGCAAAUGUGGUCCUAGAAGCAAAUAGAGCAAUGGAAUAUGUAAUUGAUGCUAUGGAGUCUGCCAUUAGACUUUUAUAAUAUAGAAGUUUAAUAUUGCUGAUAUGUUUAUGAUUUAUUGAUUGCUUUUGUAACAUCCCUUUUGUUGCAGGAGUUGUCCAUGGUUUUUUGUCCUUGAAUAAAUUGAGCAUCAAGUUGCCUAGGUUGAAGAGGAAGGUUUUAUUUGGAAAGAAAUACUUGAAACAGUUGAGAAACGGUUAGCAGCAUGUGAGAAAGAGAGUUGGUUGGAGAAACAAUGUUGGGUGUUUUCUCAUAUUUGUAUUGAUUCUUUGUUUUAUUAUAUCCCUCAUUUUUUUAUGGUUGUUCAGGAUGAUAAUUGAUGCAUUGGUGGAAGCGUUACUCAUCUUACUCCCAAUCAUGCUGAGAAAGCUUGUUCUUCGGUUAAUAAACUUCCAAGUACUAUGGUAUCAUACUUUAUACCAAGUACUAUUUUAGUAAUAUUGGCAAACUUGGAAUCAUACUAGUGGUUUCUAUGUUUGUUGAAUUUCAAUUACAUUGAAAUAAUAUUGAUUCUGCUAGCCGAUUUACUUGAUCAAUUGCAACCGUUCUCAUUGAUGAAUGUUUCUAUACCCUUUUUUUUUUUGCCUCAAGCCCAAUUGCUUUGAGCCCAACCAACUAUAAGCAAUAAUAAAUCCAUAAAUAGAGAUUUAUACUAUGAUUCAAGUGGAGAUUCAUUAUGCGACUCAAAUAGUGACCAUCCAUAAUUAUGAAGAAAUUUCAAUAAUUAUGAACAAUGUGGAAAACAUCGUACAAUCCAACAAAUCUAUAUAAACCUAAAAUACAACCAAAUAGAUUGAGAUUGAGUGAUACAUAUUGCAUUAACAUGGAAUCAAUCCAGCCAAAGAGUAACAUUCCCAAGAACAAAACAUGAUGUAAUCAUAAUGCUGAACCAGCUCCCAAUUCCACAAUCUCAGCCUCAACAUUACCUAAAAAACGUAAAUAAAUCAUUAUGAGCAUUUAAUAAGGUUAAAUAAAGAGAUUACAAUUAUUAGUGAUUGCAAAUGGUAUAUAUAUUUAUUUAUACCAUUUGCAGUUUUAGAACCUAAACAUUCUGCAAUAUCAUUUCCUUUGAUGAUAGGAUAGAUAUUUCAGAAAAUAGUUCAAAACAUUUCAUUUUAAUGGUUGUUAAUUGGUAUAAUAAUAAAUGUCCAAGUAUGAAUUGCACUUGAGAAAUCUAAAAAAGUCUCACAUCAGUACAUACCAUGUGCAUUUAUAAACGAAUUAUGGAUGGUGGUAUUCAGAUCAUCCUGACAAGGCCACUCAUCAUAUCCCACUUUUAUUCUUUCUAGCCUUAGUGUAGUUACGAGGCUUGAAGAGAACAUUUUCAUCUUGGGGCAUUCUUUCACCAGCAUCUGCUCCAAGGAUGGGAAUGAGAAUAUAUAACCACCUGAACUGAAGCUUGUGAGGUUUGGCAAAUACAGAAGCUCCAUGUGUUGUAAUUUGUAGAAAGUAAUCUCAUCUGUUGCUUCCCCUCCUUCGUUGGCAACUACUUCUUCCAUCAUAUUUGAUCUACGUAUUUUGAGUGUUUUGAGUUUUACCAGACUUUUAGCUACCGAGGGUGAUAUCAAACUUCUCAGACUACCACAAGACUGCACAUCUAGAGUAGCUAGAUUCUGGAAAGAUAUCGAGGAUGGUACCAAAUUUAUCAAACUGACACAGUGCCGUACUACAAGACUCUCUAGACCCUGCAAGUCAAGGCCUAGUUUGGAGUUUUCCUUCCACAAAUGUGUCAGCCCAGGAAGAUCAUCCAACUCUAUUUCUCUUAACCGUCCAAGGCUCUUGGCUUGAUUUUCCUCGUCAAGUCCUUCAAGUUGGAAUACCUCUUCGACUGAACUACAUCUUCCUACCUUAAGUACUUCCAGAUUAUGUAACCUUUGAAGCAUAAAGGAAGGAAUCACAACCAAAAUAUCUCUAUAGUCAUAUACAUCCAGAACUCUUAGUCUGGGAAAGGAAUCCACUGGAAAUUGCUCUGGCCGUAUUUCUGUAUCUCUGUUGAGACCCAAUUCUAAUUCCUCCAAAUUUGGGAAUGCAACCUGGGAAAUGGUUGGAAUAAAACAAAUUUGUUCAGUCAAUUAUAACUAAUACAUAAAUAAGAUACGCAUAUCUACAAAGAAGUGUUGUUUUAUUUCUCUAUUCUAAGUAAAGAACAUGGCAAAAUUAAUAUAAUUUUUUAUGCUGUUUACAGAAGAUGCACUAGACAUCCACCUCCAGAUUUCUAAUUUUAUGCUGUCAUUUAACAUCUGAGAAGUAUGAUGAUGGCAGGUGUAAGUCACUUGAAUAAAAAUGGAUUGGAAAGGUGGUUCACAAUUGUUUACUGUAAGUUGGCUGGUUAUAGAUUAAAUAAUUUUUGGAAACCAAUAAAAUUUACAAUAAAUUGCAAUAUUGGUUUGAACCAUAUACAGGGAGGAAAAAUGGAAAUCAAGGAUGCUCUCUAAAGGAAGUUGUGGAUUAAGUAGGGGCCAAUAAUCAGUUUUGGGUUCUGCAUCCACCUUUUCAUGCGUCAAGUUAUUUAAUGUAAAAUUUAAGGAAACGUGAUAACGUAAAAUUAGGAAACUUACAUGUGGGAGCAAGAAAAGGGGCAUAUCAAGAUUUCCCUCACCAUGUCUUUGUUGGAAUGUUGGAGUUUCGAAUGCAAAUACAUUGAGUUUAUGACAAUCCCCCACUCUCAGUUGUUUCAACAAUGGCCACUGUGAAGUAUGUGCCCCCGGGUAGAAACUCCUGAGUUGAGGUAGAUUGAGGAGAGAGAGAGAAGUUAUUUUAGGGAAUACAAACGUAUUCCCUAAUGAACCACGAUCCACAUUCACAUUCACAUUUGUCCUUUCCACAUCAAAAACCGCUUCUAAUGAACUACAAGCACGUACGGACAGUCUCUCUAGACUCUGUAACCUUUUCAGCAUACAAGAUGGAAAAAUAUUCAACAAUUGUCCACAUGAUAAUACUCUCACAAAUUCUAGUUUGGAGAAGGAAUCUUGAGGAAUUUGGUUGGGCCAUAUUUUUUUCACAUUAUCCAGUCCCCAGAUCGUUAAGGAAUUCAAGCUAGGAAAUGCAACCUGCAAAGUUCAUCCCACCAUUUUGUUAUUUAUAUAUUUUGACUAACUAAAAAAAGUAAAUAAUCCAUGUGUAGGAAAACACAAUAAACUACAUCUUAAAGAAGGGUGGAGGAAAAUAUACAUGCUUAAACAAGUUGAAUUUCAUUGUCCAAAACUAUAAGAAUUUGUAAGGAAAAAAUUAGUCAAGAAAUAGCACAGUUUCCAUGGAAUUCAUUUUAACACAACUCUCAUACAUUUGAAAUGUUCCAAAAGAGUCGUUUGUUUGGGUUUUUUUUUCCCAUUUUUUAUUUAAUUAUUAAAACAAAUUACUUGAAGCCUUAAAUAUUUUAAUUGAUUCUUAUCUAAUUGUCUUAAAAAAAAUUAAACCACCACAAUCUCGUGUAAUUUGGAUGAGAAUGAAUUCAUUAUAAAUUACAAAAACUUAUCAUUAAAAAAAAAUACUACUUAAAUACUUUUCAUUUGUCUAUAAAAAAUUCCUUUAUCUAGAUAAUAAAUUAAUAAAAAAUAAAUCCAUAAAAUUCUAUACAUUUAUCACACAACAAAAUAAAAAUAAACUACCACUAAUUCUAAUAUAUAUUUCUUAAUUAAAAAAAAACCCAAAACAUAAUUAACAUUCAUCUAAAUAUUCAUUAGAGUAAAUAAUUCAAUAAAUUUUGUAAAUCAAAAAAUAGAAUUUGAUAUUCUUUCCCAAAUUAAAAAUAUAAAAGUUAGUGAAUUAAUUUCAAUAAUCAAACAUAUACUUCAAUUAUAAAACUAUUAUGCAAAGAUAUGUACAUUGUAUAGAAGUGCUAACUUAGAAAAUUUUCUAGCAAUUUUUUACUAAUAAAGUAAAAUUAGAAAUUAUUUUUAUUAUUCCAAUACAAAUUUUCAUAAUAAUUAUAUAAUUAAUUAUUAUAAAACUUUUAUAAUAUAAAUAAUUCAAAAAUUUUAGGAUAUUUGAAUAUUAUUUUUUCAAAUUAGAGUCAGAAGAAAUAUCAUAAUUAAUUUUAUAAAUAUUUUAAUAUAUACAAACUACAUUCAGCGUCCACCAUUCAAACCUGAAUAAAAACAAAUAAAUUAAACAUUUAAUUAUAUUAAACUCUAUUAUUAACCGUUAAGUUAAAUUUAGGUGAAAAAUGAAAAUAAAAAAAGAGAAACAAGAACCAGCUCAAUCUAAAUUUUCUUUAUUUUCCGCCAAUAAUUUGAUUGAUAACAAUGUUAAAAGGAAAAUUAAAAUCAUAAGAAUUAAAAAGAGGAGGAUUCUAAGAGAUAAACUGACCCUUUCAUCAAAGAGCACAGGGAAGGGGGUAUCAAGGUCUGCAUGGUGAAGCCUUUGGAGGGAAUGAUAUACAGGGGAGACGAAGCUUGUGAGGUUGGGCAAAGAUUCCAGUGUAAUAUCGCUUAAUUUAGGGAAUAUGAUAUUGCCUACAGGAGCAGAAGCCAUGGAAGAAGGGAAAUGAUUUCUGGAGCUGCCACAGUUGCAUAUAUGCCUCAACUUUGGUAGACCAAUCAACGUCAGUUCUUCUAAUUUAGGGAGGAGCUCAACAUGCCCAUCAUCAACAUUUAGCUCUUCAAGAUCCACAUUCACAUUUGUCCCUUCCACAUCAAAAACCGCUUCUAAUGAACUACAAUAGUCUACCAUCAGCGUCUGUAGACUCUGUAACCUUUUCAGCAUACAAGAUGGAAAAAUAUUCAACAAUUGUCCACAUGAUACUACUCUCACAUCUUCUAGUUUGGAGAACGAAUCUUGAGGAAUUUGGUUGGGCCAUAUUUUUUUCACAUUAUCCAGUCCCCAGAUCGCUAAGGAAUUCAAGCUAGGAAAUGCAACCUGCAGAGUUCAUCCCACCAUUUUGUUAUUUAUAUAUUUUGACUAACUGAAAAAAGAAAAUAAUCCAUGUGUAGGAAAACACAAUAAACUAAAUCUUAAAGAAGGGUGGAGGAAAAUGUGCAUGCUUAAACAAGUUGAAUUUCAUUGUCUAAAACUAUAAGAAUUUGUAAAGGAAAAAUCAGUCAAGAAUGAAAAAUUCAUUUUAAUACAACUCUCAUACAUUUGAAAUGUUCCAAAAGAGUCGUCUGUUUGGGUUUUUUUUCCCCAUUUUUUUAUUUAAUUGUUAACGCAAAUUACUUUAAGCCUUAAAUAUUUUGAUUGAUUCUUAUCUAAUUGUCUUAAAAAAAAAAUUUAAACCACCACAAUCUCGUGUAAUUUGGAUGAGAAUGAAUUCAUUAUAAAUUACAAAAACUUAUUAUAAAAAAAUACUACUUAAAUACUUUUUAUUUGUCUAUAAAAAAUUCCUUUAUCUAGAUAAUAAAUUAAUAAAAAAUAAAUCCAUAAAAUUCUAUACAUUUAUCACACAACAAAAUAAAAAUAAACUACCACUAAUUCUAAUAUAUAUUUCUUAAUUAAAAAAAAACCUAAAACAUAAUUUACAUUCAUCUAAAUAUUCAUUAGAGUAAAUAAUUCAAUGAAUUUUGUAAAUCAAAAAAUGGAAUUUGAUAUUCUUUCCCAAAUUAAAAAUAUAAAAGUUAGUGAAUUAAUUUCAAUAAUCAAACAUAUACUUCAAUUAUAAAACCAUUAUGCAAAGAUAUGUACACUGUAUAGAAGUGUUAACUUAGAAAAUUUUCUAGCAUUUUUUUACUAAUUAAGUAUAAUUAGAAAUCAUUUUUAUUAUUCCAAUACAAAUUUUUAUAAUGAUUAUAUAAUUAAUUAUUAUAAAACUUUUAUAAUAUUAAUAAUUCAAAUAUUUUAGGAUAUUUGAAUAUUAUUUUUUCAAAUUAGAGUAAGAAGAAAUAUCAUAAUUAAUUUUAUAAAUAUUUUAAUAUAUACAAACUACAUUCAACGUCCACCAUUCAAACCUGAAUAAAAACAAAUAAAUCAAACAUUUAAUUAUAUUAAACUCUAUUAUUAACCGUUAAGUUAAAUUUAGGUGAAAAAUGAAAAUAAAAAAAGAGAAACAAGAACCAGCUCAACCUAAAUUUUCUUUAUUUUCCUCCAAUAAUUUGAUUGAUAACAAUGUUAAAAGGAAAAUUAAAAUCAUAAGAAUUAAAAAGAGAAGGAUUUGAGAGAUAAACUGACCCUUUCAUCAAAGAGCACCGGGAAGGGGGUAUCAAGGUCUGCAUGGUGAAGCCUUUGAAGGGAAUGAUAUCCAGGGGAGACGAAGCUUGUGAGGGUGGGCAAAGAUCCCUGUGAAAUACGGAAUAAUUUAGGGAAGAUGAUAUUGCCUACAGGAGCAGCAGCCAUAGAAGAAGGGAAAUGAUUUCUGGAGCUGCCGCAGUUGCAUAUAUGCCUCAACUUUGGUAAACCAAUCAAAAACAGUUCUUCUAAUUUAGAGAGGAGCUCAACAUGCCCAUCAUCAACAUUUAGCUCUUCAAGAUCAAAUACGUGUUCCAGCUGACCACAGUUUUCCACUAUUAGUUCUUCCAAAUUCUGUAACAAACUGGGUGGGAAUAGCUUCAAUAGUGACUUGCAAUUCUUCAACUUGAGAGACCGGAGGUUGCCGCCCAAGGAAAGCAGAAGUUGGCCAUCCCUAAUCUCCUGUAACAUGAGAACCUCUGAGAGCGUUGAAUACAACAUAGAUGUAUUACAGAUAUUAACAUAGAGUGAAAAUAAAAGCAUGAUGAUAAUAUGUUUGUCAAAUUAAAAAACCAAUCUAUUAAUUGUAUUCAGUCAAUGCUCUGUUUUGAUUGGUGACGUUUUAUCUUUGCUGGUAAAGUCUCAUCAGAUGGGUUUUGGGAUCGAUUUAAAUGAGGGGAUUCUUGCUGACUCAAAUCAAUUAAUGAGGGGCUAGUCUCCAAGUAUUUGAAUUGAAGUGAUUAAAAAUGCAUUGACUAGAUAGAAAGGAUUAUCAAGGUUUGACAUACCGGUUGGUUGGGAGGUGGUGUACUAGGACCAACAAUUGUGCUUGCAGGCUUCGGAAGCACCGGGUUCUCCUCAAAGCAGAAAUUACUGAGCUUGGGUAAGUCCUCUAACGUCAAGUAUCUCAAUUCAGGGAACAAAGUCACAUUAACAGCAUCUUCUUUUAUUUCUUUCCUUCCUUGGGAAACCAUCUCAACCAUACUCUUGCAUCUAGUUACUUUUAUUUCUUCAAGUUGGGAAAGGCCUCUAGCCACAGACAACGAGAAGAGAAAUUUCAAGCCAUCGCAAUCUUUCACUUCCACUUUUCUCAAGCAACCAAAGGACCCUGCUGGAAAUUGGCCACGGCAUACUUCUUGCAAGUUAAUCAGGUGAUUGAGAGACAAGGUCUCCAUAACAGGAAAGGCACCAUGUGAUGGAGUCAGAUCCAUCGAGUUCACAAUAUAUUGAAUCUCUGGACUGCUUUCGACAUUGAGAUGCUUUAAUUUUAAAAAACCCUCCCCAUCUAAUUUGGAAAGAACAUUAGUACCACCACACAAUUCACGCAAGUGUAGAUCUUCGGUUCUCUUCAACAACUUGAUGAUACCAUGCACCAGAUGGAGGCUUGUAUCGAACUUGUUGAGCUUCAAUGUUUUAUUAGUUUCAAAAUUUUCUCUCCAGCGCCAGACAUCACCUACAAAUAUUCUAUAUCUCACCAAGUUAUCAAAGACUAUGUCUUUUGGCAGCAACUUGGCAUCUCGUAUUUGUAUGUCCAAAGAGGUUAAAUGAGACAAAUGCUUCAACUCAGCGAGGCAAGCAUUACUCUUUCCUUCCCCCUCCCAUUGAGUAAAGCUAUUUGCCAUACACAAAUUCUCUAAUUGGGACAAGCUUGAUAUGACAUCUGAUGGAAUUACUUUCAGUUUCGAAGAACCGCUCAAAUCUAACGGCCUUAGAUGAGUCAACUGUGCUAUUUCUCUGGGCAACUGUUCCAUAUCAGAAUCCUUAAGGCUAAGAAUUUCUAAUUUCUUUAGCUUUGCAAUUAUAACAAUGUCUCCCACCUUGCAUCCAUCCAAACACAAUGUUCGAAGAUUUGUAAGGCAGUGAAGUGAUAAGGGCAGAGAUGGAAGUUGCAUUCGAGAUAAAUGUAUUACUUUGAGUUGCUUCAUCUCUUCAAAAAAUUUGUUUGGGAUUUGCACUGCCGAAUUGGUGUUUACAUCAUAACAUCCAAAAAGUUCAAGUUUUGGACAUACCAGCCCUUCUGGAAGUUCAUGAAUAUCACAGUCAUGCAGACUUACCCAGGUGACCUUCUGGAGUUCAUCUAUCCUUGGCCAUCCUUCCACUCUUACAGUAGUAUUCUGGAGUGUAAACACAUGAUGUUGAUCGGAUGCAAUUUUUCUGGCAGUACUCCGAACAAGAUCAUGCAUUCUAACAACUGCAUUAUGGCCAGUUUCUAGUAACAAAUUUGAGGAUUUGAGGUUGCCAACCAAUGUAUCUAUUCUAUUUUUCGCCUCUUCCAAUGUAUUAGUUCCUUGAAAUAAUCGCAGACCCACGCCAUAUUUCAACAAGUCCCAUAUAUGAAUAUAAUUUUGAGAAAUUAAACCACAAAGCAAGAAAAAUGACUUCACUUCAACUCCCUUCAAGUGUUCGUAGCUCAACUUCAGACUUGAGUAUACAUUUGUUGUCAGUCCUGUUACGUUAGUCGAGGUUUGCGAUUUCAGUUGUAGCCGGGCAUCCUCCCAAAUGGACACACUCUUCUCGCCUUUCAAUGCCGUUGCCACAGUUACUAUUGCAAGUGGCAAACCCGCGCAUUCUUUUGCUACAUCAACAGCUAUAGGUUGCAACUCUGGAUUUUCAAUGGAACCAGCUGUGUUCUUAAAUAAAAUCCAUGUUUCAUCUUCUUGCAAAGGUUGAACUCGAAAAUCCUUUUGAGUAUCCAUCUCAUUGGACAAGAUGUGUUCAUUUCUAGAAGUUAGCACUAAUUUGCAUCCUUUGUGGUGAUCUGGAGAAGGAAUUCCUAUUUUCUCCAAGUCAAGUUUCGCCCAAAUAUCAUCCAAGAUGAUGAGGAUGGUCUUCUCCUCGUUCAUCCUCUGAUAUAGUCGAGCUGCUCUUCCCUGUUCACUCUCCUCCUCAAAUUUCAUACCUAGAAGGUCUGCAAGUUCCCCUUGAAUUUUUUUUAAGUCUGGAGUCUCUAACACAGCUGCCGUGACCACCUUGUCGAAUAACUUCUCUUGAGCAGCUUGUUCAGCCACUUGUUUCACCAGCGUGGUCUUCCCAACACCGCCCAACCCCCAUACCCCGAUCUUGUUGAUCUUGGCAUCCCUUAAGGCCUCCAUGACUUCAUUCAAAGUCAACAUUCUUGAUUCUAAAGCUUCGGAAGGUCUGCACCUUAUCCCUUGCAGAGGGGCACGAUAUGCUACCUUCUCAAAUUGGCCAUCUCCAAGGAUUUGAACAGAAACCCCUGCCUUCUUACUUGCUUCCCUGCUUAGCUGGUACCGGGACUUCAAAUUAGGACACAACCCAUUGAAACAACUCUUCCGCGCCUCCUCAUCUUCAAGGAAUUUGCAAUCCUUUUGUAUGAACCCAUCAGCACGUGUCAUCCACUUGCAAACAUCAUCCUCGAUUUUAUGUCCAUUCCUAAUAGCUUCAUCCACAGAGUGCUGCAGCCUAGCCCUGGCACCCCUCAGCUUCUCAACCUUUUGAGAGAGAUCCUCAAUGUUGGUACUGUAGUUAAACAGAUAACCCAGCUGACGUACAACUGGACCAACCAGGUACUCUGAAACUUUUUCUGCAACCGAAACAACAAUUUCUACCAUUUUCUACUUGCUACUCCUUUCUUCUCUUUUGGAACACGAUCAGAUCGAUGACAGAAAACCAAAAAAAACAGCAGCAGUAAACUAACAACAGGCUGCUAGCUACGGGAAUCGGUGUCACAAAAACAGAAAUCAAGGAAAUUGAAAGGUUUAGCAAGCAAAGGAGCAGAGCGACAUAGACAUAUGGGCAAAAUGAGAGUGAAAAUGAAUAGUGGUGAUCAGAAUGAGUAUGAGGGUGAAGAGAGUUGCAAACGAUGUGACAAAGUUCUAUGGAGGGGAAUCGACAGAAAAAGCAUAUGGAUGUUAUUGGAUUCAACUUGAAGAACAGAAGCAGAGCUGUUAAGGCUGAUGAUGUGAGAAAGGAAACAAGGAAAUGAAAGAUUUCAGCAAUGAAAUGUGAAGAAAGCUCUCACCAGCAAAAUGAAAAUGAAAAUCCCUGGCGAGAAUGAGGAUGAAAAUGUAGAGUCAGGAGACAAUGCUCAAACAAGGCCUCUCAAUUAUUCAAAAUUGAAACUGAAACCCAAGCCAGGUUAUCAAUUGUGUCUUCAAACCUGCCUUUGAUUACUGAUUCGCAUCCUUGUUAACUUAUUCGUAUUAUUUUGAUAUACAAUUGCAGUUUCUAAUAAUAAAUUGGUAUCUUUAACCAAAGUAUCAUUGGUUUAAGGGUUUAUUGGCAUCAUGAAAAAGUUGAAAAAUAAUAUAAAACCAAAAGGUAAAAAUUAUAAAAUAUAUAAAAAAAAAAAUGUUCUCAUUACAUGAAAAGUAUAAAAGAAAAUUCUAUAUAAGAAAGAUUAUAUAAAUAUUUAUACAUUUUUAAUCUUUUCAUAGUUUGUCUAAAAAGAAGUAAGCAAAAACACAGUGAGAUAAGGUCAAAAUUGUUGUCUACCAUUUUUCCUCUUCUACCAUUUUUUUUUUUAUAUUGUUGUCUUUUUCUCAUAAUUUAUUUUAAUAUUUCAAGAUCCAUAAUUAGUCAAAAUUGUAUUAUUUAGUCUAUCAUCUAAGUAUGGGAAAAAAAUCAAAUAAAAUAAAAAUUAAUUAAAAAUUAAACAUUUUCAAAUUUUUAUUAUUUAUAAAUUAAAUAAGAAAGAAAAAUAAAUCUUCAAAUAAAUAUAACAAAACCUUAAUAGAUAAAUGCUCAAUAAAUUAAUAAUCUUAUUUAAAUAGGAAAUUUUUUGAUCCAAUUGGAUUAGUUUAUUAAAUAAAUAAACUGUUAAAUAGAUAAGUUAAUGAAUUUUUAAAAAAUUCUUAAGUGACAGUGUAUAGGAAAUCAUGAAGACACCGUUUUAUACUUGUCAAAUUUUAUUAAAUUUUUUGAAGUUUAUUAAUUUUUAGGUUAUUUUUUGUUGAUGAAAAAUUUAAAGGAAAAAAUAAAGAGUAAAAGUAAAAAAAAUAAAAAAUAAAAAAUUAUUAAUAAAUUAUUUGUAUAUAUUAAUCCACAUCUAUCUAACUGAAAUUUAAUUUUUUAUAUAAAAAUUAAAUAAUUUUAAAAUAUAUGAGUUUUAAAUAAAUUUUAAUUAUAUUUAAUUUUAUAUUAUAUUUUUAUAGUAAAAUUAAAUAUGGAAAUAGUAUUUUUUUUAUUAGUAUUUUUUAAACCGUAUUAGUUUAUGAAUAUUGAGGGAGGGAGAGAGUCCUAUCCGAUAGGCAUUGUUGGAGAGAAAAUGACAUCAUCCUGACAUCAUAUAUUGUUGGAGAGAAAAAAUGCAUCACUAAAUUUUGACUUAGAAACCGGAGUUUUAGGGCUAAAUAGCCCUUUUAUGUAAAAAAAAAAAAAAAGUUUUAGCCAAAAAAUAAGUGUUAGCCCUUGACAAAACUUAUGUUUAAACUAGCCCCUUACCACGUAGAAGUCAUGUCAUAAUUUUAAAAAAAAAAUUAAUUAAAAAUAUUAAAUUGUACAUUAUUAUUGAAAUUAAAAAUAUAUUUUUUAAUAAUAAUAAAUUAUAUAUUUAAACUUAAAUAUCUAAUAUUACUUUAAUAAAGAUAAAUUGAUAAAUAUAAUAAUAAAUAAAUAUUUUAUUUAUCAAUAAAUUAAUAAUAUUAAAAUAAUAAAGUUAUAUGAAAUCUAAAUAAGAUAUGCCAAUUGAGGCUUCAGUUAUUUUAUUUUUUACUUUAAAAUUUAAUUAAAAAUAUUAAAUUUUAAAUUAUUAUUGAAAUUAAAAAAAUAUAUACUUUAAUAAUAAAAAUUUAUAUAUUUAAACUUAAAGAUCUAAUAUUACUUCUAAUUUGAUAAAUAUAAUAAAUAAAUAUUUUAUUUAUCAAUUAAUUAAUAAUCUUAAAAUAAAAUUACAUGACAUAUCAAUAAAAUAUAAAAUUAUAUGAUUUAUUAAUUUAAGUUAUAUUACAUGUAAUAUUAGGAAGGGCCAUUUUUUUUCCAUUAUAUAAAUGUUUAAUGGGUAUUUUUUGUGACUUUGAUGAAACUACUAAAAAUUACAUUUUGUAGUAGAUUUUUUCUAAUUAAUUUCAUUAACUAAUUUCAAAAUGUAUCUUCAAGUCAUAUAUAUUGUGUUUACAAAAUAAUAGUCUUUUCUUACGUUAAACUAUAAAUAUAUGCUUUAAAAUAAUUAAAAAAAUCUAUAUAUAGAAACUUAAGAAUAUACUAUUAUGUUAAUAAAGAUAAAAUUGUCAAAAUACAAAUAAAUUAAUAUCUUAAAAAUACAAUAAAUUAAAUAUCUUAAAUAAUAAAUUAUAUAAUUUUAUAUCUUAUUUAGAUUUCAUAUAACUUUAUUAUUUUAAGAUUAUUAAUUUAUUGAUAAAUAAAAUAUUUAUUUAUUAUUAUAUUUAUCAAUUUAUUUUUAUUGAAGUAAUAUUAAAUAUUUAAGUUUAAAUAUAUAAAUUAUUAUUAUUAAAAUAUAUAUUUUUAUUUUAAUGAUAAUUUAUAAUUUAAUAUUUUUAAUUAAAUUUUAAAAUAAAAAAAAUAACUGAAACCUCAAUUAUCAAUUGGGGUUUUAAUUAAAAAAUAAAGUCUUAAUUGAUAAUUAAAAUUUCAGUUAAAAAAUAAAGUCUCAGUGGUCAACUCAGGCUUCAAUUUAAAUUUUGAUAAAAAAAAAUUAUAAUAUUGCUUAUAUGUGAAAGACUAAUUUCAACAUAAGUUUUAUAAAAGGGGUAAAGGUUAUAUUUUUUUUUUACAUAAAAGAUAAAAGGCUAUUUUGCCCCCAAAACUCUAGAAACUGGGAUGAAAGAGGUAACUUUGAAGGAACUUUACAAUCGCAUAUAUGUAUAAAAAAAUUUCAUGUCACUUUCAAACUAUCAUGGUCCCACCCAGUGAAAGCCUGUCACCUCCUAUUUUAAAUUACUCUUCUUUUUCUAUUUUUUAUUUUACCUUUGGUCAAUGACAAGGAAGCUUUAUUGUUUCCAGCCUGGUUGUAUGCUAGAGUUUUAUGUCUUGCUGGAAUGACGCUUCAGUUUAAUUAAAAAAAAAAGUUUUCUUGUUUGCUUUUUGCCAGUGAAGUUUCUUAGACAAAUUAAGCUAAGAUAUAAUUAUAUACUUUAUUUUGCUCUGAAAAAUUAUUAGGGAGAAUUACCCUCAAGGGUAGGCUGGGGAAAAAAAUGACCAAUGAGGGUGGGUAAAUUUGAUAAUUCUUCUGAAGGCCUUAUAUUUUUAUUAGACUAAUUUACCCUCAAUUUGACCAUUGAACCAGCCAUUGUCACCAGACGAUUGUUCCAACUUCUGAAGGCACUACCCCUUCAAUUUAUUGCUCUGCCCAUUAAGUUCUAAUCUUAAAAAUCAAGCAAAUACUAAUAUCUCUAAUUAAUUUGUCAAUUUAUUCACACGCACACACAAAUUGAUUGAAAGAAAUCUAUACCAACUUUUGAAUAUCCUUGCUGAAGCUUAUAAUAGAACCCAUGUUGUUGUACUAAAGAGAAGAGAUACUAGUGUCACCAUAAAUCUUUCUAAAUAAAUCUUCUAAUAAUAAGUUGGACGAUCCAAAAUACCCAUUACUCACUUGUUUUGAUGGGUCUUUUAAUUAUCUUAGUAGAGGAAAAAUAAUUUAAGCUCAGUUUGGUUAAUAUUUUUUAAACUAAUUUUUAUUCUCUUGAAAAUAUAUAUAUCUGAAAUUAAGAUAAUAGAAAAAAAAUUAAAAGGAAAAAAUAAAGUAUUUUUAAAAAAUAUUUUUUAAUUAAUUUUUACUUACUCUUCUCAUAAUUGUUUUAAAAAAUAAUUAUACAAAUAUAAAAAAAAAUCAAAAAUAAAACAUAACAUAUACAAAUUAUUUUUAAAAUACAUUCAAAAACAAAGAAACAAACAAAUAUUUGUUUUAUAAAAUAAUAGAUAAUAGUUUUCCAAAAAUUAUUAUAAAAAAUUGUUUUUAAAAAUUAUUUUCAAAAAUAAAUAUCAAAUAAGGUCUUAAACUUUGUUUGAUAACUAUUUUAAAAAAUAAUUUUAUGUUUUUUAAAAAUAAAUUUCAAAUAACUAAAAAAAGGUUUUUUUUUGUUCUUAAAAAGAAAAAAUAUAUAUUCUUGAAAAAUAAUGGUAUAAAUAUAAAGAAUAAUUAAAAGUAAAUCAUUAUAUAUAAAAGUUAUUUUUAAAAUCCAUUUAAAAAUAUAGAAAAUAAGUUUAAAAUAUUUUAAGUUUCAAAGUGAUUUUUAUUUUAUAAAACAUAAUGAUUUUUCAAAAAUUACUUUUAAAAACUGUUUUAUAAAAUCAAAACAAAAUCUUAUCCCUUUUUUCGGAGAUCUCUAUCUUUUCUUUCCCCAGCAGUCCCAAAAUUAUACCUAUGCACCUGCAUUUUUAUACUAUGCUUGUUCCCAAAAAUUAAGCCCAUAAAUUAGUUCUAGCUAUACCCAUCAAUGAACUGACAAAUCAACAAUAAAAAUGGCUCCACGAGAGCCGGACAAAGUGGAGUUCACAGCAAUACAUUGAUAACUGUAGGCAUUGCACUGUCAACUCAUCAUUUCCCAAACUAAUUUGAGGUUACAAAAAAAAAUAAAAAAAUAUUGAACCAUUAUAUAUAAGAAAUUGGUAAUCAACCCAAAAAAUUGGACUUUAUUUAGUCAAAAGAUUGCAUUGUUAGUUUAUGUUGUAAUUUAUCAUACAGUUAGUGUUUUUUUAUCGUAAUGUUAGUGAAUUUAUGUUGUAAAUGUAAUUAAAAAUGUAGGCAAAACUGUGAACUAUUAUAAUUAAAAAUCUAAUACAAGUCCACAUAAUGGAGAUAAAUAACCUAUUACAAAUAACUCCAAAUACAAAUACAUCAAAGUACAAUACAAUUAAGCAUUACAUAUAUAAUCCAAAACUUAAUAGACAUGAAGUAAGUGUAUGAUUAAGCAAUUUUCAAACAUAGAACAAAAAAUAAAAGUAGUCCUACUACAAUUACUUUCUGCAUGAACUCAAUUCUUGUUAAAAUAUGUUUAAAAUCUUCAUCCACGCUAUACAUUCUUCUUUGAACAACGUCUUCUGGUUCUUGGUAGGUGUUGUCAUCACCAUUUCCUUCCGGGAAUGCCCAUUUAAAGAAAUGACAGUCAUCUCUAGUAUUUGCAUAUUGACAACAAUAAUAUAACCUAUUUGGGUUAUCCUUUGAUUCAGAGAUUCUAACAGCCGCCCUCUGUCUGGGUGAACAUUUACACAUACAGUUAUGAUAAAGUAGAUAUUCACCAUUUCUAGUAUUACCUCUUAUAUUUCUAAAUGAAGCACUUGAAGAUGCCAUGAUGUAACCUGUAUUUCAAUGGAAAACAAGUUAAACAAAUGUAAUGAACAUGUACAAAGUCAAUAAUGAUCUUCAAAAUAACAUUAAAAACAUGGUUACAAACCACCCUAAAUAAUGAUAAGAUCAUAAGUCUAAAAUAGUGGCAUAUGUAAUACAAACAUCUUUGUCAUGACAAUCAAGUAAAUAAGUAAGUUCCAAAACAAAUUCUUACAGAUUCUAAUUUCAUAAACCACACAUAUCAUCACAAUCAAAAUAAGAUAAAAAGUAGCAUGUCACUAAACAAGCAUAACAUUAGAAUCAUGGAGCGGGUAAUGGAUUUUUUCAUGAAGCUCGAUUAUGGCCUGCAACUUGACAUCGUGAACAGAAGAUAAGCCUUUUUGAACUAAAUUGAGACUCUAUUCGACGGUGUCGAGGCCUUCCAAGUGGUCGUUUUGAGCAUGGAGGUUUAAGUGAAGGAUAUAAGCAACCUUGAGCAUCACGAACACAUCCAUCNNNNNNNNNNNNNNNNNNNNNNNNNNNNNNNNNNNNNNNNNNNNNNNNNNNNNNNNNNNNNNNNNNNNNNNNNNNNNNNNNNNNNNNNNNNNNNNNNNNNGAUAAAGUAGAUAUUCACCAUUUCUAGUAUACUCUUAUAUUUCUUAAAUGAAGCACUUGAAGAUGCCAUGAUGUAACCUGUAUUUCAAUGGAAAACAAGUUAAACAAAUGUAAUGAACAUGUACAAAGUCAAUAAUGAUCUUCAAAAUAACAUUAAAAACAUGGUUACAAACCACCCUAAAUAAUGAUAAGAUCAUAAGUCUAAAAUAGUGGCAUAUGUAAUACAAACAUCUUUGUCAUGACAAUCAAGUAAAUAAGUAAGUUCCAAAACAAAUUCUUACAGAUUCUAAUUUCAUAAACCACACAUAUCAUCACAAUCAAAAUAAGAUAAAAAGUAGCAUGUCACCAAACAAGCAUAACACUAGAAUCAUGGAGCGGGUAAUGGAUUUUUGCAUGAAGCUCGAUUAUGGCCUGCAACUUGACAUCGUGAACAGAAGAUAAGCCUUUUUGAACUAAAUUGAAACUCUAUUCGACGGUGUCGAGGCCUUCCAGGUGGUCGUUUUGAGCAUGGAGGUUUAAGGGAAGGAUAUAAGCGACCUUGAGCAUCACGAACACAUCCAUCAGCAUCAACUAUAGGCAUGUUGUGAUUUGGAAUUGAAUUGAAGUGUCCAGAAUAUAUCAACUCUUGCAUUGGAAGCUUGAAAUAUGAGUCAACAUAUUCAUAAACAUCUUGUUUCAUCUGGCGUAUUGCUGCACAUGCAUGCUCACGAGGUAUUCCGGCCAUUUGCCAAGCCUUACAAGUACAUGUACGCUCUCUCAAAUUCACGUCUACAUAUACUUUCAUAUUGAAUACCUUAAACACACCACCAACAUAGGGAUAUACAGGCAAUGACCCACUCUUUAUAAUGUUUUCCAACAACUUUUCCUCGGUCUUUGGGCCAAUUGUAGCUUUCCAAUUUUCUGUAGAACUCAUAUGAUCACAUGCUAGAUGAGCAAACUUAUCCAUAUGUGUCAUUACUAAGUUGAAAAUUGUGUAAUGACGUUCCUCCUUCAGCCAAACAUUGAAUGAUUCAGCAAGAUUAGUUGUCAUCUUAUCCCAUCGUUUUUUUGGCAAACUUUGACAUUGCCCAAUGUUGUGGACUGUUCUCUUCAACCCACUUCGCUAGGUCACUGUUAUAUGUCUUUAAUUUUUCCAUGGCUACAACAUAAUCAUCAUCCAACCUAGCAUACGCAACAUUAUCAAGUAGCAACAAUGCAUCCAUUUUACAUUUUUUUCCCUUCAUACUAUCUUUCGUCACAUAGCUACUAAAAUUCUCCUUCACAUGACGAUAACAAUAUGCAUGAUUUUCUACUCCAAAAAGUUGAGAAACACUACGAAGGAUUGCUUGAUGCCUAUUUGAUAUUAUGACUACCUCUUUAUCUUGAAGUAUGCCCUUCAAUUUCUGCAAAAAUCAUAGCCAAUCCUCAUAGUUUUCUGAACUUACAACACCAAAUGCAAUUGGGAACAUGCCAUCAUCAGCAUCGUAAGCUGUUGCAGAAAAUAAAGAGCCCCUAUAUGGUCCACUCAAAUGAGUUGAGUCAAUUGCAAUAACAGGUCGACAACCCAUUAAAAACCCUUGAAUUGAAAAAGAAUGUGCAAUGAACAAUUGCCAAAAAUGCCCAUCUUGUCUGCUAUAUUCAGCAAUCGUCCCUGGAUUAAUGUCUACCAAUCUCUGACAUAACCAUGGCAACAACAUAUAUGAGUUUUCUGGAAGACCAUAUAUUCUCUCUUUUGCCAUUUCUUUGUAUGUCCAAGCUUGCUUAUAACUCAAUGAAACACCAUACCGACUCCUGAAGUCUUUGCAAAUUUGACGGGGCAAAUAUUGAGGGGUUGCCCUUAUUACUUGCUCUAUGACACAAGCACCUCUCCUUCCCCGCAUUGAAGGUUGGCUUGAACACUCAACAUCUGCACAAUGAUUGUGUACAUCAAUGAAGAUGUUAACCUUCAAAAUUUUGGUUGUGCCUACUGAAUUAGCAGUUAUUCUCCAAGGGCACCCAUCCACUAAACAACACACAGAUAUUCGCUUUGGAGAGUUCUUUUUGAAUUUGUAUUGAAAUCUACCAACUAAUGACAUCGUAUAUAAUGCAUUUCUAAAUUCAUCUACAUUAGGAAAACUAUGCCCACUCCCAAUAAUAGGUUGAGGACAAAGACUUAAAUCAUGUGGCAUAACUUCAGUUUCUGCACAUCUGGACAUGAAGCCUUGAGAAAGUCCUAAAUUAGACUCAUUGUUUGCUUGACAUGAUGCAACUGAAUUGUGUGUUUCCUCCGUACUAUUGUGACUGCAUAUUAUAGCACACUCAGUUAAUUAAUAUUAAAAGCACUUUGCAUCAUGGAAUUAAUGACAACUAAUACAAGAUAUAUCACUUACUAAUAAUCAUUUUGCACAUUGACUAUACCUCCUUCAACUUCUACUCUUCGAGUCCGUUUUAAUACAUAAAUACGAGCAUAAUCAUAACUAUGGGAUAACAUCAUAUGCAUGUCCUCAUCAUCAUCCAACUGUUGAAGUGUAGAUGGAUCAAACUCAAGGGUGUAAUGAAAUGUAUAUCCAUUUGAAUUAAUAUCCAACCGUUCACAUGCCUUUGAAACAAAUUCAGCAUAUGACAUCCUUUGUCCAAUGUACAUGCCUUUUUGUUGUCCACCCUUGUAUUGUAUUUGUUUAUCCUCCUUAGGUACAAUCUCCCCUCCUUCAUGAAGGUAGCCAUAAAUGGAAUUUUCCAAGUCCAUUUACCAAUUCAGAAGUACGUCUUCUUUCACUGACAAUCAAAUCAAUCUAUUUCACAAUAUUACAAUCAAUGAAAAUUUUACAACGAAUACAAAAUAAACAAAUGAAAAUUAUAAUCAAUUGAGAGACAUAUUUUAUAUAAUAAAUAACAAUAUUUGUUGUAUAUUAUACAUGUUAGGGAUAUGCUAAAGAACCCAUAAUUGCCCAGUUUCAUAAGAAAUUUGACGUUUUCAAAAUUUUACCUUAUUGUAAUGUAUCGUAAUGUUAUUGUAUUUGUAUUGUAAUUGUACUAUAUUUUAAUUAUACCUCUAUAUUUUUAUAUAAAAAAAAUUAAUUUUAUAGAUUUUUUUUAUCCAUCAUUGGAUUAUCAUCAACAACUAUUUCACAAUAUUACAAUCAAUGAAAAUUUUACAACGAAUACAAAAUAAACAAAUGAAAAUUAUAAUCAAUUGAGAGACAUAAUUUAUAUAAUAAAUAACAAUAUUUGUUGUAUAUUAUACAUGUUAGGGAUAUGCCAAAGAACCCAUAAUUGCCCAGUUUCAUAAGAAAUUUGACAUUUUCAAAAUUUUACCUUAUCGUAAUGUAUCGUAAUGUUAUUGUAUUUGUAUUGUAAUUGUACUAUAUUUUUAUUAUACCUCUAUAUUUUUAUAUAAAAAAAAUUUAUUUUAUAGAUUUUUUUUUAUCCAUCAUUGGAUUAUCAUCAACAACUUCAUGUAUUGAAAUUACAAUAGUGUAUUUUUGUUGUUGUUUUUUUUUAUAAUUUUGGCUUGCAAGGAUGCUUUAUGAUAGGAAUACAACAUGAUAGCCUAGAAAUGUCAAUUCAGUAAAAAAUAAUUCAAUAUUUUGUCAUUUUGGUAUAUUGUAAUGUAUCAUAAUGUUAAUAUUUUUUCAUUGUAACUAUAUUGCAUUUGUAUUGUACUUAUACUUUAUAACUGAAAUAAUGGUUCUUUUAUACAACCUUCAAACUACUAGGCAUUCGACUCAUCAUACCAAAAUAAUACUUAUACAAAAAGGUAACAAAUUUAUAACAAAAAUAUAGUGAUCUUAACUCUUUAACAAAUUCAUAAUAAAAGACAAAGUGGUCUCGUACAAAGGGGAUUUCAGUUUUCAAUGACAAUCCAAAUAUGUUUAUAAACACACAAACAAAGUGGUCCCAAACAAGCAUGAAACAACUGAGAACAUUUUUUCUUCAAUCAUGUCAAAAAGUCUUAACAACAAAACUAAAGUGCAAACCUUUUCAAUGGAAAUCAAUAAUAAUCAUAUCAAACAACCCACCCAGAAAAUAAAUUAAAAAUAAAAACACAUCUUCAAUAUGACCUAAAUAAUAUAAAAAAAUUCAAAAUAAUAAAUUUAAAUAACAUUUAAAAAAAAAUGUAAUUUCUUUCUCAAAACCUCAUUCAAUAUUUCAGAUCUAAUAUCUUACAACUACAUUGUUAAAAUUAUUAACUUUUCCUUCAUUCAAUCCGAUUUUUAAAUUAUUUAUUUAUUUUUCCAUAAACUGACGUUUUUUUUGUAUUAAAAAAAAAAAACUGACCUUUAAUGGAUUUCUUGCUAGAUUCACAAAAAAAAAAACAAGUUUUGUGUAUCGGUUGCAGAGAAUGACCUGAAGUGCACACCUUUUUCCUUUCCCCUUUUUCUUCUACAACUCGGCUCUAGGUAGGUUAAAGAAAGGGAGAAUAAACUCUUUUUUAUUUUCUGUUGCUUUUCACUUUACUUGCUUUUCAUUUAUUAAGGGUAGUAUUGGCAUUUAAACAAAAUAAGGCCUUUAGAGGAAUUAUCAUAAUUUUACCCUAUCCUUUACAAUAAUUAUCAAAUUUACCCACCCUCAUUGAUCAUUUUUUCCCCAGCCUACCCUUAAGGGUAAUUCUCCCAAAUUAUUAUCUUAUCAUAAACAUCAUAAAUGUUUGUUGUACUUUUUGUAAGUAAUUUUCAUAUUAAAUAAAUAAACUACUAAAUAGAUAAGUUAACAAAUUUUUUUAGAAAUCCUUAAGUGACACAAUCUAUAGAAAAUUAUGAGGACACCAUUUCAUACUUGUUACGUUUUAUUAAAUUUUUUAAAGUUUAUUAAAUUUUAGGUUUUUUCUAUUCCUGAAAUUUUAAAGGAAAGAAACAAAGAGUAAAAAUAGGAAUAAAUAAUAAAUAAUAAAUUAUUUUUAUAUAUUAUUUCACACAUGUGUAAUUGAAUUUUAACUUUUUAUAUAACAAUUAAAUAAUUCUAAAAUAUAUUAGUUUUUAAUAAAUUUUAAUUGUAUUUAUUUUUCUAUUACAUUUUUUUAUGUUAAAAUCAAAUAUUAAAAAUAAUUUAUUGGUUUUCCAAAAGUGUAUUAGAGUGUGUUUGAUAAUAUUUUAAUUCGAAAUGUUUUUAUAGAAGUGUUUUUACAAGAAACACUUAUUAAAUAUUUCUUUAAAAAAUAUUAUAAGUGUUUUUUUUAAUAUUAUAAAUGAUUUUUUUAAUUUUUUAAAAGUGUUUCCAAAAUUUUGAAAAAUAUUUAUUUAUUUAUUUAUUUCAAAAACACUUUUUAUGCUAAGAAACAUUUUUAUGCUAAAAUAUAAAAUAUAAUUUUUAUUCAUUUAAAUUAAUAUAUUUUUUCAAAAGUAUUUUUUAAAAUAGUUUUUAAAUCACUAAUAUAAUUUUUGUUUAUUUACAAUUUAAAAAUAAAAAAUAAUUCCAAAUUUUCAAUUAUUUUUCAAAGAGUUUAAAAAAUAAUAAUAAAUAAUUAAAUAAGGGAGAAUUUUAUAAAAGUGGCAUACAAAAAGAGGGGUAUAAAAACAAAAAUGAUGGGUAGAAGUUAAAGGGGUGUUUUUGUCUAUUCCAAUCAUACCCUAUUGUAGACCCCCUUUUAGUGGUGAGGACCCGGGGGGGUUUGUUUUUUUUUUGAAUUUUCAUUAUCUUGUUGGAGGGGUAGGGGACCCCAGCUGAGUUUGGAUGUCGUCUGCAUGAGACGUGCAGAUGGAGAGGGGCAGAGACGCCAGCCGUGCUAGGGGUCAGAGACGCCAGCCUUGCUAGUGGUCAGAGAAGCCAGGCUGCUAACUGGUGAACAGGAACUGGAGGGUUGGCUUGCUGAAGAAGACACCAAUAGGGGGAUGAAAGAGGGAGGGACAGGAAAAAGGUGGAAAAAUCCGGAGAGAGGGGGGGUGAGCUUAUAGAGGAGGGAGCCGAGUAAGCACGGCGGAAGAAGUUCAGGUAUGGCCAACAUGGAUUUCUUUAUUUUGGUUCUCUUCAUUUUCCUUCUCUAUUAUUGCUGUUUUUUAGUAUAAUUUGUUGUUGAUCUCUUGGUUGCUGGGAUUUUGUUAUCGUUUGUCCUUGUCACAUUUUCUGGAGUUUUGUUUUGGGUAUGAACUGUCUCUGUUGCAGCUUUCCUAAAAUNNNNNNNNNNNNNNNNNNNNNNNNNNNNNNNNNNNNNNNNNNNNNNNNNNNNNNNNNNNNNNNNNNNNNNNNNNNNNNNNNNNNNNNNNNNNNNNNNNNNUUUCCUUUGUUUCUGGACUGUUCAAAGUGUUGGAUAUCUCAGCUGGGUGAUUCAUUUUGGUUGGGAUAUUUAUGAGAGAGUCCCAUAAGAAGCUCAAUUCUCAUACAAACGAAAAUUUCUGGAUACCUGUAAGAUGUGUGAACCACAUUCAUUAAAUGUUGAGAGAUGCAGAAGGGAGAGCCCGGAUGAGGAUGGAGUAUGCAGUCGUCAUGUUAUGGGACCCUUACAGCACAACAAAUGCUUUGUAGCAACAGUCACCAAUCGGGACGGUGCACCAGUUACUUAAGGCGAGAAAGCCAGAGAUCCACAACGUUAUAGAUUGCACCGGUAGUGGAGAUUAUUUGAUAUCUCAACUAUGACGAAGGCUGAUUCAGGCGUUUGACCACAUGGAGCACCAUGUCGGCUGUAACAGGUGCGUCAAGGCAGCAACUUGCGAACCUCGGUUUGGCAGUGAUGGCGUGGGUUCAUAGCAAUCGAUCCAUACGUGGAGCAGAUUAUAUAUUAUGAAGAUAAGGCGAGCCAUUUGAAAUGAGGUCCUCGGUAUUUCCACUAGUGUUUUUUGGAUGUCAACUCUUGCAUGGGACUGCCAGACAUGUUGACUAUUUUUGAACCCAAGACCCAGCGUCCCAUGAAUCGCAUCAGGCGGCCAAAGGGCGUCGUAACCGGGUAUUCACAGGGGCAAGGUCCCCAAGCUGCAGUUUCAGUUUAGCGCUGGGUUUUCGGGCACUCCGAAUAAAACAAGACUGCCCAAGAACUUCACUUUAUUGGGUCUGGGGGCAGGCUACAUUUGUAACCAAGCAACCAUCGAAGCUCCUUCACUUUCCCUCUCCUCUGAUGGCCGGUGAAAAACUUGCUAACAGGGAUGAGCGUGAUCUAUGCAUGAUUGGAGUUGGAAAUUGCUCCCAGUUGCAGUCUCCCUCUUUGCCAUAUAACCCCUUCUAUUUCACCCUUGCCGUUUCCCAUGAACUGGAAAUCCCGUGUACAAGGCUUUGCAUGGCCACCUCAAGCAUCUUCCAUGUGCUUAAUCCAUCUCCUCAUGCCGUUCACCCUCACCCAUCUUUCAUAACCUCCCAUGCACAUGCUCAUUUUCUGAAAACUCAUUCAAACCUAUCCCCACCACCUUCGCAUGGCCAUGCAUGGCCACUUCUAUUCACUUCUUCAUACCCAUCGUCAUCCCCUACAUCCAUCAAACCAUCCCACUAAGCCCAUCACUUCAGAUGAAUGAGCCUGCUUUGCACCCUCCAUCUGUAUUGCCACCCAUUAAAUCUGCUCCAGCAUCUGAAAUGACCAAACGUCACAUGCCUUUCAAACCCACCAAUCACACCCAUUUUCCAUACCCACUAAGCCCAUUUGCCAUGCAUGGUCACGUGACGCCCGCCACACUCAUUUCUUGCUCAGCAUACCCAUUUUCUCUCUCAAAUUUAUCCACUACAAGCUGCCACACCAUGGACUGUGAGACAUAGUUGAUGAUUUUGUGAAUCAGUUUGAGAGCUUUUGAAAGUAAGGGCCUUUAUUUUGUGCACAUGCAUGCUGGGACCCAUCUUUUUGAAAUCAUCAACCAUGUGGUAGAGGCUGUAGAGAAACGCAUAGAGGAAACAUGUAGGAGUAUUAUGGUGUGCUAUAAGGAUGAUGCCUCUUGAGCGAAAGAUAUUGCCCUGAGGAAGUUCAGGGAUAAAGACCUUUUGGGUGCAAAGAAAUUUGUAUCCUGGGUGUGAGGGUAUUUCUCAAAUGUUAACUAUGUUUGAUGUGUACAUCUCAGCUGAGAAGAAAGUGAGUGGAGGAGUGGAUUGGUAUGGGAUACUUGGCGUAAUCCCUUUGGCCGAUGAGGGAACUGUGAAGAAACAAUGCAGGGAGCUGGCUCUUAUGCUUUAUCCUAAUAAAAACAAGUCCACUGGUGCAGAUGGUACAUUUAAGUUUGUUUCAGAGGCUUGGAGUUUAUUAUCUAACAAGAGCAAGUAUUUGCUGAAUGUUUCCCACUGAUGGCAUUGCUUAAACAAAUUGGUGGAUAAAAGUCAAAGAUAUAGUUUUUUAUAUUAUUUUUUAUUCUUCAUUGGUGGCAUGGUUCCAGCAGGCUUCAAGGUGGCUUAUUAUUAUUUUUUCUCUUUUCUCCCACGUGCCAUCUUCUUAAUUCCACUUUACAUGUUAAGAUUUUCAUUUUUUUUGCAAAUUCAUUCAUUUAUUGAUUUAUUUUAUCUAUUUUAUUCAUUUAUUUUUUAUUUGUCUAUUUAUUUAUUUAUUUAUUAUUUUAUUUAAGAAUAUAUAUAUACACGUAUCAUUUCCAAAAUAAUCUCAUAAAAUGUGAUUUUUAAAUUUAUUUUACGAAACUUCAAAUCUAACAUUCAAUUUUCCAAAACUCCAAUAUUUUAAGUUCUAAAAAAAUUUUCAUUAUUCACGUUCAUUCAUUUAAAUAUUAUUCUCAUUAUUAUUAUUAUUAUUAUUUCGUUCAUUUAUUUUACAAAUUCCAAUAAUUAAAGUUCAAAUUUUUCAAAAUUCCGUUUUCCGAAUUUAAUUUUCAAUCUCAAAAAUUCCACUAUUCACAUUCAGCUGUUUAAUGAUUAUUUUCGUUAUUGUUAUUAUCUCGUUCAUUUAUUUAUUCACUUAUUCAUAUAUUUAAAAAUCUCAUCUCCAAAUAAUUUCUCAAAAUCUCAAUCUCUAAAUUCGAUCUCCCAUCUCUAAAAUUCUAUUUUUCGCAAUUAUUUACCUAAUCUUUAUUAUUUCAUCAUUAUUAUUAUUUCACUCAUUUAUUUAUUCACUUAUUUGUUUAUUAAAAUUCCGUAUUUAAAUAAUUUUUCAAAAUUCCGAUUCCCAAAUUUAGUUCUCUGAAAUCCCAAUUCCUUUCAAAUUUAAUUACUAAAAUUCUCAUUCUUAUAUUUAAUUUCUAAAAAUCUAAUUUUCAAAUAAUCUCUAAAACUCCAAUUUUCAAAUAAAUUUCAAAAAUCCAGUUUUCCCUUAAACAAUUUUAAUUUCUAUUUGGUGAUGCAUGCGGUAUGUUUUGUGUUCUUUAUUAUACACUGACCCUAUUUUUAUGAUAGUGCAUGGUGGUUCGUUGCCCAGGUAUGUACCCAUUUCCCCUCUAAUCGUUGUCUAUGCAUGUCUCGAUUCUCACAUGUGCGUGAUUUAUCCUGAGUGUUCAUUGAUUUACUCAUUCAUUGCCAUGAUUGCUUCAAUUUUAUUAGUAGAGACCUGACUUAGGGACUUAGAGGGGUGCUAUGGUCUUUACAGUACCUUCCUGAUAAGUAACCUGACCCCCGAACCCGAUCCGGUUUUUCACAGACCACCUUUUCCAAAACAAGGAGUCACACUUAGGGUUUUUCUUUCUUAUUUUGUUUACCCUUUAGAAAUAAAACAAAAAUAAGUGGCGACUCCAAGUCAAUUUUUCUUAAUCAAUAAAGAUCAAAUUUUCAAAUUAAAAUCGAGCUCGCCAUCGAGUGGGAAACGCAUGAGCCGAAAUGCGGGGUCCACAAAAUGGCGACUCCACUGGGGAUAGUUAGAGGGUCAAACUCGAACUUAAAGUGAAGUAAACGUGGCAUUUGAUUGGACGAUUAGUGGAUGCUCAUAUCUUGAUUGUACAUUGGGGAUUUCUUGAUGCAUGCUUAGAGGUCGUAUUCAUUUGAGUUUUUGACAUGUUGGAUUAUUGAUGAUUGAUCUUAUUGCAUUGCUUAGCGUAUUGAUUCUGAUUUUGCCAUGAUUGUUUUGGUCACCUCACAUGCAUACACUCACCACUGUAUAUCAUUUGAUUGGACAUGUUGAUUCAUUUGCUUGUAUAUUAUCUUGAUCGUCUUUGAGCAUGAUGUUUAUUUCACUAUUUGUCUUGAUUUUCAUAUUCUCGCUUAUUUUGUGUGUACAUGGUGAUAUAUCUGAGCACCGACUGAUUGUAUGUUGCAUGACUGCCAUUUUUCUGUGUGAUUGCAUGCCGCUUGUCUCUGUGGGUAGCACAUUUAUCCCCUUACCUCCUAUUCUCUUGGUUUCGGUCAUUCCUUUCAUCUCGGCUCUCACUAUUGCAAGUGAGGCCUUUUGUGUGUUUGCUCCCUGACCGAGCCAGAGAUUAGGAGUAGGGUCUAGCGACGGGCUAUAUCGAUGUAUGGGAGCAUUCUGGAGGAGAGCGACACUUUGAUGUCGAUUGGAGUCCGAUCAUUGAAGACCUGUAUAGCCCCGAGCUAGGUUUCAUGGAUAGUCGUGCGACCAGUGUGUUUCCUCUUUUGCUUUAGAUUCUUAGGGUUUUCGGAUGCACCCACACCAUUCACUGUGCACUUUAGUUGACCAUUGAGCGUUGAGAGUUUGAGAGGUUUCACCAUAGGAAACCCCUUGGGAUGUCGGGGUAGUGAAUGUGUGGAGGUGAUGACCACCUUGCAUGGAAGCGUCUCGUCUCUUCGGAGACGUGCAGAAGGUUGCGUACCGCCGGAGGGUACGAUCGCUUCUGCUAUGGAUCUUUAAAGUCCACCCAUAUCCAUUUAGAGCCACCUUCACCUCGUAGGUUGAGCUGUAGAUCCUUCGAUUAGGACUCCCUCCCUACACGUGGGUGCAUCUGAGGGCUUUCAGAGCCUCUGUGGUUACACUUCGGAUUUGGCAUUCCCUCUUUUUAGUCUCCAGUUGAGAGUGCUUGGAGAUCGAUAUGAGUUUGAGUACGAUUGGAUCACCUUUAGUCUUGUCGCCUUAGUUUGUGUUUUUCACUUGAUGAGUUUAGCAUGUUUUCUCUCUAGGGUUUUCAUUCUCAUUUCUUGGCUCGACACACCCUUUCACUUUGUUGUCACUUACUCGAUACUUUGGGACACGUUCAUGAUCACCUUUUUACACUGUCCACCUAUCACGGGCUCAGUACCUCAUUCUUUGUUUGAUCCUUGGUUCGAUUUUCAACUUGAUGCUCAUAUUUUCAUUACUAGAAAGGUGAAAGACACAUUUUCAUAUUCACACAUUUUUCGGGAGAUUCGCCUUGAUCACCUUAUCAUUUUCUUCCCUUAUGGAGCUCGAGUUGAAGGUUGAAUCAAGGAUAUUUUGUUAUAGAUUGAGUAUCGAUCUCGUGAUAGUGUUGUUCUUCACACCCCAUUCAUUUUCUUCGCACCUCUAUCACUUCCUGGAUCAUCGAUAGAAAUUCUUUAGUCAUAUUUGUAGUUGUCUCACACUGGACACUCAUGUGACUCUAGAGUUUCUAUCGUAUAUCCAAAUUUUGAUUGUCACCAUGCGAUUGUGUAUCGCACCCUGUCAUGUAUUGGGUUGUGUUGUGUCAUGCACUGGUCAUUUGUUCGUUGCAUCCCGUGUCGUUGUAUGAGUCGUGUUUGAGUCGUUUUGCUUGGGUUCUUUUGUAGGGGUCUAUCUGUAGUCCCAGUCUUGGUUCAGUGCCCUGGGUUGAGUGGGAGGUUGAUUCGUAUUGCUGAGCUGCUAUAGACGGGCUCACAGUCAGUUUCGAUUGGUUAGCUUAUUGCUUCUGUGGUUUUGAUUCUGGAGGCAUUGACCAGUUUGAGUUAGAGGAUGGAUACUCAGCAGAGUAGGCAUGUAGUGCUCGAGGACACGCCAUCUGAUAUAGUGACGCCACCUGUUCUACCUAUUCAGAUGCCAGCUACACAGACUUCGCUUGCUACUUCAUAUGAUCAGGCUGCUGUCAUUUCACCCAUUGUCACACCAGUUACCAUUAUUGAGGAUCCUCGUUCCCGUAUGGACAGACUCGAGCAGAGGAUUAGACAGAUGAGAGAUCCUGAUGAGAUGAUUUCAUGGGAUGACCUUGACGAUGUGCCAGUGGCCACUUUGCCAGUCGGUUUUAGGAUGCCUGAUAUAGAGAGAUAUACGGGUGUUGGAUGUCCUCGUAUUCAUCUCAGACUUUAUAGCACAGUUAUGAGAGCCCUUGGUCUAGAUGAGGCACAGUUGCUCACUUUGUUCCCGUUGUCAUUGAGUGGCAUGACGCAGAGAUGGUACGCUUCAUUAGAGACAUCUCGUCGGAGAACUUGGGAGGACUUAGCACAGGAGUUUCUAAGACAGUAUUCCUUCAAUGGUGAUACGAGCGUUACACGUAGAGAGCUUGAGUUUCUUAGACAGGGAUCAGAUGAGUUUGUUUCUUCUUUUAUCUCUCGUUGGAGGGAGAAGGUUGUGGAGAUGAUUGAGCGACCUACCGAGAGAGAUCAGAUGAGCAUGUUUUUGAGGAGUUUGCACCCUAGGUUUGCUCGGCAUUUGACAGGAGUCCCAUUCCGGGAUUUCAGAUCAUUGGUUCAGGCUUUGAUUGAUGUAGACGAUAGCAUAUCUAGAGGAUUAUGGUCGGAUAUUAUUCCUUCCUCAAAUACUGAGGGGAAGAGAGUUGGUGGAUCAUCUGAGAGCUAUGGAGACGUAUGUUCUGCGGAUUUUCAGCAUCGACGACCUGGUUAUCAUUCCUAUGCGAGAUCAUUGCAGAUACCCAGGAGUGAUUUCCUGCCUUUACAGCAUCAUCAUCCUCAUUCAGUUCAGCAGUACCCUUUUGUGCAUCCUCAUAUUGUCACGGUGCGACCUUCAUUGCAGUUUCAGCGUCCACAGACUAGUAUCCCACGACAUGAGCAGUCUCUUCCCCAUCGGCGACAUCAGAGGACUUAUACUAAUUUGGGGAUGCCUUUGGAUAGAGCUUUUGAGCGACUUAGAGCUACUGGUUUUUUAGCACCAUUGGCCUCUAGGCCACCCCCGAGUAUCUUACCUCCACGUUUUCGUGCUCACGAGUUCUGUGCAUUUCACCAGAUGGCAGGCCACCGUACUGAUUAUUGUGCUUCUCUACGUCAUACCAUACAGGAUCUUAUUGACAGUGGUGCAGUUAGCCUUCCCAUAUCGACCACAGAUGCUGAUCUUGGUCCAGAUAUGACUGCUGAUUCCUUUCCGGUUUAUUCCAUGCAUGCGGUCUCUCCUCCUUCGGGCUUAUACCAUCACGUUUUGGACACCCAGGGCACUGAUAUUCACAGGACACUUUGAUACCUUGUUGGUGUAUUUUGGGACUACCUUUUUAGUUGGUCGUUUGAGUUUUUGUUCUCUUUUGCUCUUUAUUUGAGUCUUGUUUUAUAGUUAGUAAUUCGUGUUCGUACCUUGUGUUUCGAGAGUAGACCUUAGUGUCUUAUUUUGUAUGAUGUACUCUCAUUUCGCUUAGUGGUAUUGUUGUUUUCUUGGGUAUGCGUUUCUAUCUUCUUUUUAUUAUUAUCAUUGUUUCUUAUCAUGCAUUUUAUGUGUUGUUAUUUUGGGUAGCAUCGUGUGUUGCUUUGUUUUUGUCUCUUGUAUUGUGUUUGUUUUAGAGUCUUGGACGGUUUUAGUGUCGUGACUGGUCCCCGAGCAGAGAUUGAUGGUAUGAUGAUUAUGAUACAGAGCACCUUGAGACUAGACUUCUUCAACUGAGGUUCACCAUGUCGGACGAGAUCACACCCAUUACUCUUACUGCUCUUUAUGAGAUGAUGGUGGAUUUGACGCGGAGGGUUGAGAGGAUUGAGCUUACUUUGUCAGAGCAUCCAUCAUCAUCGAGAGGAGCUCCAGGAGUAGCUAUGUCUUCAUUGCCACAUUUGACUCCAUCGAUGCUUGCUACUUUGGGUGCCUCACAUCCAUGGCCUCGCCCACAUUCAGUGUUUCAGCAGCAUUCCUCAUCCAUUUCAUUGGCUAUGCCGACACGACCUCCAUCCUGGCUUCAGGGCCCUCCAGUUAUUACAGUUCCUCAGGAGCGACUUCACCCUCGUCGACGGUGUCAGAGACGCUUUUCAGAUUUGAGCACACCCCUGAGCAGAGUUUUUGAGACGUUCCAGGCCAUGGGAUUUUUGGCUCCUCUGGCUCCUAGGGCACUUCCAGAUCCUGUGCCUCCACAGUUUCGACUCGACUUGUAUUGUACGUACCAUCAGUCAGCAGGACAUCACACUGAUUGUUGCACUGCUCUACGACAUGCCAUACAGGACAUUAUUGAUUCUAGGAUGUUUGGGCAUCCUCAGUCCGAUAUGUCUUCUAUUCCUACCUCAGCUCAGGCCACACAUGCAGACGCCCCUCCACCAGCAGUCCCUGAUCUUAUUGAUUUGGGCGAUUGACUUAUGAUUGGCUUACCUCGGUACAGUGGUGCUCAGUUUUUGUUCCUUCUGUGGCCAGAGAUGUGAUGAUCGGACCAGUCACUGUUUUUGUUUUGUUUUGUUUUGUUUGGUCUUGUUUUACUUUUGACAUUUAGAGACUAUAACUCGAUUCUCGAGUAUUGUCUUUGUUAUCCUUCUUUUGCAUGAUGUACUCAUCGGAUUAUCCCAUAGGAUGCAUUUUCCUUUAUGGACAUGUGUUUGUGUUUUGUGAUAUGAUGUGUUGUAUUUUUUUACUUGAGGCAUCUCUUCACUUGCACAUUAUGGUCUUGAGGCUUGACCUAUCAUGGAGGAUAUUAAGCCUAUUAGCCUAGGAUCAGAGAUUUGACUUAGGGAGUUCGAGACUGUGACACAUCUUCUUAUGAUCAGAGCAGUACCUUGCUCACUUCCCACACCUUGCUUUUGUUUUGACCUGCAUCCAUCCAUUAUGAGCUUUGCACAACAUCACCCUUGAGACCCUUAUAUGACAUUUUCAUCCUCGGUUUCUCUAGCUUUGCACAUCCCUUCUCUGAUUCGACCAGGUAGAGUGUGAGGAGUUUGAGCCCAAGGUUGAUCUGGCAUGGCGAGGGUUAGCUUGUGAUCUUUGGGUGGUUUACGAUAUGUGGAUUGGUCGAUUGCUUGGUGAGACUGUCACUUAUUUCGCCGUGAGUAUAGAGAUUGGUCUUGUAUGAUGAGAGUUGGCUCGUGAUGGGUAGUCGCGCCUGAUGGGAUCACUGUUUACUUUGCUUUGAGAGGAUCAUCUUUGAGAUUAUUAUGGAGCAUUUGGAGUACAGUUGAUACAUGAUCCUAGAGGGAAGUUCAGACCCAAUUGGAGCGGACCUUAUUUCAUCAGGAAGCUGACCCCAGAAGGCGUUGCAUGGUUGAUGGAUUUAGAUGGAAACCGAUUCUUAGAGCCGACUAAUGUAGAUCAGCUGAAGAAGUACUAUGUUUGAGACCAUGGUCGCAGGAUGGGUGGCUGUCAUUUUGGUUAGCCAUUACCUUGUUAUUCCUUUGUGAUACAUAGUCUGUUGCUAGCCCAUUGAGCCUCGCAUGCGCAUUAUAGCCUUUCUUUCUUAUCGCCUUGCUCACAUUUUCACACCGGGAUAGGGGCCCUUUAAUGUAUGCAUGCAUUGUUUGGUAGUUUCAUGAGCUUUGGACCUAUGGGCAUGUUUUUCUCAUUAUCUUUUCCUAUCACUGCACCUCUGUAUUUUCGUCUCAUCUUAUUGGUUAUGUUAUUCGUCUCUUCUUCCUUAUCUAAUCUACUAUUUGUUUGUCUCAUAUUCUCUCCACCCUGGGUGGUAAUCCCCUUCAGUUCAUCACAUGGAGGAUAGUCACAUCAUUUCCACCAUCUAUCUCGCGGACACUGGUUUAGAGAUCCUUAGUUUGAGAAGGUCAUCUUGUUAGAGAGAGUUUGUUUGUUACCUUAGCACUUGGGGGUGUGUCCAUUUGUUAUUGAUAUCAUCUUUGGGGUUUAUUUAUUCACAUUCAGGGCGCGUAUUUGUAUAUAUGUAAAAAAAAAAAAAAAAAAAAGUAAAAAAAAAGAAAAAAAAAAUCAUUAUUAUUAUUAUUAGCACAUGUGUGUAUGUGCAUAGUGUUCUCGAUCAUUGAGUAUGUAUAUAGAUGUUUGUGAUCAUUUUUAUCGAGUAUGUUCGUUAUUGGGAGUUCGUAUGUGAGCUCUCUGAGAUCCCAUGUUAUUUGUAUUGCUUCGUCAUAUCUAUUUGUGAGAGAGAUGAGUGACCUUCUCCUAAGGAUUCCGAGUCAUUUUCCUUUCCAUCAUUACAUUCAUUAUUGAUGUGACUUCACUUCAUGUUUGAUUUGAGUCGAUCGCCACCUUUCUUCACAUAUUCAUUGUUUCGCUGUCGUUUUUAUCGUUGCUUGUGAUUCAUCUCAUUCCCUUCACGUCUUAUUCUCUCCUUAUAGCGACCCCUCUCGGGUUCGAUGCUCACUUCACAUCAUCAUUACACAUAUCACUAUCAGUUCAUUUUGCUUCAUUUGUCUCCUUAUCGAUAUCACAUUCACGUUAGGCAUCCUCGGGUCCAUGGCUCAUGGGGUUCACUAUACAUGUUGCAUUUCAUAUAUGAGGGCAUGAGUUCUGAUCAUGGGGUAUUUGCGCCUAGUUUUCUUUCGUUUCUAUCACCCUAUCACCUUGGCCUACGUUACGUCCCGUGUCUUAAGACCACCCUGAGGCCAUGGGAUCAGAUGUCGUCUUCGGCAGCCUCUACUUGGACGGGUGAUUGAGAUCUGGUUGAUAUUUAGAUAUCGUCAUGCUUCUUCUUCUGGGAGUCGCCUCUUUGAUGUGUAGGACUGAUUCAGUUGUGUUCGGAUUACCGGGAUCAUGAGUUUGACGAUGAUUGACUUGGUGUCACCUGAUUUUUUUGACCUAUCGUACCUCUGGUGCCACAUUGCGACAUAUCCCAUUCCAUUUGGAGGUUUAUGGAUCCUCACAGAUUUGCACGUUCAUUAUCACUUACUGGAUGCUCACUAAGACAUGGACAUGAUCGUUACCUUACAGAGCCUCCGAGAUCCAUCCAGCUAGUUCCGCACUUCUCGAUGCUUGGAUGUCAUCAUGCCUCUCCAUCUGGGAGGACAUCUUGGAUAUAUGUGCACGAUUCAGUUAUGGAUUCGGAUGACUAGUGUUACAUGUGCGACGAUAGAUGAUUUCAUGACAUUUUUCCUUCGAACCUGUCGCGCACUUGAUGUUAUACUGGGGCAUAUUUUCCAUUUCAGAUGUGAUUUAUAGAUCUUCACUUAUGUCGCAUAAUCGAUGAUAGAUGAUUUCAUGUCGCCCGAUCUCUGACCUGCCAUACGUUCGAUGCCCAUACUGGGGCAUAUUUCCUUUUCGAUUGAGAUUUAUGGAUCUUCAUGGAGUUGCACGCUCAUCCCCACUUACGAGAUACACUUUGACACUAUGUUUCCUCCGUGGAGUCUCUCGGGAGUUACCCAGUUAGGCCUGCACCUCGCGACGCUUCGAUGUCAUCAUGCUUUCCUUCCGAGAGACGCCCCUUUGAUUUAUGGGUCUGUUUCAGUUGUACACGUGGAUGACUUGGAUCGCGCAUUCGAUGACGGGUGAUCUGGGCUCAUAUGGUUCUUUUGACUCAUCAUGCAUUGUGUUUGAUAGCUCUUAUGUGAGCGAUACUUGGGAUUGAUUCGAGAGCAUUUUGAUUGUGAUGGACCAGGAGUUAUGGUAGGACCCUACACUGGGGCAUAACCAUCUCAGAGAGUUCUUUUUCUAUUGGAUGACCAUUAUGUCGAGGCAUACUCUUCUCAGUCGAUGACGGAUUUUUGAGCCAUGUUCCUUGGAGGAUAUCAGAUGUCCUUUUUCACAUUGGAGCGUGAGACAUGAUUGGCGCGUUUCAUCUGGUGUACUUUACACAGGGGCAUACCCCUUUCGGUCCAUGAUGGUUUUUAGGCAUAGUUGUUCCUUGGAGGCGAUUAGAUUCAUUUCACAUUGGAGUACGAGAUAUGAUUGGGUGAUAUAUUUGAUGUGAUCACAGGAGCAUAGCCUUCUCAUCAUUGUUGACAUAUUUUUGAGAUGAUUGGAUCAGGACACGGACACUUAUGAGAGCAUGCAGCGGAGUUUAGUCAUUUCAGGGUUUGCCCUAUACUGGGGCAUAACCCUUUCAUUGGCGGUUGAUAUUAGAGAUAUCAGUUCACAUUGGGACAUGUUCUUUCUUUGGGGGAGGUCAGCUACUCUCUUCACAUUACCACGAUGGCUUUGAUGAGCAGAUGUUCAUUUUGAUCAGAUGAUGUAUGAUUGGUUGUACUCUUCUCAUGGAUGUUUGAUUUGGAGAUGCUUACACUGGGGCAUAGCCCACUCGUCUUGGUGAUGAUUUUGGUGAGAUGACAGUUUAUACCAGACACUUACUUUCCGGAGAUCAUUCUGCAUUGAGAGCUUACCCAUUCUGAGAUGAUGCAUUCAUACUGGGGCAUAGCCACCUUGCUGAUUUUGACAUUGAGACUCCACUUCUUGUUUAUGAUCGCUGCUCUCGAUGGAUUAUAGAGUUGUUGGCAUCCUGGGUUCAGUCUUCUCAGCAUACCUAGUUGGGUUUGGACAUUCACUUAUCUUUGUUACACACCCAUCCAUCCUACAUUGGACACCGUUAUACUUGCACCCAUCUUAUCAGAGCCUUACAUCUUUUGAGCCUACAUAUUUCAUCAUCUUACUUGACUAUUAUCCUUUUCUCUUGAUCGGAGGAAGAUACAGACCAGUCUCGAGCUUUCUGGUUGAGUUUUCACAUGCCUUUGGACAUUAGGUUCAACAUCUUCCGUGAUGGUAGGGCCUGUUAGAUUGUUGAUAUAUUUGUGAUGAUAUUCUUAUGUUGAUAGUUGACAUCGUAUCUUGAUUUGUUUAUAUUUCAGGUUUAGAGUCUUGGUCAGCAUUUGUUUGAUCCAUUAUUUUAGUUUUGCUUUGUCAGUAUGAUUUCAGUGAUGCUUGGACUUGUUUUAGCAUUUGUUCAUUGAGGCUAUGUAUGUGUUUUUUCAUUGCAUCAUCAUUGAGCAUAUCCUAGAGUGUCUUGUUUGGUGACAUUCUGUGUCUUAUCUUGGUUACUAUUUUUCACUAGGGGCAUAACCCCAUCCUCAGAUGUUUUGCAGACUUUUCUCGCUGCUCAUUCUAUUUCUUGAGCUUUGUGAGUUGUCACACUGGGGCAUACCCCCGUCCUUGAGUUCAUCGAUUCUCUUUUGCAGACUUUCUCGCUGCUCAUUAUAUCUCUUGACCUUUGUGAGUCGUCAUAUUGGGGCAUACCCCCUUUAGCGCUUUUCUACUGGGGCAUACCCCCCUCUAUUUGGGUUUACCGUGUCUCAUGUUGAUUUCAUGGUUGUCAGACCCAUUUGUCGAUCUUUAUGAGUUAUCGCCUAGGGCAUCCCCCUACCACCGUCUUGUUUAGGGCAUCCCCCUAUUGUCAUCUUUUUUAGGGCAUCUCCUUUCUUUCAAUUAUAUCACCACCAUGGAUUUUCAUCCUUGGGCUUUCAGAUUUGUCACCAUCAUAGAUUUUCAUCUAUGGGCAUUUCAGUUAUUUCACCACCAUAGAUUUUCAUCUAUGGGCUUUUUCAGAUUAUCACCAUCAUAGAUUUUCAUCUAUGAGCAUUUGUUUCAGACUCACCACCAUAGAUUUUCAUCUAUGGGCUUUUUCAUAUUAUCACCAUCAUAGAUUUUCAUCUAUGAGCAUUUGUUUCAGAUUCACCACCAUAGAUCAGACAUCUAUGGGCAUUUCGAUUAUUUCACCACCAUAGAUUUUCAUCUAUGGGCAUUUCAGUUAUUUCACCACCAUGGAUUUUCAUCCUUGGGCUUUCGGGAUUUUCACCCCCAUAGAUCUUCAUUUAUGGGCAUUUCAGGUUUAUCAUCACCAUAGAUCAGACAUCUAUGGGCUUUGAUCAGUUUUCACCACCAUGGAUUUUCAUCCUUGGGCUUUGAUCAGUUUUCACCACCAUAGAUUUUCAUCUAUGGGCUUUUCAGAUUUUCACCACCAUAGAUCAGACAUCUAUGGGCAUUUCAGAUUCACUAUCAUGGAUUUUCAUCUAUGAGCCUUUGUUUUAGUUAUCACCACCAUAGAUUUUCAUCUAUGAGCAUUUCAGUUAUUUCACCAUCAUAGAUUUUCAUCUAUGAGCCAUUUGUUUCAGUUAUCACCACCAUAGAUUUUCAUCUAUGGGCUUUUCAGAUUUUCACCACCAUAGAUCAGACAUCUAUGGGCAUUUCAGGUAUUCACCAUCAUGGAUUUUCAUCCAUGAGCCUUUGUUUUAGUUAUCACCACCAUAGAUUUUCAUCUAUGGGCAUUUCAGUUAUUUCACCAUCAUAGAUUUUCAUCUAUGAGCCCUUUGUUUCAGUCAUAUCACCACCAUAGAUUUUCAUCUAUGGGCAUUUCAAAUUCACCACCAUAGAUUUUCAUCUAUGGGCUUUUCAGUUAUUAUCACCACCAUAGAUUUUCAUCUAUGGGCAUUUCAGUUAUUUCACCACCAUGGAUUUUCAUCCUUGGGCUUUCGGGUUUAUCACCACCAUGGAUCAGCUAUCUAUGGGCUUUUCAGUUAUUAUCACCACCAUAGAUUUUCAUCUAUGGGCUUUUCAGUUAUUAUCACCGUCAUGGAUUUUCAUCCAUGAGCCUUUGUUUCAGUUAUCACCACCAUAGACUUUCAUCUAUGGGCAUUUCAGGUUUAUCAUCACCAUAUAUCAGACAUCUAUGGGCUUUGAUCAGUUUUCACCACCAUAGACUUUCGUCUGUGGGCUUUGUUUCAGUUAUUCACCACCAUAGAUCAGACAUCUAUGGGCUUUGAUCAGUUUUCACCACCAUAGAUCAGGCAUCUAUGGGCAUUUCAGUUAUUUCACCACCAUAGAUUUUCAUCUAUGUGCAUUUCAGUUUAUUUCACCAUCAUGGAUUUUCAUCUUUGGGCUUUCGGGAUUUUCACCACCAUAGAUUUUCAUCUAUGGGCAUUUCAGUUAUUUCACCACCAUGGAUUUUCAUCUUUAGGCUUUCGAGAUUAUCACCACCAUGGAUUGGCAUCUACGGGCAUUUUUACCAUAUCACCACCGUAGGUCUUCACCUAUGGGCCUUCUAGUUUAGCAUUUAGAGUUAGUUUUUUUUUUUUUUUUUUGGCUUCCAGAGCUGUUAUUUUCUCAGGGUAGCAUUUAGAGUUAGCUUUUUGGUUUGGCUUCCAAAGCUUUUAUUUUCCCAGUUUAGCGUUUAGAGUUAGUUUUUUUUUUUUUUGGCUUCCAGAGCUGUUAUUUUCUCAGUUUAGCAGUUUAGAGUUAGCUUUUUGGUUUGGCUUCCAAAGCUUUAUUUUCUAGUUUAGCGUUUAGAGUCAGUCUUGUCAUUCAGAGUCGUAGCUCCUAGCAUUCCUAUUCACUGGCAUUGCGCAUCUUACCUUCAGGGUUUUGCAUUCGUCCUCGGCUUUCCUCACUUCGUUACCCGGUGCUUAUCGCAUAUUCAUCUCGUACUCCAGGAUGGUUCGACUGUUACUCAUCUUUGACAUUGAUCUCUUGGGUCACUUUUGGAGACAUCUUAGAGAGAGUGUGGAUCCUUGGUGCAACCUUAGAGUCAUUUUGGGACAUCUUUUCUUUUAGGAUUAGAACCUUUAUGUUCAUCUAUUGACCUGAGUAAGUCCGUGUUUCAUUGGGUGUCCUUUUGGGGGUCUCCUUUGUUCUUCGAUAGAGCUCAUUUCAUCCCACUCAUUACUCACACUUGCUUUUCACUCCAGUGUUCACAUUCCUUACACUCAUGAGCUCUACCGAAGAGGGGCAUAUUUGUAGACCCCCUUUUAAUGGUGAGGACCCGGGGGGGUUUGUUUUUUUUUUGAAUUUUCAUUAUCUUGUUGGAGGGGUAGGGGACCCCCAGCUGAGUUUGGAUGUCGUCUGCAUGAGACGUGCAGAUGGAGAGGGGCAGAGACGCCAGCCGUGCUAGGGGUCAGAGACGCCAGCCUUGCUAGUGGUCAGAGAAGCCAGGCUGCUAACUGGUGAACAGGAACUGGAGGGUUGGCUUGCUGAAGAAGACACCAAUAGGGGGAUGAAAGAGGGAGGGACAGGAAAAAGGUGGAAAAAUCCAGAGAGAGGGGGGGUGAGCUUAUAGAGGAGGGAGCCGAGUAAGCACGGCGGAAGAAGUUCAGGUAUGGCCAACAUGGAUUUCUUUAUUUUGGUUCUCUUCAUUUUCCUUCUCUAUUAUUGCUGUUUUUUAGUAUAAUUUGUUGUUGAUCUCUUGGUUGCUGGGAUUUUGUUAUCGUUUGUCCUUGUCACAUUUUCUGGAGUUUUGUUUUGGGUAUGAACUGUCUCUGUUGCAGCUUUCCUAAAAUGUCUAAAUCAUGCCCGGGUCACUCACCAACGUUUAGGCACAUUGAUUGUAAUAUGAAACGUGGCUGUCUACUGGUUCAUUUUAUUUCAUUCUUUUGUGCUCUAUUUGUACUCUGUUUUCGAUGUUUUCCUUUGUUUCUGGACUGUUCAAAGUGUUGGAUAUCUCAGCUGGGUUGAUCAUUUUGGUUGGGAUAUUUAUGGGAGAGUCCCAUAAGAAGCUCAAUUCUCAUACAAACGAAAAUUUCUGGAUACCUGUAAGAUGUGUGAACCACAUUCAUUAAAUGUUGAGAGAUGCAGAAGGGAGAGCCCGGAUGAGGAUGGAGGAUGCAGUCGUCAUGUUAUGGGACCCUUACAGCACAACAAAUGCUUUGUAGCAACAGUCACCAAUCGGGACGGUGCACCAGUUACUUAAGGCGAGAAAGCCAGAGAUCCACAACGUUAUUGAUUGCACCGGUAGUGGAGAUUAUUUGAUAUCUCAACUAUGACGAAGGCUGAUUCAGGCGUUUGACCACAUGGAGCACCAUGUCGGCUGUAACAGGUGCGUCAAGGCAGCAACUUGCGAACCUCGGUUUGGCAGUGAUGGCGUGGGUUCAUAGCAAUCGAUCCAUACGUGGAGCAGAUUAUAUAUUAUGAAGAUAAGGCGAGCCAUUUGAAAUGAGGUCCUCGGUAUUUCCACUAGUGUUUUUUGGAUGUCAACUCUUGCAUGGGACUGCCAGACAUGUUAACUAUUUUUGAACCCAAGACCCAGCGUCCCAUGAAUCGCAUCAGGCGGCCAAAGGGCGUCGUAACCGGGUAUUCACAGGGGCAAGGUCCCCAAGCUGCAGUUUCAGUUUAGCGCUGGGUUUUCGGGCACUCCGAAUAAAACAAGACUGCCCAAGAACUUCACUUUAUUGGGUCUGGGGGCAGGCUACAUUUGUAACCAAACAACCAUCGAAGCUCCUUCACUUUCCCUCUCCUCUGAUGGCCGGUGAAAAACUUGCUAACAGGGAUGAGCGUGAUCUAUGCAUGAUUGGAGUUGGAAAUUGCUCCCAGUUGCAGUCUCCCUCUUUGCCAUAUAACCCCUUCUAUUUCACCCUUGUCGUUUCCCAUGAACUGGAAAUCCCGUGUACAGGGCUUUGCAUGGCCACCUCAAGCAUCUUCCAUGUGCUUAAUCCAUCUCCUCAUGCCGUUCACCCUCACCCAUCUUUCAUAACCUCCCAUGCACAUGCUCAUUUUCUGAAAACUCUUUCAAACCUAUCCCUACCACCUUCGCAUGGCCAUGCAUGGCCACUUCUAUUCACUUCUUCAUACCCAUCGUCAUCCCCUACAUCCAUCAAACCAUCCCACUAAGCCCAUCACUUCAGAUGAAUGAGCCUGCUUUGCACCCUCCAUCUGUAUUGCCACCCAUUAAAUCUGCUCCAGCAUCUGAAAUGACCAAACGUCACAUGCCUUUCAAACCCACCAAUCACACCCAUUUUCCAUACCCACUAAGCCCAUUUGCCAUGCAUGGUCACGUGACGCCCGCCACACUCAUUUCUUGCUCAGCAUACCCAUUUUCUCUCUCAAAUUUAUCCACUACAAGCUGCCACACCAUGGACUGUGAGACAUAGUUGAUGAUUUUGUGAAUCAGUUUGAGAGCUUUUGAAAGUAAGGGCCUUUAUUUUGUGCACAUGCAUGCUGGGACCCAUCUUUUUGAAAUCAUCAACCAAGUGGUAGAGGCUGUAGAGAAACGCAUAGAGGAAACAUGUAGGAGUAUUAUGGUGUGCUAUAAGGAUGAUGCCUCUUGAGCGAAAGAUAUUGCCCUGAGGAAGUUCAGGGAUAAAGACCUUUUGGGUGCAAAGAAAUUUGUAUCCUGGGUGUGAGGGUAUUUCUCAAAUGUUAACUAUGUUUGAUGUGUACAUCUCAGCUGAGAAGAAAGUGAGUGAAGGAGUGGAUUGGUAUGGGAUACUUAGCGUAAUCCCCUUGGCCGAUGAGGGAACUGUGAAGAAACAAUGCAGGGAGCUGGCUCUUAUGCUUUAUCCUAAUAAAAACAAGUCCACUGGUGCAGAUGGUACAUUUAAGUUUGUUUCAGAGGCUUGGAGUUUAUUAUCUAACAAGAGCAAGUAUUUGCUGAAUGUUUUCCACUGAUGGCAUUGCUUAAACAAAUUGGUGGAUAAAAGUCAAAGAUAUAGUUUUUUAUAUUAUUUUUUAUUCUUCAUUGGUGGCAUGGUUCCAGCAGGCUUCAAGGUGGCUUAUUAUUAUUUUUUCUCUUUUCUCCCACGUGCCAUCUUCUUAAUUCCACUUUACAUGUUAAGAUUUUCAUUUUUUUUGCAAAUUCAUUCAUUUAUUGAUUUAUUUUAUCUAUUUUAUUCAUUUAUUUUUUAUUUGUCUAUUUAUUUAUUUAUUUAUUAUUUUAUUUAAGAAUAUAUAUAUACACGUAUCAUUUCCAAAAUAAUCUCGUAAAAUGUGAUUUUUAAAUUUAUUUUACGAAACUUCAAAUCUAACAUUCAAUUUUCCAAAACUCCAAUAUUUUAAGUUCUAAAAAAAUUUUCAUUAUUCACGUUCAUUCAUUUAAAUAUUAUUCUCAUUAUUAUUAUUAUUAUUAUUUCGUUCAUUUAUUUUACAAAUUCCAAUAAUUAAAGUUCAAAUUUUUCAAAAUUCCGUUUUCCGAAUUUAAUUUUCAAUCUCAAAAAUUCCACUAUUCACAUUCAGCUGUUUAAUGAUUAUUUUCGUUAUUGUUAUUAUCUCGUUCAUUUAUUUAUUCACUUAUUCAUAUAUUUAAAAAUCUCAUCUCCAAAUAAUUUCUCAAAAUCUCAAUCUCUAAAUUCGAUCUCCCAUCUCUAAAAUUCUAUUUUUCGCAAUUAUUUACCUAAUCUUUAUUAUUUCAUCAUUAUUAUUAUUUCACUCAUUUGUUUAUUCACUUAUUUGUUUAUUAAAAUUCCGUAUUUAAAUAAUUUUUCAAAAUUCCGAUUCCCAAAUUUAGUUCUCUGAAAUCCCAAUUCCUUUCAAAUUUAAUUACUAAAAUUCUCAUUCUUAUAUUUAAUUUCUAAAAAUCUAAUUUUCAAAUAAUCUCUAAAACUCCAAUUUUCAAAUAAAUUUCAAAAAUCCAGUUUUCCCUUAAACAAUUUUAAUUUCUAUUUGGUGAUGCAUGCGGUAUGUUUUGUGUUCUUUAUUAUACACUGACCCUAUUUUUAUGAUAGUGCAUGGUGGUUCGUUGCCCAGGUAUGUACCCAUUUCCCCUCUAAUCGUUGUCUAUGCAUGUCUCGAUUCUCACAUGUGCGUGAUUUAUCCUGAGUGUUCAUUGAUUUACUCAUUCAUUGCCAUGAUUGCUUCAAUUUUAUUAGUAGAGACCCGACUUAGGGACUUAGAGGGGUGCUAUGGUCUUUACCGUACCUUCCUGAUAAGUAACCUGACCCCCGAACCCGAUUCGGUUUUUCACAGACCACCUUUUCCAAAACAAGGAGUCACAUUUAGGGUUUUUCUUUCUUAUUUUGUUUACCCUUUAGAAAUAAAACAAAAAUAAGUGGCGACUCCAAGUCAAUUUUUCUUAAUCAAUAAAGAUCAAUUUUUCAAAUUAAAAUCGAGCUCGCCAUCGAGUGGGAAAUGCAUGAGCCGAAAUGCGGGGUCCACACCUAUAUCCUUGUAAUCAAUAAUGGAUAUUUGAAGGACCUUUUGCCCAAGGUGUUGUAAAUUGUAAUGCAAUAUUCUCCCAAAAAUCAGACCGAUAAAUUUUGAGUUGAAAACUGGGACGAAAGAAGUGAAACUUUACAAUCACGUGUAUGUACAAAAAGUUGUAAUGUCAUUUUCAAACUAUCUUGAUCCCGCCCAUUGACAGCCUAUCACCCGCCUACUUUCCUUUUUCUAUUUUUUUAUUUUGGCUUUGGUAAGGACAAGGAAUCUUUACUGUUUCCAGCCCGGUUGUAUACUUGCUCGCAGCUUUAUGUCUGGCUCUGGAAGGACGAUUCAGUAAAAGAAAAAAAAUUGUUUUCUUGUUUGCUUUUUGUAACUUGUAAGUGAAGUUUCUUAGAUAAAUUAAGCUAAGACGUAAUUAUAUACUUUAUUUUGUUUUGAAAAAUUAUUAUCAUAUGAUAAAUGUUUGUUGUACUUUUUGUAAGUCAUUUUCAAAAUUUUCUUAUAGUAAUCAAAAUUAUUAUUUUUUAUUUUUCUAAUAAUACAAAUAUUCAUAUAUCAUUUUACCAUAAAUGUCUAUGUAUUUUUUUUUCAAAAAAAUAUUGAUUUAUUAUCAUUUUUCCCUUUUAUAAUGAAUUUUUAUGUUUUUGUAAUUUAUUAAAAUUAAAAGCGUUUUUAUGUUAUGUGAUUAUACUAUCAAAAUCACUUUCACUAUUUUCAUAAAAGUUUUACGUAUAAAAACAUUAUAGAUUAAAAGUCCUAUCAAACAUAUGAUUUAAUGCGAUGGAUAGUAAUUUUUUAAAAGUACUAUCAAACAUAUGAUUUAAUGUGAUGGAUAGUAGUUUUAGAAAGUGUUAUUUUUAAAAAAAGUGUUAUUUUUCUUUUGUUUAUUAAAAAAGUUAAAAAUAUUUGUCAAAUUAUUAUCAAACACACCGUUAAUUUAUAAUAUUUUAAAAAACAUGUCAAAUAUAGGAUUUAUUUUAUAAUUGUUUACAAGAACAACUUUUUAUUAUUCAAAAUAAAAAAAUAUCUUUGAUAGCUAAAAACUAUUUUUUGUUUUCUCUUCUUAAGAAUAAAAAAUAAGAUGUUUUCAAAUAACAUCUCUUAAUUGUUUUCAUUUAUUUUUUUACAGUUGUUUUAAAAAAUAAUUAUACAAGUAUAUAAAAUAAUUAAAAAUAAAGCUCUAUUUUAAAAAUAUAUUCAAAAAUAUUAAAAACAAGAUAAAAACAUUUAUAGUUUCAAACAAACUUUUAUUCUACAAGUCAUUAGAAAAUAGUUUUUAAAAAUUAUUUUUUAAAACUAUUUUUAAAAAACAGUUAUCAAACAUGACUAUAAUUUUUAAGAAUGAUUUUUAGAAAUAGUUCUAAAUUAUUUUCAAAAAUAAAAUCAUAUUUCAAAACUCAAAUAUGAAAAAUGAAAAUUUUCCCAUCUUGUUUAUGAAGGUACUAUGUAGUAACGUAUAAUACAAAGGUUUUCAAAAAUAUUUUUAAUAUUAUGAAUUGUUGCCAUGAGCAUUCUACAAAACAAUUAAAAAUAUCUAAAUUCUAUUCUAAAAAACAACUUAUUUUUAAAGAAAUUUUCAAAAAAUUAUUUUUUAUCAAAAGUUUAUCAAAUAUGUGUUUUUGAAUUAAAAAAUUGUUUUCAGGAAUAGUUUUCAAACAACACCUUAAUAUUUAAAUAUAAAUAAAAAAAAAUGUUAUGAUAAUAUUUUUUUAUCAUGUAUUAUAAAAUAAAAUAAAAAAUGAUUUUUGAAAGAAUUAUCACUUAAAUGAUUGUUCAAAAUUAUUUUUAAGUGAUUCUUUAGAUUUUAAAGCAAUGUUUAAUAAUUUAUCAAAUAUGUACUUUUUUUACAGGAAUGUGCUUUCAAGCAUUAAAGCCGCUUUUAAUAUCAGUCCGAAGCGAUAAAAUAAUUUUGGGCCCCCCGAAUUUAAAUUUGAAUUAUUGGUAGAUCUUUCAUGUGGGUGGUAACAAAAAUGAAGUGAAUGGUUGGGCGGUGAAUAUUUAGAAGCAAAAAUAAACUAAACCAGGUGUGUGUUUCAAGUAGAACGGGUGUCCUCAUACAUGUGGCUGACCUUACAACGAAAAUAUGGGGUUGAUGCGAUUAAUAUCUAUUAAUUAAUUAGAUUUAAUAAAAUAUUUAGAUAAGUCUUAUCAAUUGCUUAAUGCGAAGUAAUCAAAUUAUUAUUAUGUUAAAAUUAAAAAAGAAUAAAAGUGAAAAAUUAGUAUUUGUUUGCAUCCAUUUUUUAAAGAUUUAUAUUGAAAAUGUAAUGAUUUUUUAAAUUUGAUUAAAUUUUUUUUAAUUGUUUUAAAGAAUAAAAUUCUAUUUAUGACCAAAAAUAGUUUUUUUUAACUUACUUUUAAAAAACGCCAUCUCCCCUUUUUUCUUUGUUCACUUCAAGUGGGUUUUUAUCGUGCUCAGACAUUAUCUCACAAUAUAAUAAUUGAUGUUGGAAUGAGUGUUUGAUAAAUUAGUGUAGACCCCCCCUGAGGCUGCGAAGCAGGGAGGAGUUUCUUUGCUUUUUUCUUUUUUUUUUCUCAGGCGGCUGAUGGGAAGUUGGCUCGGGCAGAGAAGUGCGGCUGAUGGGAGAGGCAGCAGAGAGGCUUGCGGGGGAAGCCAAAGAAAAAGAAGAGGAGAAAAGGAAGAGGGAAAAGAGGAUCAAGAAAGAAAAGGAAGCAGAGGACAUCACUUUCAGUUGGAGGGCUCAGGUAUGGCCAUCUCCUCAAUUUUGGGUCUUUCUUUUUUGCUAUUUUUACUCAGUUCAUGUUGUGAAUCUAUUCUUCUCUGUCAUUGGGCUUGUUGAUUAUUGCUUUGGCACCUUUCUCUCCGAACCUCAUGCUCGUCCCUGCCUCACCCACGUCCCAUGCAUGGCCGUCACCCUCACCUAUCUUCCUCAUCACCUCUUUCUCCCUCUAAUCGUCGUACCCGACUCCACAAGGACACCCAAAGUCGCUCUUCUGCACACAUGGAGUCCAAGCAAGCCUGCUGCCCCUCCCCGCAUCUCUUUGUUGUGCGCACCGCGCCGGCGAGGCGCUUGCUCGUCUCACCAGCCGCUUGCUCGCCGCUAGCCGCCAUCACCCGCUCCGGUUACGCGCACAUCUGCUCUUGCUCCGGGACCACGCCGCCGCUGCCAUCGCUCCGGGACUACGCCGCCGCUGCCAUUGCCCGCGACAGCGCCGCCACUGCCAUUGCCCGCGGCAGCGCCACCGCUGCCAUAGCCCGCGGCAGCGCCGCCGUCUUCGCCUGGAAGGGCGAGAUCCUCCCGAGGCCCAGGAGCUGUCCACCAAGCCUGGAGAAUCCGUGGCCCCGAGCACCGUCGCCGCUGCCGCCGCGGGGAGGUGACGAAGGUGCAGCAGCCAGACGCCAGGGGGGGGGGGGGAGGGAAGCUAGGAAGAAGGUGAAGUCUUGGUUUUUGGGCUUGGGCUAAGGCUAGGCCCAGUUUUGUGUUUGGUUUUGGCUUUGGGGCUCAGGCUUGAGUUGGAGGCACUAGGCCCAGAUUUGUGAUGGGUGUUUGCAUUGGGUUUGCUUAUGAAGGCUUUGGGCUUGGGUUUGAAUUUGGAGCCCAGGCCCAAGCCUAUGCUGAAGAUGGGGCCUUUGUCUUGAGCCCAUUUCUAUUAUUAUUAUUAUUAAUUAUUAUUAUCAUUGCUAUUAUUAUUAUUAUUAUUAUUGUUAUUAUUAUUGUUACUAUUAUUAUUAAUUAUUAUUAUCAUUAUAUUUAUCAUCAUUGUUAUUAUUAUUAUUAUUAUUAUUAAUUAUUAUUAUCAUUGUUAUUAUCAUUAUUAUCAAUUUAUAUUUAUCAUCAUUGUUAUUGUUAUUAUUAUUAUUAUUAUUAAUUAUUAUUAUCAUUGUUAUUAUCAUUAUUAUCAAUUUUUAUUAUCAUUGUUAUUAUUGUUAUUAUUAUUGUUAUCAUUGUUGCUAGUAUUACUAUUGUUAUUAUCAUUAUUCUUGUCAUUAUUAUUAUUAUUAUCAUUAUUAUCAAUUCACACUUUCAACAUCUAUUUAUUAUUAUUAUUAUCACCAUUAAUCCAAACUUUCAAAAAUCUCAUCAUUAUUAUUACCAUUAAUUCAACUUUCAAAAUCUAUUUAUUAUUGUUUAUUAUUAUCAUUAAUCCAAACCUCCAAAAUCUCAUCAUUAUCAUUAUUAUUAAUUCACACUAUCAACAUCUAUUUAUUACUAUUAUUAUUAUCAUCAUUAAUCCAAACUUUCAAAAACCUUAUUAUUAUCAUUGUUAUUAAUUCACACUUUCAUCACCUAUUUACUAUUAUUCUUAUCAUCAUCAAUCCAAACUUUUCAAAAAUCUCAUUAUUAUUAUUAUUAUUAACUCAACUUUCAAAUUUAUUAUUAUCAUUAAUCCAAACUUUUCAAAAAUCUCAUUAUUAUUAUUAUUAUUAACUCAACUUUCAAAACCCAUUUAUUAUUAUCAUUAAUCCAAACUUCCAUAAUCUUAUUAUUAUUAUUAUUAUUAACUCAACUUUCAUCACUCAUCUAUCAUUAAUCCAAACUUUCAAAAACCUUAUUAUUAUCAUUGUUAUUAAUUCACACUUUCAUCACUUAUUUACUAUUAUUCUUAUCAUCAUCAAUCCAAACUUUUCAAAAUUCUCAUUAUUAUUAUUAUUAUUAAUUCAACUUUCAAAACCUUAUUAUUAUUAUUAUUAUUAUUAUUCAAAAAUCUUAUUAUUAUUAUUAUUAUUAUUGUUGUUGUUAUUAUUAUUAUUAAUUCAACUUUCAAAAUCUUGUUAUCAUUAUUAUUAUUAUUAUUAUUUCGAAACCUCCUUGUUAUUAUUUUCAUUAUUAUUAUUAUUAUUAUUAUUAAAAAUCUAUAUCCUUGUAAUUUAAUUUCCUAAAGUUCGUUUCUUAUUAUUAUUAUCAUUAUUAAAAAUCUAUACUCUAGCCGUUCAAUUUCCUGAAGUUCAUUUCUUAUUACUAUUAUUCAAAAAUCUUAUUAUUAUUAUUAUCAAAAAUCUAUAUUCUAGCAGUUCAAUUUCCUAAAGUUCGUUUCUCAUUUUCUUUAACAAAUUUCGAUUUAAUCACCGGAGCUCUAAUCUUCAAAAUUUAAUUCCAAAUACUCCAAUUUUCAAAUAAGCUCCAAUAAUCCAGUUUUCACUCGAAUAGUUUUUAAUCACAUUUCAGUUCCUAAAUAAUCUUCUGAUCUUCUUGACUUUACAUAAGCAAUAGUGAUUCCUUCAUAAUUCCAAAACACGGGAUUUGUGGGAUUAGCUCAUGAACAAUAAAUCGAGCUUUGUUGGGGGCCCUAUGUUUGACCCCUUUUGACUGUCAAUUAUCGUGCUUACUGUAUUUUGCUUGAGCUUCGCUUUGCACUCCGAUAUGUAUGAGCUAUGUUUUGUAUUCAUUAAUUGUGCACUAAUCCCGUUUCUUGAUAGCGCGUUGUUGUUUGCUGCCCAGGUACGCAUUCACUCAUUCUGAUCAUUCACUAUACAUGUUCUGAUUCUCAUAUAUGCAUGAUUGAUGUGAGUAUCCAUUGACUUUCUUAUUCGAUUGCCACGUCAGUUUCACUUUAUUAGUAGAGACCCGACUUUAGGGACUUAGAGGGGUGCUACAGUCUCUACCGUACCUUCCCAAUAAGUAACCUGACCCCCGAACCUGAUCCGGUUUUUUCACAAACCACAUUUUCCAAAACAAGGAGUCACACUUAGGGUUUUUCUUUCUUAUUUUGUUUACCCUUUAAAAAUAAAAAUAAAACAAAAAUAAGUGGCGACUCCAAGUCAAUUUUUCUUAAUCAAUAAAGAUCAAUUUGAAUUUCAAAUUAAAAUCGAGCUUGCCAUCGAGUGGGAAACGCAUUGAGCCGAAAUGCGGGGUCCACAAUUAGUUUAAUGACUUAUUUAAUAAUUUAAUUUAAAUUAUUAAGUAAAUUAAGCAUAUUUAAUAAAUUAAUUUAAUAAUAUAACUUAAAAUAAAAAAAUAAAUUUAAAUAAUAAAUAAAAAUGAUUAAUUUAUUUUUAAGUCUAUAUCUUUAUUUUAUUUUUAAAAUUUUAUUUAUUAUAGUUAUCAUCACGAUCAAUUCUAAUAUUUUAUGACCUUUAUUGUUAUUUGACUUUUUUUAUUAUAAUUAUAAUUUAUGAAGAUAAAAAUAUUAAUUUGAAAAUUUAAGAUAAAUUUUAAGUUAAUUUUAUAAAAAAAAACUUUAAUACUUUAAAGUAAAAAUUAAGAAAAAAAAAAAGUUUUAAGUUAAUAUUUUAAAUAUAGAUUAAUUUAAAAUUAGGUUAAGUGAUUAAAUAAUAAAUAUUAAGUUUUUAGGAAAUAGCCUGGAAUUGUAGUGGUCCCUCGUGGAUAAAGAAAUAGGCCAAGUUGAAAUAUGGGACAAAGACUUAUGAGGUCUAAGUGGGAAUAUUCGUGGGGAGAUUCCAAUCAUUCCAUUGGGUGGAUGAGAAAAGGAGACAACCUCACAUUGGAUUUUGUCGUUUUGAAACUAUUCAAGCUCACGCUACUCCCAUCAACCAUGUGGCCUGAGUAAGGGUCUCCAACGGCCGGGCCGGGCCGGGCCGAGCUAAAAUGCUAGGCCCGCGGCCCGGCCUAUGAGCCCGCGGGCUAGCGGGCUGGCGGGCUGGGCGGGCCGGGCCGACGGGCCGGGCCGCGGGCUUUUUUAAAUAAGCCAAAAUGGCUUUUAAAUAAAGGAAGGAAGAGGGGGGGAUUCGAACCCCUCCCCUCAAGCUUAAAUUUCAAGGCUCUAACCAACUGAGCUACAUUUCUUUUGUGCUUAUUAAAUGAGUUAAUUAUAUAUAUAUAAAAAUAUAGUAUAUUAUUUUUUUUAAAAAAAUUAAAGGCGGGCCUAAGGGCGGGCCUACGGGCCAAGGCUACGGGCCGGGCCUAAAUUUAGGCCCGCGGCCCGGCCCGCCCAUAAACGGGCUCGGGCCGGGCUUGGGCCCAGCGGGCUUAGGCCGGGCUUUAGCCCGUCGGGCCGGGCCGGGCCUAAAGCGGACCGCGGGCUUUUUGGAGACCCCUAGGCCUGAGCAUGGUGUUUCCUAUAAUUGAGGUGACUCAAUAAUUAUUUCACCAAAUUCUGAUGGUGGCUGCCAGCUCUAAAAGCCAAGUCACCCACAAUUAAUUAUAAAAUUAAAGAGAUGGAAAUUCAUUCUCAUAAAGCAAUCCACGUGUCAACUCUGAUCUUUCUCCGACCGGCUUCCUACUUCUCUCUCAUUCUCUCUCUUCAUUCACCUUACCUGUCUCCCAUGGUGGGACCAUGUAAAUUAUUUCCUAACCACAAACGUGCUAAUAUUUCCACUAAUUAUUUUUCUCCCAAAAACCACACCUAGUAAAUUAAAUAUUGAAAAUCAAUAAUUAAAAAUUAUUAUUAUUAUAUUUUUUAAUAAAUAUUUUUUAAAUACCUCAUAAUUUUUUUUUCAAACUUACAAAAUAUAUAAUAAAUAUUUUUUAAACACCUUAAAAAAUGUUAUUAUUCUUUUUUUAUCUAAUAUAUAUACAUAUAUACACACACGUAAAAGCUAAUUUUUAUAUAAAUAUAUUUCAGGUUAUGGAUAAUUAUUUGAAUAUUUUCUCUAUUUUAUGAAUAAUACAGAGAUUGUCUUAAUAUAUUAUUUUGUAGCAUGAUCAUCUGGUGAUAAUUUUAAAUUUUAAAUGUAUUAUAAUUUAAUAAUUUGAAAAAUAUUAUAAUACUCUUUUAAAUCUAAAAUAAAUGUGAACUUGGCAUUGUUUAAAUUAUUAAAAUACAAUGUCAUCAAGUCAAACAAAUGUAUCAUAUUAAAAUAUGUGCAUGUAAUUAUAUCAUAAAUUUCUCUUAUUUUUUUCCUCAUACAUGAUAUCUUUUGUAUAAAGUUUUAUAAAUGAAAAAUGACAAAAUCUUUUGUUACAUAAAGAGGUUUAGAAACACAUUAAAAUAAAAAAGAGAAUAUAAUGGAGUACAAAUUAGAUGAAAAUCACCUUAAAUAGGGAUAUAAUAUAAAACAUGAAAAUAUAAGAAAAAAACAAGUUGAGAUGAAAUUUAAGAUAAAGAAUCAAAGAAAAUAAAUUAUAAAUAAUCUAUUUAUAAAUAUGAAAAUAUUUUAGUUGGAUAUUUAAAAUUAAAACUCACCAUCCAUCCUCUUUCUCUCUUUUUCUUUUUCUUAUUUUAAUAAAUUUUCAAUUAAUUCAAAUCGCUAAAAAAAUUCAUUAAUAAACAAAUUUACAACAUUUCAUAUAGCUUAUUACCAAAAGUCUAUAUUUUAAAAAUUAUUAAAAUAAGAAAGGAAGAAGAUUAAAAAUAAAAUAAACUUUUUAUUCUAUAAUAGUAAAAAUAAAUAAAUUUUAAAAUAUUUUUUAGUAUAAAAGAAAAAAAAGUAGUAAAUAUAUUUAUUUUAAAUAGUAUUUUAAUCAUUAAAUUAUUUACUUAUAAAAUUUAAAAGAUAAUUUUUAUUCAUUUAAAUUAAUAUUUUUUUCAAAAGUAUUUUUUAAAAUAGUUUUUGAAUUAUUAAUAUAAUUUUUGUUUAUUUAUAAUUUAAAAAUAGAAAAUAAUGUCGAUUUUUUAAUUAUUUUAAAAAGAGUUUAAAAAAAUAUUGAAAAAUAAAAAAAAAUUAAAUAAAAGAGAAUUUUAUAAAAGUGGGUGUGAAGAAUGAUGGUAUAAAAAUAAUGGGUUUAAGUCAGGGAUAUUUUUGUCCAUUCCUACCUCAAAUCCUUUUUAUUUGGAGUACUUUUUAUCAAUUAUCAAGUGCGAUAUAAUGCACAAUUCUCCAAAAAAAAAUCAGACCCAUUGACAGCCUGUCGCCUCCUAUUUUGAAUUGUUUUCCGUCUACUUCAAUUUUGAGUUGAAAACUAGGAAGAAAGAGGUGAAACUUUACAAUCACAUGUCAUGUCAUUUUCAAACUAUCUUGAUCCCACCACCUAUUGACAGCCUGUUGCCUCCCAUUUUGAAUGGUUGUUCGUCUUACUUCCUUUUUCUAUUUUAUUUUUUUUAUUCAGGUCAAGGACAAGGAAUCUUUACUGUUUCGAGCCUAGUUGUAUACUUGCUGAGAGCUUUAUGUCGAGCCGGUUCUAUUUUUUUUUAUAUAUACUUUUUUUGCUUUGAAUAAUUAUUAUCUUAUAAUAAAUGUUUUUUGUACUUUUUGUAAGUAAUUUUCAAAAUUUUCUUGUAGUAAUCAAAAUUAUUAUAUUUUUAUUUUUCUAAUCAUAUAAAUAUUUAUAUAUCAUUUUAUCAUAAAUGUCUAUCUAUUUUUUUUUUGGAAAAAGUAUCGGUUUAUCAUAAUUUAUCCCUUUUACAAUGAAUUUUUAUGUUUUUCUUAAUAAUUUAUUAAUAUUAAAAACGUUUUUAUGUUAUAUGAUGUAUUAUAAAAAAUACUAUCAAAAUCACUUUCACUAAUCUUGUAAAAGUGUUACCGAUAAAAACACUAUAAAUUAAAAGUACUUUUAUGAUAAUCACUAUUAAAUAUAUGAUUUGAAUAUGGUAGUAAUUUUAGAAAGUGUUUAUAAUAUUUUUAGUAUUUGAAUAAUUUCAUUUUUCUAACAUGAAAAAAUUAGAAAUACUUUCUUAAAUCAAUCUCAAAUACAUUGUUAUUUUGACAAUAUUUUCAAAAACAAAUGUUAAAUAUAACAUUUAUUUGAUAAUUGUUUUCAAAAACAAUUUUCUAUUAUAAAAAAAAAAACAACAAAAAAAUACAUUUGAUAAUUAAAAAUUAUUUUCUAUUUUACCUUCUUAAGAAUAAAAAAUAAAAUAUUUUUGGAUAACAUCUUGUAAUUGUUUUCUAUUGUUUUCAUUUAUUUUUGGACAAUUGUUUAAAAAAAUAAUCAUACAAGCAUAUAAAAUGACUAAAAAUAAAGUUCUAUUUUAAAAAUAUAUUAAAAACAAGUAAAAAAUAAUAAAAGUGAAAAAUUAGUAUUUGUUUGCAUCCAUUUUGUAAAGAUUUAUAUUGAAAAUGUAAUGAUUUUUAAAAUAUGAUUAAAAAAAUUAAGAAAUAAUUUUUUAUUAUUUCAAAUUUUAAAAUUUCAAAGUGAUUUUUAAGAAUAUAAGAUAAAUCUAGUUUUCUUUCUUUCUUUUUAUUUUUAUUUUUUUUAUAAGAAACUUUAUUUUUAAUAUGGAAGUUUCUAUUCUUAAAAAUAAAGAAGACGUGUAAUGUACCAAGCAGGCCAUGGGAGACUUUCUUUCAUAUUUUGAUGGUUAUGCUAAUAAUUGUCAAUCCCUGGACUUCAAGAUGAAAGAUUAGUACUCUUUGAUAAUGUUUUUAAAAUUUUAAUUGUUUUAAAGAAUAAAAUUCUGUUUAUGACCUUAAUUAUAAAAAAAAUGGUUUUUUAACUUAAUUUUUUAAUAAAAAUAUUGUAUAUUUAUAUAUAUUUUAAAAGUUGUCAUUUUAUUUAUUAUAUUUUUAAUUGGAAAUAAGUUUGGGUAUUCAAGUAGGUUGACCAGACCUAAUCCAAUUAAAAAAUAAUAAUAACGAAAAGAACCGUUUCUGAAAAUAUUUUAUGCCUUUAAAAAAAUAUAAUUUUUGAAAUGUCAUCUCUUUUUUUUCUUUGUCCACUUCAAGUGGGCUUUUAUAGUGCAGAUAUUAAGUAUAGGUUAUAAUUUAUUUUGAUUAUAAUUUAUGAAAAUAAAAAUAUUAAUUUAAUGAUUUAAAAUAAAUUUUAAAUUAAUUUUAUAAAAAAAUUUUAAUACUUAAAAGUAAAAAUUAAGAAAAAAAAAAUUUAAACCAAUAUUUUAAGUAUAGAUUAAUUUAAAGUUAGGUAAAGUGAUUAAAUAAUAAAUAUUAAGUUUUUAGGAAAUAGCCUGGAAUUAUAGUGGUCCCUCGUGGAUAAAGAAAUAGGAGGCCAAGUUGAAAUAUGGGACAAAGAUUUAUGAGGUCUAAGUGGGAAUAUUCGUGUGGAGAUUCCAAUCAUUCCAUUGGGUGGAUGAGAAAAGGAGACAUCCUCACAUUGGAUUUUGUCGUAUUGAAACUAUUCACACUCACGCUACUCCCAUCAACCAUGUGACCUGAGCUUGGUGUUUCCUAUAAUUGAGGUCUCAUUUCCUUAAUAAUUACUUCACCAAAUUCUGAUGGUGGUUGGCAGCUCUAUCCGCCAAGUCACCCACAAUUAAUUAUAAAAUUAAAGAAAUGGAAAUCCACUCUCAUAAACGAUCCACGUGUCAACUCUCCUUUUGUGUCGACCGCCUGAUGAAUUUCCAGACCCUCAAAACACACGUGGAAGUUUUCGAGUUUGAAUAGUUUCAAUACGACAAAAUCCAAUGUGAGGCUGUCUCCUUUUCUCAUCCACCCAAUGGAAUGAUUGGAAUCUCCACAUGAAUAUUCCCACGAGAAAGAGUCCUAGGAAUAGACCCUUAUGCCAAUCAUGGGCUAAACCCGAAACUUAGACAAUCAGUUAUAUACGAUUCAACGGAAAUUCAACAAGAUAACCCCGAAACGAGGCAACCCCUCCAUGGUGAAAACUCUGACCCCAGCAUCCGACAUUAAGGUACAGUGAGGAUGAGAGAAUAAAUCAGUUUUUUUCAAUCAAACCAAACAGUUAUCCAUUUAAUUUAUAUAUUAUUAAAGCUAAAAAUAAUUAUAGGAAGCUAAAAUUUAUAUAAUAUAUAAACAAAUUUAAAUUAAUAAAUUUAUUUUUAUAUUAUUAAAUUAAAUCACACAUAAUUAUAAAUAUAUUAAUAUUUAUAAUUUAUUAAAUAAAAUUUAUAUAAUAUGUAAAUGUGAAAAUAAAAAAUUAUUAUUUAAUUUUGACUAUGUAUUAGAGGUUGUAUAUCCUAAUUCUAUAAUUUAAAAAAAUUACAUUAUUUUAUUCAUAUUAUUUACAUAUUUAUUAUUAUAAAAUUUUAAGAGAAUCAUUUUUCUAGUUUUUGUUUGUGACAUGUAAUCACUUAGGGGAAUGGUUCCCAUCCAAUGUCUUGAAUUACCAGGUUCAACUCUACUUUGUUUUAUCACUUAAGGACAAACUAAUGUCAUUAAUUUAAAUUAAAAUUUAAACGUAAUAUCAUCUAUCCCUGCGUAGGAAUAAGCUAAGAUAUAAUUAAAAUUAAAACGUAAUAUCAUAUAAUUAAAAUUAAAAUUUAAUUAUAUAAUUAAGCUAAGAUAUAAUUAUAUACUUUAUUUUACUCUGAAAAAUGAUUAUCUUAUCGUAAACAUCAUAAAUGUUUGUUGUACUUUUGUAAGUAAUUUUCAUAUUAAAUAAAUAAACUACUAAAUAGAUAAGUUAACAAAUUUUUUAGAAAUCCUUAAGUGACACAAUCUAUAGAAAAUUAUGAGGACACCAUUUUAUACUUGUUACGUUUUAUUAAAUUUUUUAAAGUUUAUUAAUUUUUAGGUUUUUUCUAUUCGUGAAAAUUUUAAAGGAAAGAAAUAAAGAGUAAAAAUAGGAAUAAAUAAAAAAUAAUAAUUAUUUUUAUAUAUUAUUUCACACAUGUGUAAUUGAAUUUUAACUUUUUAUAUAACAAUUAAAUAAUUCUAAAAUAUAUUAGUUUUUAAUAAAUUUUAAUUGUAUUUAUUUUUCUAUUACAUUUUUUUAUGUUAAAAUCAAAUAUUAAAAAUAUUUUUUAUUGGUUUUCCAAAAGUGUAUUAGAGUGUGUUUGAUAAUAUUUUAAUUUGAAAUGUUUUUAUAGAAGUGUUUUUACAAGAAUAACUUAUUAAAUAUUUCUUUAAAAAAUAUUAUAAGUGAUUUUUUUUAAUAUUAUAAAUGAUUUUUUUAAUUUUUUAAAAGUGUUUCCAAAAUUUUGAAAAAUAUUUAUUUAUUUAUUUAUUUCAAAAACACUUUUUAUGCUAGAAACAUUUUUAUGCUAAAAUAUAAAAUAUAAUUUUUAUUCAUUUAAAUUAAUAUAUUUUUUUCAAAAGUAUUUUUUAAACUAGUUUUUAAAUCAUUAAUAUAAUUUUUGUUUAUUUAUAAUUUAAAAAUAAAAAAUAAUGCCAAAUUUUCAAUUAUUUUUCAAAGAGUUUAAAAAAUAAUAAAAAAUAAUUAAAUAAGGGAGAAUUUUAUAAAAGUGGCAUAAAAAAGAGGGGUAUAAAAACAAAAAUAAUGGGUAGAAGUUAAAGGGGUGUUUUUGUCUAUUCCACACAUAUCCUAUAUCUUGUAAUCAAUAAUGGAUAUUUGAAGGACCUUUUGCCCAAGGUGAUGUAAUGCAAUAUUCUCCCAAAAAUCAGACCAAUAAAUUUUGAGUUGAAAACUGUGAUGAAAGAGGUGAAACUUUACAAUCACAUGUCAUGUCAUUUUCAAACUAUCUUGAUCCCACCCAUUGACAGCCUGUCACCCGCCUACUUAAGAAUAAAAAAUAAAUAAGAUGUAUUAGUUGUUUUCAUUUAUUUUUUGACAGUUAUUUUAAAAAAUAAUUAUAUAAAUAUAUAAAAUAAUUAAAAAUAGAGCUCUAUUUUAAAAAUAUAUUCAAAAAUAUUAAAAAUAAGUUAAAAACAUUUAUAGUUCCAAACAAACUUUUAUUCUACAAAUCAUUAAAAAAUGGUUUUCAAAAAUCAUUUUUUAAAACUAUUUAAAAAAAAACAGUUAUCAAACAUUACUAUAAUUUUUAAGAAUGAUUUUUAGAAAUAGUUCUAAAUUUUUUUCAAAAAUAAAAUUAUAUUUCGAAACUCAAAUAUGAAAAAUGAAAUUUUCCCAUCUUGUUUAUGUAUAAUACAAAUAUUUUCAAAAAUAUUUUUAAUAUUAUGAAUUAUUGCCACGAGCAUUCUACAAAGCAAUUAAAAAUAUCUAAAAUCUAUUCUAAAAAACAACUUAUUUUUAAAGAAAUUCUCAAAAAAUUAUUUUUUAUCAAAAGUUUAUCAAAUAUGUGUUUUUGAAUUAAAAAAUUGUUUUCAGGAAUAGUUUUCAAACUACACCUUAAUAUUUAAAUAUAAAUAAAAAAUUGUUAUGAUAAUAUUUUUUAUCGUGUAUUAUAAAAUAAAAUAAAUGAUUUUUGAAAGAAUUAUCACUUAAAUAAUUGUUCAAAAUUAUUUUUAAGUGAUUCUUUAGAUUUUAAAGAAAUGUUUAAUAAUUUAUCAAAUAUGUACUUUUUUGGCAGGAAUGUGCUUUCAAGCAUUAAAGUCGCUUUUAAUUGAUUUCAAUAUCAGUCCUAAGCGAUAAAAUAAUUUUGGGCCCCCCGAAUUUAAGUUUGAAUUAUUGGUGGAUCUUUCAUGUUGGCGGUAACAAAAAUGAAGUGUAUGGUUGGGCGGUGAAUAUUUAGAAGCAAAAAUAAACUAAACCAAGCGUGUGUUCUGACUCCUGAGUAGAGCGGGUGUCCUCAUACAUGUGGUCGACCUUACAACGAAAAUGUGGGGUUGAUGUGAUUAAUAUCUAUUAAUUAAUUAUAUUUAAUAAAAUAUUUAGAUAAGUCUUAUCAAUUGCUUAAUACCACGUAAUCCAAUUAUUAUUAUGUUAAAAUUAAAAAAGAAUAAAAGUGAUAAAUUAGUAUCCGUUUGCAUCCAUUUUUUAAAGAUUUAUAUUGAAAAUGUAAUGAUUUUUAAAAUUUGAUUAAAAAAUUAAGAAAUAAAUUUUUUUUAUUAUUUCAAAAUUUAAAAUUUGAAAGUGAUUUUCAAGAAUAUAAGAUAAAUCUAUUUUUUUUUAAAAAAAAAUUGAUUUUUAAUAUGGAAGUAUCUAUUUUUAAAAAUAAAGAUGCAUCUAAAAAUGAAAUAAAAUAAUUUAUAUGUACCUAGUCGUAAUGAGUUCCUAUGUACCUUGUUCUAUAGAUAAGUCUAGCCUCUCAGUGCUAUGGAUCACUCAUUCAUUCUAUGGACUGCAUUUAUGUGCACCUUGAUGUAUAUAGAUAAGUCAAGUCUCUGGGUGUUAUGGAUGGCUCAUUCUAUAGAUAAGUCUAGCCUCUAGGUGCUAUGGAUCACUCAUUCUAUGGAUUGCAUUUAUGUGCACCUCGUUGUAUCUAGAUAAGUCUAGUCUCUGGGUGUUAUGGAUGGCUCAUUCUAUAGAUAAGUCUAGCCUUUAAUGGUUAUGGACCACUCAUUAUGCAUGCAUGUAUGGAUCACUAGUUUUACCUACAUGCAUGCAUUUGUUUGGUCGGAACUAAAACCAAUCAAUCAAUUUCCUCUUUUAAGUUUAACUAAAGUGGCUGUAUUGCUUUGGUUUAUAAAAUAGUCGGAAUUGGAUCAAUCAAACAAUGGGCAUCCCUGGGAAACAUUAUGUUUAUAAACAUGUAAAAUUUUGUUUGAUUACGGUUCUAUCUCUAUAUUUGUAGAUACUUUUAUUAAAAUUUUAGUAUACAUUCUAAAUAAUAUAUAAAUAUAAAAAUUAUUGGUUGAUGUUAAAGGUAGGGGAUACUAAUCCUUUUUACUUGUAUGGUGGACAAAAAUUUGAGUGUCGUUUCAUAUCUUUUAAGUCUAUAUAUAUUUGCCUUUGUUUUAGUUGUGAAGUGUUCAUAUGGAUCUUUUCACACUAAGGCCUGCAAUUAAGAGUAUAAUUAUAUAUUUGACAUGGUUGCAUCUUCCCCAUAGAGGGUGCCAAAGUCAUGUGUCUUUUCUUUUUCUUUUCUCUUCUACAUAUGGUCAUGUCUUUAAUGCCAAGCAAUAGUCUCAAUGUAGUAGCUAGAUCAAAUCUAUGUUUCUCUAUGUUCACGUUCCACCCUUGUUUGCUGCCUAGUAGUUUAUUGAACCGACAAAUUUUGGUUGGAGACUUUAUAGUUGGAGUCAAGAUACCAUAAGGUAUAGCACAAUAACAAUUUAGAAAAAAACUUGUAAAUUUGAGGGGAGUGUUAAAUUGUUUUUUUCAUACAAACAUCUUCAAUUCAAAAUAUCAUUUGUUAACCAUGUAAAAUUAUUUUAUAAUUUAUCCUCUAAUGUAUCAAAUAAUUUUUGAAUUAUUUUACAAUUUACAGUCUCAUAUAUGAAUAGAAUUCAAUUCUUCCUGACAUAUAGUUUUCAUUUGACAAGCUCUAUUUGCAAAUUAUUACUAUUCCAUUAAUAUCAUCAAAUAUACAUACUAUUAUUCUUUUACCCUAUCUCCUCAUCUUGUGAGUAAAAAUUUUAAAUAUAACUGAAUUGUUAAAACUCUAAAUAGUUUAAAUUUAAUAUGUUAGUAUCACUAUCAAGUCUGAAGAUAUCAUAAGCAAUAUUGAAUAUAAAUUUCACAAUUUGUCUAUUUCAUGGUUGAUGACUCUAGCUUGUAGAGUCUAAGCAAAAACACAUCAAACAAAAUUUGAACUCCAUGCAAGGUAUGGAUUCUAACUUUUAUAAUUCUUGGGGUUUAUACUUAUUUAGGGUUUGGGAUUGAUUUUGACAAAAAUAUUUUUAACCUGAGUACUAGCAGUUUUGUUGCUAGUACUCAGCUCUUAAUCUCAAAUUUGAUGGUCCUCAUAUGAUGAGUCUUGUAGAACCUUAAAUUUAUGCUUUAAUUUGAUGCCCUUUUCAUGCCUCAAGCCCGAUUGCUUCAAGCCCAACCAAAUAUAAGCAAUGAUAAAUCCACAAAUAGAGAUUUGCACCAUGAUCCAAGUGGAGAUUCAUAAUGUGACUCAAAUAGUAACCAUCCACAAUUAUGAAGGAAUUUCAACAACUAUGAAUAGUGUAGGAACACUACAACAAAUAAGGGGUUUUUCCAUAAAUUAAUUUAUGGUUAAAAGAGAAUUUUUUUGUAAUAGAAUAUUUUUUUCUAUAAAAAAUUAUUGUUGCAAGUUUGUUGCUAUAAAUCUAUGAGCAAUUAUUUUUAACCAUAAAACUUAAUUUUAUAGCAAUAAUAAAUAAUUUUUCUACAACAAAAUUUGUGGCAACAUAUCACUUUUCACCACAAAAGAAAAUUUGUAGCAACAUGUCAUUUUUUGCCAUAAAACAAGUUUAUAGCAACAUAUCAUUUUUUUAAUGAAAAUAAUCAUGGUAAAAGGUCAAUUUUUUGCUAUAUAUAAAAAAAAAUCAUAGUGAAAAAUUACCCUUUUACCACAAAAUAAAAUUGAUGGUGAAAUAUGUUUUACUGCAAAAAAUUAUUCUUAUGCAUCUCACAUGUUUCAUCUUUAAUUCAUUUCCCUUGCUUCAAUUUUAAAUAUCUUUUCUAAUAAAUUCAAUAUUAACAUUUCAAAUGAAAUGGUUGAUAGAAAACAUUUUCUUGCUCAAUAAUAACUUUCUGAACAAUAGAAACUCUGUAUAGACAAACUAUGGGUAUUUGUUUUCAUUUGAGAACUUUGUCUAUAACCAUAAGAGAGCAGCUACUUCCAAUGUAAACUUUGUCAAAAUCAUUUGAGACCUUUGUAUCUUGAAUUGGACCAUCAACAUGACCUUCUCCUCGCCCCCACUUUCCUCUAGCAAUGUUGUAACCCCUGCAUAAAUAAAAUCCUUGGGUUCAAUACCAAUUUGAUGACUUAGUCCAUCUAUGACACAAAUAGACUGUGCCAUAUAUAUAUAGAGAGAGACAAGGCAUGUGAAAAAAAAAAGAAGGUAAAUAAUGUUAUGAAAGUCAAGGUUAUUAGAUUUCUAAUUGACGAAAAGAGGUGAUAUCUUAAUUAAAAAUUAGUAUCAUGGAUGAUUGAUUGAGAAGAUAGUUGUGUUCAUUAAUUGAGGGAAUGUCUUACACACCUAAAGUUUACUUGCAUCAGUACUGAUUUUCCUGAUAGCCAUAUUCAUAGUGUCUAUAAUGUAAAUAUUUCUUUUCUCAUCCACUGUAAGCCCUUCUGGAUGGUUCAUCCUUGCUUCUCUUAGUUUCCCAUCUACAUGCCUAGAUUACCCUUCAGGCAAGCCAACAACCAGCUUGGGUCUACCAUCUGCAGUUCAUCAAUCAACUUUAAUAUGCAAAAUAGGUAGAACUGUACCAAAACAACUAAGAAACUAAGGAUGUAGAACCAUAAUCAAUAACAUAUAAUCUGACUUGACCUUUUUUGCCUGAACCAUAUAAAACAUAAGCCCAGCUACCAUGGAACUUGAACUGGGUGUUAAGGCAAACUUAUUAAAACCAAGUAAAGACUACAACUUUCUAGAAAGAUGGAACUUGGGUAAUUAAUAAUAGAACUCAACUAGACACACUCAAUUAAUAACAAUUCCUAACCAUUAUAUUAAAAGUAGCUUACAUCGAGUGAGUGGGGAUGAGAUCUUGUAAAUAUUACUGUUUUCAAAGUCCAAAACUAAAAGCUCUCCACUUGGGGAUAUCUCUAGAAAGUAUGGUUCGACUCCGAGCUUACUACCAUCAAACAUGGUUUCCAUGGUAUAUCCAGGCUCAAAAUUCAUCGAGGAACAGCUAGAAAUUUUUGAAAAAUCAAAUCCCAUCAAACCCAUUAACCACAAAAUUGCAAAGAGCAAUGUCCAGCCUAUAGGUAUAAAUAACCACAAGAAGAAAAGGGACAAAGCUAAAUGUGAGAUCACUAAAGGAUAUGUACCUAUAUUGGUGGUAGACUUCAAUGACCAUAGCCACUUCACAAGAGCAGAGGCCACAUUGGACACAAUUCCACUAACAAUUUCUGCCAAAAAAAGAAUAUGAAAAUGAAGGCAGAGUUGAAGAAUAAUGUACAAAUGAAUUCAGAUUUAACUUAUUUUAAAAUGGAUUCUCUAAUGGCCUUUUUUUCUCUCUUCCCAAAAAUCAACCAUUAAUCCAAGUAAUCAAACUCACCAUUCCACCAAAGCAAUUGGAGAAACACCUCGCUACCAAUAGGAGAAAGUUCUUCUAUUGGUAGGGCUUACGCAUCAAACAGCGAAGACUAACCAGGGAUAAAACAUUAUAUAUAUAUAUAUAUAUAUAUAUGUAUAUAUACAUAUUUCAUUAAGAAACCUGAGAAGGGGGUUAUGAAAGAGGCUCAAAUUACCUUAUAGAGUUCAUCUGACAGAAGUCCCACACGGUGAGCAAAUGGAACUCUUGAAUUCAAAUCAUUAAUCUCAUAUAUCACUGGAUUUACCAGUGUAUAUCCCUAGGUUUAAUUGAAAAAAAUAAAUAAAGUCACCCAUGAUAUAUAAAACUUGAGACCAUAAGCCAUCAAUAAUCAAUAGGAAAAAGAAAAAGAAAUGUUAAUGACUCAAUUAAUCAUACCAUGAAUACACUGACCACAGAAAAUAUCCCCUUACUUCCUACAAUGACGUUGAGAUGAAAGGAAUCCCAUAAGGAUAUUAAAUUAAAAGAGAGACAAGCGGCUUAACUUAGGCAAAGCCUAUAGCUAAAAGUCAGAAAAUAAUAAUUAAUAAAAAGAAAAAAAACUUGUCCAAAAUUUAUGAGAAAAUACAAUCAGUACUGGCUUCAUUGAGGACUUAAUAUCUAACAAUAGAAAUCUAAAAAACUAGGGUUAACACACUCAAUAGUCAAUUCUUUCAAAGUUGAAUAUUCAUUCAAAAACAAAAAAACAAACUUGACAUUUAUUUGAAAUAUUUGGGCAAAAUGUCAAAGGCAAGUAUAUAAUGAGAAGCUGAAACACAAAUAGUUGCAUCAAUUUCAAGUCUAAUUUGUCAUUCAGACCAAUGAAAGCAAGCUCAAUGGAGUAACUCCAUGCUCAUAAUUAUGACAAAAUCGUUCAAUAAUCUAAACCAAUUAUAAUAAAAACAUAAUUAAUUGCAAAACUAAUUAUAAUAAAAUAAUAAUUAGUUAUAAAAUUUCAAUCCUUUCAACAAUUAAAAAAGUGAUUCUUAUUUAGGUUCAACUCUCAAGUUGGAGUUCAUCUUUUCGAGAAAAUUUAAUGAAACAAAACUAGUUCUUUGAUUGAGAAAAAUUCAAAACUCAAAUACCAAAAUGCACAAAAUUUCAAAUCAAACCAUGUAAUUGGUUAAUGAGAAAAUGUAGGAAAUGAAAAAGGAACCCUCUUCUCAUCUGAGACUAACCACCUCACUUUCACUUUUCUUUUCUUUUGCUCGAUUUUCUUAGAAACCAAACAAACGGUAAAAGAAAAUACCUUCACAUGGUGGCAGGGUUUGUUGCUGUGAUCGAAGAGCGAAAUCAUUGGAUUCAUUGCCAUAGUAAAAGGGCUACGAGGAGAGCACCGACAACCCAACUCCAUCAACAUCUGUGACUCUUCUCUCUCUGAUUUCACCACCGCCAUGUGUGUAGAAGCGCUAGGUUUCUUGGGAAAACACCUAUGUUUGGUUGCAGAGAAAAAAUUCAAGGAAUAAAAGUAGAUUUGAGUUUACAAUGUUUAACAUUAAAUGAUAUAUGUGUAUAUAUAUUAAAAAAAAUGCUUGAUUAAAUCCAAAAAAUAAUUAUUGAUUUUUCUAAAAUCACAUGACAUGUGAAAAAUAUAUUUGCCACCUGAGAUGCUUAAGACCAUUUUUUCUAAUUAAUUUGUGUGAAAUUAAUAUUAAAGUAACUUAAAUUAGGCUUAAUUUUAAUAUGGUAUAAUUCAAGACAAAAUUUAUGUCAAAAUCUUAUGGAAAAUCAUUUGUCAUGGAUAUAUGAUGUGGUUAAAUAUACUAUUUUUUCAUAAGUACAAAUUUCAUCUUUAAAAAAAUCUUUUUUAUCAUAAAAAAAAUUAAAAAAAAUCAUAUUUUUUCCAUAAAAAUUUAUCUAUGCAUAAAAUUAUGGUAGCAAAAUGUAAAAUUUGUUGUAGUGUAAAUAUCAUACCAUCCAACUAUAUAAACCUAAAAUAUAACCAAAUAGAUUGAGAUAGAGUGAUACAUACUGCAUUAGCAUGGUUAGAAAUUCAGUCACGAUAACAUUCCCAAGAACCAAAAAUGGCGCAAUCAUAAUGUUGAACCAACUCCUAAUUCCACAAUCUCAACCUCAACAUUACCUAAAAAAACGUAAAUAAAUCAUUAUGGACGUUUAAAAAAGUUAAAUAAACAUAUUAAAAUUACUAGUGACUGCAAAUGGUAUAUAUCAUAUAUCAUAUAUUGUAUUUGAUCGAAUUAGAAAAUAAGAAUUUAAGUUUAAUAGUCUAUAAUUAACAAAAUAAUCAAUUCAACAUGAUAAUAACUUAACUGAAUAAGAAUUAUCUCAAAAGAAUUAGUAUUAGCAAUAGAGUUUGGCCAAUCCAAGUCCACAAUUAUCUUGGCCUCCUUACUACAUGACAUCGGGAAUUAACAUCAUACUAUUAAGCAAUCAAUAUAUCUUAGGAUUGGAAGAUAGGACAACAUUUGGCAUAUGGAAAUCAUACAUCUUGCCAUUUAGAAGGUCAGAUGGCAUCCUCAAAUCAGGGAAAUUCACUUGUCUCAGCAUCAAAAGAUCACAAAGCAUCUAACAUUUGAAAGGUGACAAAAGAUCCUAGCAAUAGGUGACCGAUCCUCACCUAGUUUUUCACUCUAUACACAAAUUGCAGAACCCAAUUACUAGUUAAUGGUUUUGUGGUUUCAAGAGAGGUUUUCGAAACUACUUUGUUUUUUUUUUCAAAAUAGAAUAAAAGAACAUUUGAUAAUAUCAUUUCCUUUUAUUAUAGGAUAAUAUUUCAAAAAAUAGUCACAAGCUUUCAUUUUAAUGGUUGCUAAUUGGUAUAACUACAUGUCAAGUAUAAAUUGCACUUGAGGAAUCUAAUAAAAGUCUUGCAUCAUGAAAAUACUUGUAUCACAAUAACUUAAUAUAAUACUAAAAAAAAAUGAUACAACACCCUAGCUUGAUUGCACAUAAAAUAAGUUGCAAGAGCAAUAGCACUAUCUAUUGGCUGGCAAGGAGCAUGGCAACUUAAUAGGGGAUCGAUAUAUCAUUUAAAUAUAGAAAAACAAACAGAAAAUCGAGGAUAGGUAUGAAAAAUCUGAAGACACUGAAAGGUAAAAUUCUUUCAUAUUUGAUGGUCUCUCUAAUAGUCGCACUGUAAUCAUUCAUAGCAAGUAAAGAAAAUAUUAAAUCAUCCUUUGUAACUAAGAUUGGGGAAUCAAUACAUACCAUGUGUCUUUUUAAACAAAUUAUGGAUUGUGGUAUUUAGAUCAUUAUGCCAGUGCCACUCAUCAUCUGCCACUUCUACUCUUUCUAGCUUUGGUGUAGUUACGAGGCUUGGAGAGAAAAUUUUCAUCUUGGGGCAUUCUUCCACCACCAUAUGCUCCAAGGAUGGGAAUGAGAAUAUAUAGCCCCCUGAAUUGAAGCUUGUGAGGUUUGGCAAACAUAGAAGUACCAUGUGUUGUAAUUUGUAGAAAGCAAUCUCAUCGACUGCUUCCCCUCCUUCAUUGGCAACUACUUCUUCCAUCAUAUGCAAUCCACCUAUUUUGAGCUUUCUGAGUUUUACCAGACUUUUAGCUACCGAGGGUGAUAUCAAACUUCUCAGAUUGCUACAAGACCACACAUCUAGAGUAUCCAGAUUUUGGAAAGAUACUGAGCAUGGCACCAAACUUAUCAAACUGUCACAAUUCCACACUUCAAGACUCUCUAGACUUUGCAAAUCAAGGAUUGAUUUGGAGUUUUCCUUCCACAAAUGCGUCAACGCAGGAAGAUCACGCAACCAUAUUUCUCUUAACCGUCCAAGCCUCUGGGCUUGAUUUUCCUCGUCAAGUCCUUCAAGUUGGAAUAUCUCUUUGACUGAACUACAUCUUCUCACAUUUAGUUUUUCCAGAUUAUGUGAUCUUUGAAGCAUAAAGGAAGGAAUCACAACCAAAAUAUCUAUAUAUCCAUAUACUUUCAGAUAUCUUAGUCUAGGAAAGGAAUCCAUUGGAAAUUGCUCUUGCCAUAUUUCGGUAUUCCCGUUGUCAUUCAAUAUUAAUUCCUCCAAGUAAGGCAAUGCAACCUGGGAAAUGGUUCGAAUAAAACGAAUUUGUUCUGUCAGUUAUAACUAGCAUAUAAAUAAGAUAUGCAUAUCUACAAAGAAGUAAUGCUGUUUUAUUUCUCUAAUCCAAGCAAUGAACAUGGAAAAAUUAAUAUAAUAAUAUUUUAUGCUGUUUAUAGAAGAUGCACUGGACAGCAACCUCUCAAUGCCUAAUUAGGAUCAUUUGGCAUUUGAGAAGUUGGCUGGUUAUAUUGAUAGUUUUACAAAUUAAAUAAUUUUUGGACACCAAUAAAAUUUACUAUAAAUUGCAAUAUUGGUUUGUAUCAGAAUCGAUAAAAUGGGCAUUUCUUGUUAACGAAAAAACAGAGUUUACAACUUAAAUAACCCUCUCUCUAUCUAACUACUUCUAACAACAUGUGACAAACAGGUAACAGUGUGUAACAAAUUUCAUGACCAGAUUAGGUCAAAUUUUGACUUAAAAAGGUUCAACUGUGAAUCUAGGAAUUAGGUCAAAUUCUGGAUCAAGUGGGGGCCAACAACCGUGUUUCCAGCAUAUAGUUUUGGUCUCUGCAUCAGAUAAAUUCAAAUUCAAUCGCUAGGUUCUGUGAAGGGAUAUCUAGAAAAAUUAAUGAGCUAAAAUAAUAUCUGAUUGGACAGAUUUUAUAAACAUAUCUGGAGGUUUACAAAGUUGAAAUAAUUACGAGUGCAUUGUCCAUAAAGGCAAGGGGGGAAUCCAAUGCAUUGUCCGCUGAGCAAACUAAUUACGAGUGCCACAAUAACAUGAGAAUUUAAUGUACGAUUUAUCAAAACUUGGCAAUUAUGAAACUUGAUGAGGUGAACCAAAUCCAUAAAGGUUUAGGACCUUACCUGUUGGAGCAAGAAAAGGGGCUGGAGACUCGGCAUAUCAAAACUUCCCUCGUGAUGUCUUCGUUGGAAUGUUGGAGUUUCGGAUGCAAAUACAUUGACUUUAUCACACGCACGCACUAUCAGUUCUUUCAACAAUGGCCACUGUGAAGUAUGUGCCCCUGGGUAGAAACUCCUGAGUUGAUGUAGAUUGACGAGAAUGAGAGAGGUUACUUUAGGGAAUACAAACUUAGCUGCUGUCUCGGCUUCAUUGUCCUUUGCAACAAUUUCCUCUAUCCCACAAGAACGCAACUCCAGUUUCUCAAGUUGCACAAGAUCUUUGACUAAAGAUGCUGGAAAAAGGUUUUUCAGACUCUGACAUUUAUCAAUAAAUAUUGAUUUUAAGUUUUGAAAAUUGAGAAUUCCAUGGGGAUCCUUAUUCCAUAUCUUUUCAACUUUUGGCAGCAAUCGUAGAAUCAAUUGACUCAACUGGGUGACAGUUACACCUUCCUUCACAUUUACAUUCACAUUUGUCCCUUCCACAUCAAAAACCUCUUCUAAUAAACUACAAUCCACUACUUCCAUAAGCCGUAGACUCUGUGACCUUUUCAGCACACAAGAUGGAAAAAUAUUCAACAAUUCUCCACAUGAUGCUACCUUCACCACUUCUAGUUUGGAGAAGGAAUCUUGAGGAAUUUGGUUGUGCCAUAUUUUUUUCACAUUAUCCAGUCCCGAGAUGAUUAAGAACUUCAAGCUAGGAAAUGCAACCUGCAGAGUUCAUCCCACCAUUUUGUUAUUUAUAUAUUUUAAAGAACUAAAAAAAGAAAAUUAUCCAUGUCUAGAACCAGCUAGAAUUAGGGACCUCAAAAGAAAAACACAAUAAACUGCAUCUUAAAGAAGGGUGGAGGAAAAUGUACAUGCUUAAACAAGUUGAAUUUCAUCGUUUAAAACUGUAAGAAUUUGUAAGGAAAAAAUCAGUCAAGAAAUAGCAGAGUUCUCGUGGAAUUCAUUUUAAUACAACUAUUAUACAUUUGAAAUGUUCCAAAAGACUCGUUUGUUUGGUUUUUUUUUUCUCCAAUUUUUUAUUUAAUUGUUAAAACAAAUUACUUUAAGCCUUAAAUAUUUUGAUUGAUUCUUAUCUAAUUGUCUUAAAAAAAAUUAAACCACCACCGUGUAAUUUGGAUGAGAAUGAAUUCAUUAUAAAUUACAAAAAAUUAUCAUAAAAAAAAUAUGACUUAAAUAAUUUUUAUUUGUCUAUAAAAAAUUCCUUUAUCUACAUAAUAAAUUAAUAAAAAAUAAAUCCAUGAAAUUCUAAAUCAAACUAAAAUUCUAUACAUUUAUCACACAACAAAAUAAAAAUAAACUACCACUAAUUCUAAUAUAAAUUUUUUAAUUAAAAAAACCCAAAACGUUAUUCACAUUCAUCUAAAUAUUCAUUAGAGUAAAUAAUUCAAUGAGUUUUGUAAUUCAAAAAAUAGAAUUUGAUAUUCUUUCCCAAAUUAAAAAUAUAAAAGUUAAUGAAUUGAUUUCAAUAAUCAAACAUAUACUUCAAUUAUAAACCCAUUAUCCAAAGAUAUGUACACUAUAUAGAAGUGUUAACUUAGAAAAUUUUCUAACAGUUUUUUACUAAUCAAGUAUAAUUAGAAAUCAUUUUUAUUAUUCCAAUACAAAUGUUCAUAAUAAUCAUAUAAUUAAUUAUUAUAAAACUUUUAUAAUAUUAAUAAUUCAAAUAUUUUAGGAUAUUUGAAUAUAAUUUUUUCAAAUUAGAGUUAGAAGAAAUAUCAUAAUUAAUUUCAUAAAUAUUUUAAGAUAUACGAACUACAUUCUACGUCCAACAUUCAAACCUGUAUAAAAACAAAUAAAUUAAACAUUUAAUUAUAUUAAACUCUAUUAUUAAUAGUUAAGUUAAAUUUAGGUGGAAAAAAAAAAGAGAGAGAAACAAGAACCAGCUCAAUCUAAAUUUUCUUUAUUUUCCUCCAAUAAUUUGAUUGAUAACAAUGUUAAAAGGAAAAUUAAAAUCAUAAGAAUUAAAAAGAGAAGGAUUCUGAGAGAUAAACUGACCCUUUCAUCAAAGAGCACCGGGAAGGGGGUAUCAAGGUCUGCAUGGUGAAGCCUUUGGAGGGAAUGAUAUCCAGGGGAGACGAAGCUUGUGAGGUUGGGCAAAGAUUCCAGUUUAAUAUCGCUUAAUUUAGGGAAUAUGAUAUUGCCUACAGGAGCAGAAGCCAUGGAAGAAGGGAAAUGAUUUCUGGAGCUGCCACAGUUGCAUAUAUGCCUCAACUUUGGUAGACCAGACAACCUCAGUUCUUUUAAUUUAGGGAGGAGCUCAACAUGCCCAUCAUCAACAUUUAGCUCUUCAAGAUCAAAUACGUGUUCCAGCUGACCACAGUUUUCCACUAUUAGUUCUUCCAAAUUCUGUAACAAACUGGGUGGGAAUAGCUUCAAUAGUGACAUGCAAUUCUUCAACUUGAGAGACCGGAGGUUGCCGCCCAAGGAAAGCAGAAGUUGGCCAUCCCUAAUCUCCUGUAACAUGAGAACCUCUGAGAGCGUUGAAUACAACAUAGAUGUAUUACAGAUAUUAACAUAGAGUGAAAAUAAAAGCAUGAUGAUAAUAUGUUUGUCAAAUUAAAAAAUCAGUCUAUUAAUUGUGUUCAGUCAAUGCUCUGUUUUGACUGGUGACGUUUUAUCUUUGCUGGUAAAGUCUCAUCAGAUGGGUUUUGGGAUCGAUUUAAAUGAGGGGAUUCUUGCUGACUCAAAUCAAUUAAUGAGGAGCUAGUCUCCAAGUAUUUGAAUUGAAGUGAUUAAAAAAGCAUUGACUAGAUAGAAAGGAUUAUCAAGGUUUGACAUACCGGUUGGUUGAGAGGUGGUGUACUAGGACCAACAAUUGUGCUUGCAGGCUUGGAAAGCACUGGGUUCUCCUCAAAGCAGAAAUUACUGAGCUUGGGUAAGUCCUCUAAUGUCAAGUAUCUCAAUUCAGGGAAUAGAGGCACAUUAACAGCAUCUUCUUUUAUUUCUUUCCUUCCUUGGGAAACCAUCUCAACCAUACUCUUGCAUCUGGUUACUUUUGUUUCUUCAAGUCGGGAAAGGCCUCUAGCCACAGACAACGAGAAGAGAAAUUUCAAGCCAUCACAAUCUUCCACUUCCACUUUUCUCAAGCAACCUAAGGACCCUGCUGGAAAUUGGCCAUGGCAUACUUCUUGCAAGUUAAUCAGCUGAUUGAGAGACAAGGUCUCCAUAACAGGAAAGGCACCAUGUGAUGAAGUCAGAUCCAUCGAGUUCACAAUAUAUUGAAUCUCUGGACUGCUUUCAACAUUAAGAUGCUUUAAUUUAAGAAAACCCUCCCUAUUUAAUUUGGAAAGAACAUUAGUACCACCACACAAUUCACGCAAGUGUAGAUCUUCAGUUCUCUUCAACAACUUGCUGAUACCAUCCACCAGAUGAAGGCUUGUGUCGAACUUGUUGAGCUUCAAUGUACUAUUGGCUUCAAAAAUUUCUUCCCAGCUCCAGACAUCACCUACUAAUAUUCUAUAUCUCACCAAGUUUUCAAAGACUAUGUCUUUUGGCAGCAACUUGGCAUCUGGUAUUUGUAUGUCCAAAAAGGUUAAGUGAGACAAAUGUUUCAACUCAGCAAGGCAAGCAUUACUCUUUCCUUCCCCCUCCCAUUGAGUAAAGCUAUUUUCCAUACACAAAUCCUCUAAUCGGAACAAGCUUGAUAUGACACCUGACGGAAUUACUUUUAUCGUGGAAGAAUCGCUCAAAUCUAACAGCCUUAGAUGAGUCAACUGUGCUAUUUCUCUGGGCAACUGUUCCAUAUCAGAACUCAUAAGGCUAAGAAUUUCUAAUUUCUUUAGCUCUGCAAUUAUAACAAUGUCUCCCAACUUGCAUCCAUCCAAACACAAUGUUCGAAGAUUUGCAAGGCACUGAAUUGAUAAGGGCAGCGAUGGAAGUUGCAUUCUAGAAAAAUCUAAUACUUUGAGUUGUUUCAUCCCUUCAAAAAAUGUGUUUGGGAUUUUCACUGCCGAGUGGGUCUUUAGAAAACAUUCAAAAAAUUCAAGUUUUGGACAUACCAACCCUUCUGGAAGUUCAUGAAUAUCACAGUCAUGCAGUUUUACCCAGGUGACCUGGAGUUCAUCUAUCCUUGACCAUUCUUCCACUCUUACGGUAGUCUUCUGGUGUGUAAACACAUGACGUUGCUCGGAUGCAAUUUUUCUGGCAGUACUCCGAACAAGAUCAUGCAUUCUAACAUAUGCAUUAUGGUCAGUUUCUAGUAAAAAAUUUGAGGAUUUGAGGUUGUCAACCAAUGUAUCUAUUCUAUUUUUCGCCUCUUCCAAUGUAUUAGUUCCUUGAAAUAAUCGCAGACCCACACCAUAUUUCAACAAGUCCCCAAUAUGGAUAUCACUAGAAAAUAGGCCACAAAGCAAGCACAAUGACUUCACUUCAUCUCCCUCCAAGUGUUCGUAGCUCAACUUCAGACUUGAGUAUACCUUUGUCUCCAUUC
rnacentral:lncRNA from 1 species